rnacentral:lncRNA from 1 species
ACGCGAUCUUCUCGUCGCGGAUCGUGUUGCGCAUGUUGUAGGCGUAGUUCUCCAGAGAGUUCUUGGACUCCACCUUCUUCUUGUGCUCCUCGUCCUCCGACUUGUACUUCUCAGCGUCCUGCACCAUCUUCUCGAUCUCCUCCUUGGACAGACGGCCCUUGUCGUUGGUGAUGGUGAUCUUGUUCUUCUGGCCAGUGGUCUUGUCCUCGGCAGAGACGUUCAGGAUGCCGUUGGCAUCGAUGUCGAAGCAGACAGUGAUCUGGGGGACACCACGGGGAGCAGGGGGGAUGCCGGAGAGCUCGAACUUGCCCAGGAGGUUGUUGUCGCGGGUCCUGGUCCUCUCACCCUCGUACACCUGGAUCAGCACACCAGGCUGGUUGUCCGAGUAGGUGGAGAACACCUGCUCCUUCUUGGUGGGGAUGGUUGUGUUCCUCGGGAUCAGCACAGUCAUCACACCUCCGGCAGUCUCCAGACCAAGGGACAGAGGGGUCACAUCCAACAGAAGCAGGUCCUGCACCUUCUCAUUGCCCUCACCGCUCAGGAUGGCAGCCUGGACAGCAGCACCGUAGGCAACAGCCUCAUCAGGGUUGAUGUUCUUGCACAGCUCCUUGCCGUUGAAGAAGUCCUGGAGCAGCUGCUGCACCCUGGGAAUCCUGGUGGAGCCACCGACAAGGACAACAUCGUGCACAGUGCUCUUGUCCAUCUUGGCAUCCCUCAGGCACUUCUCCACAGGCUCCAUGCACUUCCUGAACAGGUCCAUGUUGAGCUCCUCGAACCUGGCGCGGGUGAUGGUGGAGUAGAAGUCAAUGCCCUCGUACAGCGAGUCAAUCUCAAUGGUGGUCUGGGCAGUAGAAGACAGGGUCCUCUUCGCCCUCUCACAGGCGGUCCUCAGCCUCCUGAGAGCCCUCGGGUUGCCAGUGAUGUCCUUCUUGUUCUUCCUCUUGAACUCCUGGACGAAGUGGUUCACCAUCCUGUUGUCAAAGUCCUCACCACCAAGAUGAGUGUCUCCAGCAGUGGCCUUCACCUCAAAGAUACCUUCCUCAAUGGUGAGGAGGGAGACAUCAAAGGUACCACCGCCCAGGUCAAAGAUGAGGACAUUCUUCUCACCAACACUGGUAGCCUUCUUGUCAAGACCAUAGGCAAUAGCAGCAGCAGUUGGCUCAUUGAUGAUACGCAGAACGUUAAGUCCAGCAAUCACCCCAGCAUCCUUGGUGGCCUGCCUCUGUGAGUCGUUGAAGUAGGCAGGAACGGUGACAACAGCGUUCUUGAUGGUGCUGCCAAGGUAAGCUUCAGCGAUCUCACGCAUCUUGAUCAGAACCAUAGAGGAAAUCUCUUCAGCAGCAAACUGCUUCUCCUCACCCUUGUGCUGGACAACAAUCAUGGGCUUCUCACCCGGUCCAGAAAUGACCUUGAAGGGCCAGAGCUUGAUAUCACUCUGGACAGAAGCAUCACUGAACCUCCUGCCGAUGAGACGCUUGGCAUCUGCAUGAGAACAAUUUUGUCAGAGAUUGCAACAUUUCAAAUGCUACAUAAGCAUACAAAUAAAUCACUGUGUACAUAACUGAACCUAACUAAUCAAAUGUAUGCACAUCAGUUUUGCAGUCAACACUACAACAACAUAUUGCAAAGAUCUGACCAAAGAUAUCAUAAUACUAGUAUUAAUGUAAACGGGCAUAUAGUAACUGGAAGCUCAUAAAUGAGUGACCAGUGUCGCAAGAUCCGUUCCCCCUAGUUUUUUGCCACGUUUCGAGACACACAGCCAAAAAAGACUGUGCAUCAGAUACCAAAUGGCAUUGAUUGCAAAAUGUAAAGAAACAAAUAGUAUGUAAUUUAAGAAAAUGUAACUUAGGUUGUGCAAUCUCAGCCGAAAGAUGGUGAUUUUUUUCAUAAUAAUCACAGUGAUUCAUGUAAUGGGAAUAGUUGCAUCACAGAUUGCACAUAAAAAUGAAACUUUUCAACUCAAGUAUUAAAAAAAUAAUAAUGGAAGUAAUAUGGACAAACAAGGAUAUCAGAUGGUAGUGCAUGAUGUGAUCAUCAUAAUGACUGCAGAUAUCUCGUGUGGAUAUGGUAUCAUCAUUUCCCCAUUAAGAUUGAACAGCAAUGUGUGACUACUAUCCUAGUAAACUUUGAGAUGAAUGUCAGACUCACAAGAACAUUUAAAACAGAGAACUUAUUAGGAAAUGUGGUGUUGCAAACCACAUAAGAUGAAUACCCUUUAAAUUUACUGGUCAAUAUUCAAAGAAACUAGGGAAUCAAAAGUUUCUAAUGAAAACAAAAAAUUAAAACAGUGAUGAGAGAUCAGAUGGUAGUGCAUGAUAGUGAUCAUCAUAAUGAAUGCAGAUAUCUCGUGUGGAUAUGAUCUCAUCACUUCUCUCAUUACUGAACCCAAGAGAUUCCAAACAUUAUUCUAAUAAACUUAAUUUUGUUUGACACAAGAGGAAGAAGCAAAAAAAUACUAGCAUAACAUCAAAGGAAAAAAACUGAAAAGUUAAGUAAUGCUUGAACUGCAGAUGUUUCAGAUUGAAAACCACAAAAGCUAUGAUAACAUAGCUUUCCAUCACACUGAAAUCAGUGGAAUAAAGCGCUUGGGGUAAUUGUUUCAUCAUUAAUCUGCCAGCUCAAGAGUUGACAAAUAAAAUAUGCUACUCUUUAAACAACUGAUCAAAUGCUUUUAUAACAAAUCGUCUACAUAAUCACCGAAAUGCAACAAAUCCGAGUCAACACAAUAGGUGGGGGACAAAUCAUUCAGACAAGAAAUAAUCUAAUAAUGAUGCACUGAUAACUGUCAGCUUAUAUCAAGGAAGCAAGCAUAACAGACAAAAACAAAUGCUUUAACAAAGUAUCAGGCUACGUGGUUUAAACUUCGCUUAAGAUAGGAUAUGGCAUAGCCCUUUAAGUAUUAACAGAUCUAACAUAAGAGCAGCAUAGGACAAACAAAUUUCACAAGAUCUACUGUAACAACAGAUUGAAGUGUUGAUGUCAGGUACUAUAAAAAAUUAUGGCAUCUGGCCACACACGACUAGGUGCUACAGACUACGGAUCUCGAUACCAACACAAACUUAAUACAACUAGUAACGGAUCUAAGUCAAAAGGAACUAUGCUAGAUCCAAGCAAAAACUAUAUUGGAUCUGACCAACAGCAUAAACAAACCUAGCACUAACACAGAUCCAGCCAAAGCAGCGACAGAUCGACCAGAUCGAAGUACAAGUCGCGCCAAACAAAACAGAUCUGACGAAGAGCAAGUAGCGAGGGGGAUCGAGGAGGUGCUCACCAAAGACGGUGUUGAUGGGGUUCAUGGCGACCUGGUUCUUGGCGGCAUCUCCGAUGAGGCGCUCGGAAUCGGUGAAGGCGACGUACGAGGGGGUGGUGCGGUUCCCCUGGUCGUUGGCGAUGAUCUCGACGCGGUCGUGCUGCCACACGCCGACACACGAGUAGGUGGUGCCGAGGUCGAUGCCGAUCGCCGGCCCGUCGCCCUUCCCCGCCAUCUCUUCUUCUCACUACCGGCGGUCGCGGAGCUGCAGCGGCUUUGCGAGGGACCGGAGGGUGGGGAAGAUGGGACGCGGAGUUGCGGCGGCGGGUGGAGGACUAGGGUUUCGAGAGGGGGAGAGACGGACGCGGGGGAGGGAGAUUUUAUAGCGGGGCAAGGGCGCGUCAGCGCGUGGGCAGUGGGGUUCUAGAAUGUUCCGGGCCGCGGCGCGGGGAGAUCCGAGCCGUUGAGAUGCGAUCCUGCGGCGAGGGGCGCGUGGCGGUGUCCUUUCCGCGGGCGCCUUUCGGCUGAGCUGGUUCAAACGGCUCUUUUUUCUGAUUGGGUUUCUUUCAGAUGCCCAAAAAGGAAUCUUUGACGGAGGAGGGGUUGGGCUGUGAUCAGAUCUCAGCCCAUAGCACGAGGGCGGCCUUAAUAAAGCACAAAGAGAGAGAGCCCAAACGAAACUCGCAAAAGUCUUGCUUGGGCUGAAACAUGUACCAGUUUCUGGCCUAAUCUGUGUUCAAAUUUCCAACAAAUCCCACCCCCUCAAAAAAAAAAAUCCCACCCUUCCUUCGUGUCUCCUCGAUAUAAUCGAGUAACAGUUAGGAAUUCCGUAUAAUCAAGGCAAGCACAUUGAUAAUGUGCUAUAUACGAUCACAUAGUGCCGUGCCACGUAAGUUUAAGAUGAUUUAACGGACAAUCUCAAUAUAUUACGUUACUCUUAGAGUUGUUACUCUUUAGAGUUGUCUUAUAGGUACUCCACAAUUCCGUAACAUACGCAUAAAAAGGAAGGAAUGACGUGAAAAAAAUCUUCUUGUAAUUUUGAAGUUAUAUUAGCUUAUAAAGUAUAGUUGCUUCACGAAACAAUGGCUUCUCCUCUCAUCUCUCUCUUUGUUCUUAUUACAUGGUCAAAAAUUACAUGGCACCAACUACCACUGCUCACAGCAGUCUAUAGGUGGUACAUUUUUAUGUGACUUUGUUCAAUUUGAUCUAGCUCAACUUCCUAUGCUUUUUCGUGGGUUUGCUUUCUUUAUGUCUAGGGUUUCCAUCUGGUCAUUAAAACUAGCUAGGUCUAGUAUAUAUGCACGCAUUUGUCUAAAUAGUCGUUUAGCCUAUUUACAUACUAUACUCUAUCCAGCGAUUUUCACUUAAUCAUUCUUGUAGCCCGUUUAAAUGGUUGUUUAGCAUGACAAUUGAUUGACUGUUUUCCGUUUGCCAUUUAGGGUAAUACCGAGUAUGCAUCAUCAAACUCGAUAACCCUAUGCACUCAAGGUCAAGCUACUAGAUCUCUAUUGAUUGUGCUGGCAACAAAGAGAAAUUAGACCUAGCUAUAAGAGUCAUACCUCCAAGGUUGCUUGUCUAAACAUGCCGGAAAUUAUAUAUAUCUUCGUGAAGAUACCCGUAAACAUGUUAGUUCCAUUGACCAUAUUGACAUGAAUCAGACAAACCAUAUAUGUACAUAAACUUGGGUCAAUGAGCUUACAUGGGAGAUGUACGGUGGUAUGGCAAAGUCGAUGAUUCAUCAAACUAUAAAACCACCGAUUUCCUUCCUCCCAGGAGAACAAAGCAUAGGACGGGGGUAUUACUCCAGGGUUGUAAAGAGCAUUAGUCCAGUGCAACACAACUUUAAAACCUAUUAGGUCUAUUUAGCACAACCAUUACAACCCAUCAACCUUCCUCUACAGAUAUUAUUCAACAUUUCCUUAUACUUAGAUUCAAAAAUCCGUAAAUUCUAUGUCAACAUUUUGAAUAGGCUAACUCAACAUUUUGAAUAGGCUAACUCAACAUUGCACGAAGAUGAGAUAUGUAUGUGUUGGCGCUAAAAGUCAGCUGAUUGACUCUCAGCGUCGGAUACACGACCCGGGAGAAUCUGCUUAACUCCUGUUCGGGUAAUCGCCCUGGUGCGGUUCGCGCGGCGUGCCAGCCAAUCUAACCUGUUGAUUGGCAAGGAAGAAAACCUGUCAAAUUCCAGGGGCUCCGAUCGGCUAAGGUUCCGAUCUCGAGGAAGCGUAUCAGCGAAUCGGCCGAUUUGCUAUAACAAGGUAAUCGGCUAUGGUACAGCCGACAACUAGGUAACGUUUUAUGAAGAAAAAUACUGAAGUAAACUAGAUAACGCUACAGGAGCAACACUUGAAAUAGAUCUAAUCGGCUAUGCAAAAGUAAUAGAUAAACAAUAAGGAUAAAUAAGCUGAAAGCUCUAAUCUCAAGCUGGAUAACUGGUGAUAAAACUAGAACGACAGAUAAAACCUAGAAUUCUAGUAAAUAUCGAUAACUAGUGAAUAAAUCUAAAUGAAACGACAGCGAUGCGCUCGAAGUUAAAGCUUAGAUAUUACUCGAUAAACGGAACUUACAGAAUCGGCCGGAGAUCGUGUCGAUGCAGCCCUGCCAACCCGUACGAACUCGUGAAAGAGGAAAAAUGUUGGCGAAGUCGCCGACUUGAAAGUAAAGUACGAGAAAAUAGUAGAUUGUUGUAUUGAUUUAAUGUUGUUCUUUACUGAUCUCUAAAGAUGGCUAUUUAUAGCCUGUUACAACCUAUUUCUUAACCGACUAGGAUUCUAUCUCUAAUUUUAAACGAAAACGAAUAUUUACAAGUACAAUUCGUAUCGGAGUUGGUUGUUGUGCUUCUGCGGGUCCAUCCCCCUUUUAUCUUUUCUUUGCGAUUCACUUUAAGCCCACAUUGGCCCAAUUGCUCCAACCUCUUAAUCGGCCGAUUUCUACCAACUCCAUCUGCCAAAACACUGCAGUGCCAAUCGGUCGAUCUCCAACUGUAGCACCAAUCGGCCGAUUCCCAAUCGUGACCUUUUCGACUUGCCGCAUUGGCUAAUCCUUUCCCCCCUUUGAUGCCGAUUCCAUACGUGUCAAAAUCUGGCGUCAACAGUAUGUUUGACUUGCUCCCCCCACCAGUGGCGGAUCCAGAAACGGGCUCCGCCCCAGGCUAACUAAUAUAAGGCUUAAAAUCUUACUAGCCAUGCACUACUAGAUAUAACAUAUUUUUCAAAUAGCACAAAUAAUUAUAUAAUUCUCUAGAUUCCAGUGUUGAACCAAUAGACGCAAAUAAUACAUAGAACAUUGAAGGUAGAAAAGUAUCAAAUUAAGAGUCUUCCAUGAAAAAAAAGAACCAUACAUGUCUUCAUGAAUUAACACCACUUCCACUUGUUUCGACAUCCUCAAUUCUACAUAAAAAGUUUCAACAUCUCAGCCCUAUAUAAAGCAAGAUAACAUUAUGUAUUGAAAUAGACUAAGUAAACAACACGCACCUUGAGCCCUCGUUUGGCAAAUUCAUCUUAAGAUUUCUUAAACCUUGAAAGCGCUUUAGAAUCUCGCUCAAUAUAGCACAUCAUGCUACUAUUCAGCCAAUCAUUCAAAUACUUCCCGCUCAAAUCAAUGAAAUGAAAUAUUCAUUAUCAUUACUUUGCAUAGAAAUAGCAAUUUCAAAAAAAAUUGCAUACCGGAGGGAGCAAUUUGAAUAGGUGAACAGGGGCCGGCCGGCGUGGCCUGGGGGCGCCGGGCAUAGGCCGGGGGGUGGGGCGGCGGGCGGCGGCCUACCGGCGGGGUUGCGGCCGUGCGGGGCCGCAGGUGGUGGCGUGCGCGGGUGGCGGUGCGCAGGCGGCCGGCGGGGGCGCGGGGCGCCGGGGCCGCGGGGGCGCGGGGCGCGGCCGACGGCGAGCAGGGCGGGCGCUGCCUGGCGGCGAGUCUGGCAGGACUGGAGUCGGGGGAGGGCGCACCGCGCACGCGCACUGGGGCCGGCUAGAGGCAGUGCUAGGGUAACGGGGAGUUGCUGGGCCGCCUGAGCGCCUGGGCUAACUUCUCUUCGGGGUGGGCUAAUGGGCCAAAAAGCCUUUUUAUACUAUUUUUAUGAAGAAGUUUUCCACUGCUCUUGGGCCUCGCCCCGGGUUGCAGCUCGGGUAGCCCGGGGCCCAGAUCCGCCCCUGCCCCCCACCUCACCAAGAUUUUUCCACGUGUGAUGCACACUUCAACAUUUUCUUACAACUGAUUCAACAAACCACAAACUUGAUACAACAUUUCAAAUAGACUAAUUCAACAUAUUUUUAUUUAUAGUUGGCUUGGGAGAUGUGUGUUUGUGUAUAGCUGGAUUGCCCCUCUAUCUUAUCUUAGCCGGCCAUAUACUAUAGCACGGAUCUCAAACACAAACACGGGAAGUCAUGUAAAAAAACUUGUGGAAGCGAUAUAGGCCUUGUUUGGUACAACUGUGGGUGAAGCGCUUCUUAAAUUGCACUAAUAUGACAAAAAUCGCUUCUCUGAUAAGCGGAUAUGGUCCAGCUUUUGUGUUUUGGUACAAAUGGGAGCAGUGGAAAGAAGCGCGGUCAGUAGAAGCUAAAAUAAAGCACGUCGUUUAGCUAUUAGUUUCAGUUAACAGGGCCAUAGAUUUCCCGGCAUAGGACUGCAACCCAAAUGUCAAACGGCCCGCAAGGGAUGGCUGGGCCAACACCUCUGGGCCUAAAAAUUGCUUCUUCUUUUUUGCUCGAGUAUUUUCCUUUUAAUUUUUUUAAAAGAUAGUUUUUGUUCUGUUUUGAUGUUUACAUCUCAGAUUAUAUUAAAAAUUUAAGCGUCGAUACAUGCGUAUACACGAACAGUACACUGACACGGUAUACAGACGCACACGUACGAUUCGCGCACGCAUAUGCAAUUAUGCGUGCGUUAUUCCGUUGGCACGUACACGGCCGGACGACGAGGACACGACACGUACGGCAACCGAAGGACCACAACACACCCCCACAAGCUACCAUCCGUCCAUGGAGUGCUCGCCGCGCCAACAAGCUAGGCGACGGCGACGGCGGCGCGGAGGAGCUCCGGCUCGCCGCCGGCCGCAUUAGUAGUAACCAUGGUUUUCGGGCAGAAGAUGACCUUGAGCUCGCCGGGCGCGACGCACCGCUGGUCCACGUCCACCGCGUCGCCGCUCCACGUCAGGGUCUUGGGACACCGCUGCUUGAAGUACCCCCCGGGGGCCGGGUCGCUCCUGCACGCCACCACGCCGCCACCGCCGGCCGCCGUCACGCGCCGCCCCGCCGGGCACCUCGGGUUCAGGUCCUCCGUGCACCCGAGCACGGGGCACGCCGAGCCCGUCGGGAACGCGUGCGGGGUACACCGUCGCCGGCACGUUGAACCCACCCGACAGGCUCACGCCGUACACGGCCACGUCGGCGCGCCAGUACGCGUGCACCUGCAGCUGCACCACCGCGCCGGCAGCUAGCUCCUCCCCCGAGGCGCACCGCGAGGGGCAGGGCGUCUCGACGGCGCACCCCGCGCGCGCCACCACCUGGCCCGACCAGGCGCGGCUAAGCGGAAUGAUGAAGGCGGCGGCGCCGCCCCGUCUGUCGAGGCGCACGGUGUUGCCGGAGAUGGGGGAGGAGCCGUCGUUGGGAAUCACCAUCGGCCAGACGGGGUAGUUGCAGUCGUUGACGAGGGUCAGGUUGGCCUCUCUUGAUGAUUCCGCCGCGGGGACAGCGGCGGCGACGACGACGAGGAUGCCGAGGAGGAGGGGCUUGGCCAUGGCAGAGUUGGUGGGCAGCCUACCAAUUUCUUGGAUUUGGAGCACAAACUAGCUUGUUGGAUGGUGUUGAUGGAGCAAUGAAGUGAACAAGCUCAUUUCAGUAGUGUGUAUAUAUAGGCAAAGUGCCAAAGGUGGUUGCCCUUCUAGUCUAGAGAAGUAGAGAGCUAAGCAAAUUAAAGUGUGCGGGACCUAAAAUCUGUACACACUAACAGUUUUGUGAACUGAGCAUUUAUAAAUCAAUUUAAAUCGGCACAUUUAUAAUGAAUAUAUAUAUAUAGCAAAAUCUAUUGUAAAUUUUCAAUCUAAAUCAAUCUUUAUACAAAGUCAAAGGAGGUUUGACCGAUAGAAAAAUCCUAAAACAACAUACAUUUGUGAUCCGGAGGAAUAAUAUCACUUAAGCAUCAACAUUUUUUUGAGAUGCCAACCGUAUGGUAAAAUGAAUCAAGUUCAAAACCAAUGGGCCACGGUGACCCAAAAGUCCCCAACUGGCCACAUCUCCUUCGUAAAAGUAACCUUGGGUUUUGACACAGAUGACAUAAAUCCGCUUGCUCCAACAGUAUACACAAGUGUGGAUGAUCUUUGUUUCCACGUGUCUGUAUUCGGAAAGUGUGAUACAAACCAAUGGGCCAUGGCAACUCCAAUAAUUGGCGUCCGAGCACGCGGUGGCAUGCACUGCAAGCCAUUUAUCUCGCCUAUAUGUUUAAGAGUACAAAUUGUAUAAUUUUAGCUUGAUCCAGCUUUUAAAAUUAAGGUCCGUUUGGCAGGACGUUUGCACUGGCCAGCUUCUCUACCGGCUUUUGGUAAUGCCAUGCCAAAUAUGUAAAACAAUAAUACCAUUUCCGAUGUGUAUGACUCCCCUAUAUAAAGAAAAAAAACAUGUGCCCCAGUUGUGCGUAUCUAGAGUAUAUUUUCUAUUUAGUGGCUUUUUAACGAAAGAGAAACAGAAAUCUUGGUUUUGAUAAAGGAACGAUGCCACCUAGGCUACUUGUUCUUCGCAAAUAAUUGCCGCUGAAUCCACUUGUUCAUUCUAUAUUGUGGAAUGUGAUCCUAUUGUUCUUAGAGAGGUAAUACAGGUUUAUAUGUUAGUCACCGCACCUUGAUCAAAUUAAUUGUCCAUGGCGCUAGCUAGAGGUUCUGCUUUUGAUAUGCUUUAUUCGCUUCUUGGCUUUGUUGUCACUACUCACUAGUGCUAUCUAUCGGCCAACAGAACGAAAUUCAAAAGCAUACUUCCUCUGAUGAACAGAAAUAGAACAUCGACACUUGAUUCUUUUUUUUUUCAGUAACACUUUGACUAGCUACAUGCCUACAUCUAUAAAAAUAUCUAGUAAUACCAAUCUUAUUCUGUUAAUCACUAUAAUUGUUAGUCUAAUUUUUUUUAAGUAUUGAUAGCCAAAGUAAAAAAGGCUUGAGAAUUGACAAUUUCAGUCUAUUUGAGUAAGAUAUUGAAUGUAAUAACCAAUGAUAUGUCGGCAAAUAGAAAGAUACUCUGGGGAAACAUUGCAGUGUUGAAUUAAUCAACCUAGGACCAUGAUUUGAAAUGACAAGAGUAACGCUGCAGUAAGCCAAUACUAGGUGUCUCUAGUGACCACUUGGUGUUUCUUCAGGUAUACUAUAUUCUUGUAGCGUUCAACGAAAAUUUGCAUAUGAUACUUUGCUUUGUUGUUGACAGAUCAAAAGUCCUUGUUGUAAUGAUACCUGUCGUUACCUGUACUUACAUGCGAACAAUUCACGAAACUAGUCAAAUAUAUUCUAUAGAAACCAAUUAACCAAGGUAUUACAGUACCAUUUUGCGAAAUGUCCAUGUUCAGAGUACACUGUUCACAAGUCCAUUCCUGCAUUGGCAGUCUCCUGUAGAGGAGCCAGUACAAAGGUGUGAUUAGUUACUUGCAUUUGUUUGUAAACAUGGCUUAGCAGAUAAACUUGAAAUAUAGGAUUUUGUCCACACGAUUAAAGCUUUGCUCGCAUACCUGAAAUCUGACAAGCUCUAGAGGAACAUUGGUCGUUGUUUCUUGAUUUUCUUUGUUUUCCUGUCUGCCUCAGUUUGUGUGGGCUCAAAAAAUCCUGGGCCGAUUGUGCUAUCGAGCAUCGUGAGUUGGAUCCGUGGCCCGUGUAAAUUUUCCUUUUAUUUUGAAGACAGUUUUCUUGUAUAAAUCAUAAAUGGGCCUAUGCAACAGCACCAACCAUGUCCUCCCCACCCGCCGGCACGGCCCGAUAGGAUAGGCACGAUCCAGAGACUAUCCAGGCUGCAGGCAGGGCCGUGCCCGACCGAAUGGCCGGUUCAUCCUGGGCUGGAUUAGCUAACUGAACUGGGCUUGUGAGAUGGGUUUGUGCAGGAACAAAGAGCUCCUCUCCUAGAAAAAAGAGGUAGAUUUUAGAGCGUGUUGGACAGCACUCCACUUCAGAAAAAACACUUCCACUCCACUAACUUCAUCCUUUUAUAGUUUCGCUCCACCAACUCUAUAAAAACAUGAGUUGUUGUAUGUAUUUAGGUGAUUGCAGUACUUCAGCUCCAGAAGCAUUUGUUAUGAAUAGUCUAUUUUACCCAGUGCCGGCCCUGAGGGGGGGCAAACGGGGCGGCCGCUCCAGGCCCCCGAUGCUGCUGGGCCCCUCCCCAUAUACGUAUGUACUACUAGUAUUAGGAAUAAUAGUAUAUUUAUUUACUUGACCCAAACACCAAAAGGUCAAGAAGGCAACAGCAAGUCAGCAACACGUGAAGCAAAUAGGCUCAGAGCCUAGCCCAGGAGGCCUCCUACGAAUCUGCUAUGCCCAGCGACGUUACAGGUUCGCAAGCCGCUGCCGUCGUCGCCGCGUGAUAUACUGAUAUAGGUUUUCGUUCCGAGUUUCGACAAUUCGCCGACUGCGGAGUGCGGACUGCAAACGGCCGAGUUUCGCAGAUCACCAGACGCCAGGCCGGACUACGCCAUCGCCUGAUCGCCGGCUGCCUGGGGCCCGGCUUCUGUCAGAUUGUCACCGUCGCCAUCAGUAGGUUCUCUUCAGUCUUCACUUCCUUUUAAUCUCUCAGUUGAGAAUCAAAUUCAUUCGUUAGGGAUUAGGGCGCACUAAUUUUUUUCUUCUAAUUUCAGCAGUAUGAGAAAGUAUGCUUCUGGAAGUGCAAAAAGGAAAAAGAGACAAUGAGUAAAUGAGUUGAAAGAAUCACAAAGAGGGUCUAUAAAUAAAUUUUUUAAGAGUAACACAAGCACUUCAAGAGAUCCAGAUGAAUUGGCCAUAGUUGCUGUGGAUGAGGCAACUAAUGUUACUCCAGAAGAUGUUACAGAAGACAAUGUUGAGAUCAAUCCAGAAGACGAGGGACCCAUAGAAGACAAUGUUGACAUCAACAUGGAUCAGAACAUCACGAGUGAUCAUGAUGAGGACCUAGUUUGUACUAUGGAUAUUUAUGAUCCAAGGAAUUGGGAUAAACUUGACAAUAAAGCAAGGGACAUAUUAGUUGAGAAGGGGCCCAUAAGAGAAGAGAAUAUUGUCUUUCCUAUGGAUGCUAAUUCAAGACAUUUUUCAUAUGAUCAUUACUUCAGAAAAUUGAGCAAUGGAGAGGUACGUGAUAGAAAAUGGUUAGUUUAUUCAAAACACUUGGACAAAUUAUUUUGCUUUUGUUGUAAGCUUUUCAAUUCAAACAAAUGCAAGAGUUCAUUGGGGAAAGAUGGGUUCAAAGAUUGGAGACAUGUUAGUGAUAGGCUGAAGGAACAUGAAAUUAAUGUUGAACAUAUGAUCAAUAUGAAGUCAUGGAAUGAAUUGAGAACUCGGCUAAAAAAACAAGAGACAGUUGACAAAGAGUUACAACAGCAAAUCUCAAAAGAGAAAGAACGCAUAAGGCAAGUAUUAUUAAGAAUAGUUGCUAUUGUGAAAUUUCUUGGUAGGCGUAAUUUGGCUUUUAGAGGAUCCAAUGAGCAACUUUACAAUAAUCUUAAUGGUAAUUUCUUAGCCUGUGUUGAGAUGAUUGCAGAAUUUGAUUUGGUAAUGCAAGACCAUCUUAGACGUAUUCAAAAUAAAGAGAUUCAUUAUCAUUAUCUCAGCCACAAAAUUCAAAAUGAGUUGAUUUCUCUUAUGGCUUCUGAAAUUAUAAAUUCUAUCAUCAAGAUUGUUAAAGAGACCAAAUAUUUCUCUGUUAUCCUUGAUUGUACCCCAGAUAUUAGUCACCAAGAGCAAAUGAGUUUGUUGGUUUGAUGUGUUAAUAUGACUGAUGGUAAAAUUAAAAUAGAGAAGUAUUUUCUUGGUUUCUUGAAGGUAGAAGACACAUCUGGUUCAGGACUUUUUAGUGUAUUGGUUGAUUCCAUCAAGUCUUUUGGUCUUGAUAUUGAUGACAUUAGGGGACAAGGUUAUGAUAAUGGAUCUAAUAUGAAAGGAAAACACAAGGGGGUUCAAAGGCGGUUGCUUGAUAUAAAUCCAAGAACUUUGUAUAUGCCAUGUGCUUGCCAUAGUCUUAACCUCACUAUUUGUGAUAUGGCUAAAUCUUGUAGCAAAGCUGUCACUUUUUUUGGAAUUGUGCAACGGAUAUAUGUAUUAUUUUCUGGUUCUCCCAAAAGAUGGAAAUUUUUGCUUGAUCAUGUUGAUGGUUUAUCUGUGAAAUCUUUGUGCAACACUUGUUGGGAGAGUCGGAUCAAAAGUGUCACAGCAAUUAGAUAUCAAGCACCACAGUUAAGAUUAGCUCUUCUUAAAUUAAGUGAAAAUAGUGAUAUUGAAGCUAAGGAUAGAAGUGAUGCAAAAAAUUUGUAUGAAGUGCUUGGCAGCUUUGAGUUUAUAUUUGGCAUGACAUUUUAUUUGCUGUGAAUAAAGUGAGCAAGAAUUUGCAAUCACCAUCCAUCUCCAUAGAGUCUACGUUACAGCAUAUUGAAGGCAUGAUAAAUUACUUUAAUACCUAUAGAAAUGAAGGGUUUGCUUCUAGUAUGAUCAUUGCCAAAGAAAUUGCAUCUGAAUUGGGUGUGGAGCCAUCAUUUCCAGUAAAGCGCCGUGCUCUCAGAAAGAAGCACUUUGAUGAAAUUGAUUCUAAUGAAGCUAUCUUGCAAGCUGAGAAAGCCUUUGAAGUUGAAUAUUUUUUUAGUUAUGGUUGAUGUGGCAACAAGUUCAUUGAAAAGUAGAUUUCAAGAACUCGAAGCAUUCAGAGAAAUAUUUGGAUUUUAAAUGAGUUCAGCAAACUUGAAGUCAUUGGAUAGUUCUGAACUAAAAGAGUGUUGCACAAUAUUGGCCGCAACUUUCUCUAUGGACGGUAUAUCAGACAUUGAUUUAAAUGAUUUAAUCUCUGAGUUAAGUAUGUUGCAGAUUACUUUGCCAAAUAAACCAAUGUCGGCUAUGGAGAUUUUUGAGUUUGUCACUGAAGUGGAUUGUUAUCCUAAUACUUCCAUUGCUUAUCGUAUCUUAUUUACUAUGCCUGUAACUGUGGCAUCAGUUGAAAGAACCUUCUCAAAAUUGAAAUUGUUGAAGAACCAUUUGAGAUCUACAAUGUCUCAAGAGAGGUUAAAUGGUUUGGCAACAUUAUGCAUUGAGAAGACACUAUGGGAUGAGAUUGAUACUGAUGCCAUCAUCAACAACUUCGAGAAAUGUUAGAAGAAAUUUUUAAGGUAAAUUAAUAUGUAUAAUUAUUUCGUAUCAAUAUUGCUUUUCAAUACAUGUUGAGUGUCAAAAAAUUUAUAUAUACAUGUUAAGAUUUUUUUUAUCAUAUUUAUAAGGGCCCUGAGCUUGGGUUGGGCUCCAGGUCCAAACAAACUCAGGACCGGUACUGAUUUUACCUUUUAUGAAUGGACCAUAUGUAUCUUCACUUUUCUCCUCUUCUUUUCCUCUCUCUUCUCUUUUCAGUUUUGAACAGUGCUAUAUGUUAUAUGUAUCACAAGAAAUGAACACUGCAGCUCAGCCUCAAACAAAGCUUUGGAAUUAAAAUGAACAGCAAAAUUAAAAUAAUGAUAACCGGACAGAGAUCUAGGGUGACGUUUUUGUGUUUUUAGCCCUUUUUGCAAAAGAUUCUCACAAAUAGGCCCCUGGCGGAACCAAUUCCAAAAAUGGACCCUUAGCUUGGCGCCAUCCACGCUGGCGCCAAGCUACAACGUCUCGGCGCCAGCCAUCCUGGCGCCAAGGUCUAUACANNNNNNNNNNNNNNNNNNNNNNNNNNNNNNNNNNNNNNNNNNNNNNNNNNNNNNNNNNNNNNNNNNNNNNNNNNNNNNNNNNNNNNNNNNNNNNNNNNNNNNNNNNNNNNNNNNNNNNNNNNNNNNNNNNNNNNNNNNNNNNNNNNNNNNNNNNNNNNNNNNNNNNNNNNNNNNNNNNNNNNNNNNNNNNNNNNNNNNNNNNNNNNNNNNNNNNNNNNNNNNNNNNNNNNNNNNNNNNNNNNNNNNNNNNNNNNNNNNNNNNNNNNNNNNNNNNNNNNNNNNNNNNNNNNNNNNNNNNNNNNNNNNNNNNNNNNNNNNNNNNNNNNNNNNNNNNNNNNNNNNNNNNNNNNNNNNNNNNNNNNNNNNNNNNNNNNNNNNNNNNNNNNNNNNNNNNNNNNNNNNNNNNNNNNNNNNNNNNNNNNNNNNNNNNNNNNNNNNNNNNNNNNNNNNNNNNNNNNNNNNNNNNNNNNNNNNNNNNNNNNNNNNNNNNNNNNNNNNNNNNNNNNNNNNNNNNNNNNNNNNNNNNNNNNNNNNNNNNNNNNNNNNNNNNNNNNNNNNNNNNNNNNNNNNNNNNNNNNNNNNNNNNNNNNNNNNNNNNNNNNNNNNNNNNNNNNNNNNNNNNNNNNNNNNNNNNNNNNNNNNNNNNNNNNNNNNNNNNNNNNNNNNNNNNNNNNNNNNNNNNNNNNNNNNNNNNNNNNNNNNNNNNNNNNNNNNNNNNNNNNNNNNNNNNNNNNNNNNNNNNNNNNNNNNNNNNNNNNNNNNNNNNNNNNNNNNNNNNNNNNNNNNNNNNNNNNNNNNNNNNNNNNNNNNNNNNNNNNNNNNNNNNNNNNNNNNNNNNNNNNNNNNNNNNNNNNNNNNNNNNNNNNNNNNNNNNNNNNNNNNNNNNNNNNNNNNNNNNNNNNNNNNNNNNNNNNNNNNNNNNNNNNNNNGAAGGAGCCCCACAGGGGGAGUUUGUUGCAUAUCUCCUUAGAAUAAUUAUACUUGUUUAGUUCGAGAUUUGUAGAGGUGCGGGGCUGAUAGCUCGGCGCCAAGAUCUCCGGCGGCAAGCUGGGCGCCAAGAUCCAUUGCGCCAUCCCCCAUCAGGUUCUCAUCCGCGUCAGCCAGUAUGUAUAGACCUUGGUGCCAGGACGGCUGGCGCCGAGGCGUUGUAGCUUGGCGCCAGCGUGGAUGGCGCCAAGCUAAAUUGGUUCCGCCAGGGGCCUAUUUGUGAGAAUCUUCACAAAAAGGGCUAAAAAACAAAAAAGUCGGAGAUCUGGGUGUUAAGCAAAAUCAACAACAAAAGGAUCGGUUGAUCUUGAUUUUCCAUUGCUGCUGCUGCUGCCAGAGAUUGGCAAAUCGUAAUCUGUUGCUACUUGUUGAAUCUGAUUCUAUCUCUGGGAAAUCAAUUGAAGUCUCUGGGGAAAUCAAUUGAAUUGCAGAAGGAAAAAGAAAACAAAACAAAGGCAGAGAAGAAGCGGGCCGCCCGAGGAGGAUGAUGUGCUGCAGCUGCCAAUGCUGGCUCGCUGCUGGAUGCGCUCGCCACCGGCGGCGACAUGGGAUUGACCGCCCGACAUGGGAUUGAUGGCGAGCACGAGCAGAGGCGGGUGCAGGAUCUGGACUAUGGGUAUUCAAAAUUGGAGAUGGCAAGAAAAAAAAAUUUGAUAGAAUAAAUUAUAAUUUUAUAACACAGAAUUAAGUGGUAGCAUCAUUGAUUAAUAAAAUUGAUCACAAAUUAAAAUUGUCCAGCUACUAAUGAUCAACAUAUAAAAGUGGCAACAUGUGAAAUAAAUAGAGGCUAAAACAGCAAAAUGGUAACAAAGAUUACUACUUACAAGCUAUAGGAUAACUUUCCGUUCUGCCAUGCUUUGAAAAUGAGCGAUGAUGUCCUUAUCCUUAGCUUGCAUGAAGAAUUCCCUUUCAAUCAAUGUGACCAAGCAACCAUUCAAAUAUUUCUGCCCCAUCUUACUUCUUCUCUUGUUCUUUAUCAAAUUCAUUAUUGAAAAGACCCUCUCAACACCCGCAGUUGCAACAGGGAGAACAAGCACCAAUUUGAGAAGUUUAUAAACAAUUUCAUACCGAGAAACCUUUCCUUGUUUAACUAGCAUCAUAGACAACUCUGCUAGACUUCUCAAAUUUUUGAAGUUUUCAUCAUUUCUAACAUCAUUGAUAUAGUGGUGCAACUGAAAAUGAAGCUGGUGUAUUUCUUGAAAUUCAAAGUCAUGUGGAUAGAACCCAGCAAGCUUAACCAAGUUCUCAACAUUAAAAGCAGAAAAGGAAUUUGCUGGACUGAAUGAUGCCAUGCAUCUAAGUAGCUCUGUGUUUACCUCAUCAAACCUAUUAUUGAGCUCUUGAACUUGUCUAUCAAUGACACCCAAAAACAUAUCAGCAUGAAACCGGUGAUAAUUAAUGGCACCUCUGUAGAACUGCCUUGAUCUUUGCAUAGGAAUAUACUUCCCAUUCAUGUCAACAACUUUAACAUUGUGCUUCUCACAAAAAGAAGUGACCUUGGUAAGAAAUUCUUGCCAUCUAGAAUCUUGUCUCAAAACAUCCGGUUCUACCUUUGUGAACUCCAGAAGAUCCAUUGCAUUUACAAUAUCUUGCUCCCUCUUUUGCAAAGUAUUGCACAAGUCAUUUGUGUAUCCAAAUAUUUCAUUCAUCAAGUGUAGCAGGAAAACAAACUCAAAGGAUUUAAAUACUGUGAGCAUAGUUUGAGCUCCAUUAGCCUCAGCCCCUUUACUUUCAUUCCCAAUCCUAAAGAGAACUUUCUUGAUUGAAGGAUACAAGAACAUAACAUGCAUUACAGUUCUGUAGUGAGAUCCCCAUCGUGUAUCACCUGGCCUUGCUAAGCCCAUCACUUGAUUCAAUCCUUGCCCGGUUUCAAUUUCACCCAAAUUCAAUGCUUCAAUCAUGUAUUCAGCUUGAGCAAUGCGAAGCAUGCUGAUCUUUUUACAAGACAUCCCUAGAACAUUCAACAAAUAAGCAAGUUGCCCAAAGAACCAAUCACAAAAAGUAUUCUCCUUAGCAACUGCUACAAGUGUUAGUUGAAGUUGAUGGGCGAAGCAAUGAACAUAAUAAGCAGAAGGGGACUCAUCCAUAAUUAGUUUCUUCAAACCAUUAACAUGACCCUUCAUGUUACUAGCUCCAUCAUACCCUUGACCACGUACCUUUGAUAGGGGCAAUUGAUAUUUGAUAAGCAAGGAUUGAAUUGCUUCUUUAAGAGUCAAUGAUGUAGUAUCUUCAACUUGGACAAGACCUAGAAACCGCUCAACUGGUUCUCCUUUUUUUAUUGACAAAACGCAAACAAAGAGCCAAUUGUUCCAGGAGGUAUGCAUCACUUGACUCAUCAGCAAGAAUUGCAAAACACUCAUCACCAAGUUCCUCAAUGAUAAAUUUAGUUGUUUCAUGAGCACAAGCAUCAAUGAGUUGUUUCUGGAUCUUGUGAUCUAUCAUCUGACAGUUUUGUGGUGCAUUCUCUAGUACCACCAGAUUAACCUCUUCAAAGUUUCCUGCUAGCCAUGCUAAAAGUUCCCGAAAAUUCCCCUUGUUGAGUGAAUCCUUUGUUUCAUCAUGACCCCUAAAAGCCAACCCUUGACGCAACAGAAAUCUUAUGCACUUAAGUGACCAUGUCAAGCGAGCUAGAUACUUAGCCUUGAAUUGUGCAGUGUUUGAUGCAACAGAUUCACGGAUUGAUGCCUUAGGUCUCGUGAACAAUCUAUAUUUCUCUUCAGCUUCACUAUGAGCACUAUCGAUAGCACCAACAUGCCUAUGAAUUCUCUUUUUCAUAUUCCAAUUUCUAAACCCUUCAACAACAAAAGCAUCUCCACCAGGAAAUUUGCAGUUAUCUUUGAACAAAUAGCAAACAAAGCAAAAUGCAGCAUCUUUAUCCACACUGUACUCAAUCCACUUAAAUUCAGCAAACCACUUAUGUUGGAAGCGACGCAUACCUCCACAAUCAUGUUGCGGAAAAGCAUCCCUCUUCAUCUUUGGUUGACAUGGCCCCAAUGCAAUGUAUGCCCUUCUAACUGAAUCUUGGUCAUUGACAUCAUAGCUUGAGAUCGGAGCCCUCAAUCCAGGAUCAUGCUCAAUGCCAUAAUCAUUCUUGUCUUCAUCACUAGAAUCAUUUUCUUCCACAGGUAUGGAUUCACCAUCUUCUGUUGUACCGUUCUCUGGAGGCUGGUUGGAUCUCACUGGUUCAUGUGGUACCGUGCUUGUUUCACUACCACUGCCCUUGGAAUAACACUAGUUGCAUUUAGCUUUCAUUGCAAGAUUGAUUAACAUUCUCCGGUUCAGGUUGUCUCUUCUUUGCAGUAGCCCUUGCCAUGAAAAUCCUCAAAUCAGUAGCGGCACUACCCUUCCUCUUCAUAGUUCAAACCUAAAAGUUACACAAUUUCACAUUGAACUAAAUUCAUGAGCAUCCACAUUUUGCAAGUUGAUGUGCUUCCUAAUUUGACAAACAAUUGAAAAUGGCAAAAUGCUCACCUCAAUUUCACAAACAAUCAGGAAUAGCAAUCAGUAGACUUGAUGAAUCACUGGACUCGCGGAGGAAUAGCAAUCAGUUCUGAUAGCAAUAACUGGCAAUCACUGGCUCGGGCGCUCGGCCACCAGUAAAGCGCAGCGCGCUACACUUGCGCCGCUGCGCGCCCGCCGCCGCCGGGCCGUCGUCGGCAGUCGGCACUCGGCCGUCGCCGGCCGCCGGCGUCGCGGCGCCCAACCGCGCGCGCGGCCGCGCGCAGGCCGCAGGGGGCCGGGGCAGGGCGGCAGCCGGCUGUCGGCAGGGCGCAGCCGCGCAGGCCGCCCGGCGCCCGCUGCCCUCCUGGCUCGGUGGCUCCAGUAACCGUCGGGAGCAUCCUAGCAGGCGCGCCGCGCGCGCCCGCCGCCGCCGGCCCGUCGCAGCCGCGGCCCGCGGCGCCUCCGCUCGGCGCCAAUCGCGCGCCGGCCGCAGGGCCUACCGCCGGGCGCCGCUGUCGCCGGACGCCGCCGCCGCCGCCGCCGCCGCCGCCGGACGCCGCUAGGGACCUAGGGUUCGCGCGCCUGGACGUCCCUGUGCCUGUGCUCACGCCUCACGGUGGCCGGUGGGGGUGGGCCGGUGGGGAACUUGGGGUGUGGGCAGAUGCAGGCCGGAUGGGCCGGAUGGGCCAGUUGGGCCAGUCGAGGGAGAGCGAAGUUGGCCUCCGGUGGGCCUUUUCGAGUGAAAUGUGUAUGCUAGCUUUUGUAUUCUUGUUUUUUUCAUACAUACACCUAAAAUACACUAUAUAUAUGAAAUUUUUUUGCAAAAAUAAUGGGUAUUCAAUUGAAUACCAUUGACUCAAAGUGGGCCCGCCACUGAGCACGAGCCCCCCCCCUUCCCCCCGGGCGGGGCGCGAAGGCCGCGGUGGCGAGCCCCGGUGGGCAGGCUGCGAAGGUGGCGGGGAGCACCGGGUGGGCAGCGACGGCAUCCGGGAGCCUAACAGUUACAGGAUCGCAAGUCAUGGUUCAGCGUUGUGGUUGAAAGGAACACUUGCCUACUCUGUCAGAUUGGAUCAAGAGCAUCUAGGUUAGUGUGGAGUCAUAGAUUACAGAGUAAAGAGGUUCGUUUGGUUUCAGCUUCUGCAGAUAUGGCUUGAUUAUGGCAGCAAUGUUGAGUAGUACAAAAUGUUGCUAUUAAGGCAAAUAGCACUCUUUGUGGUUAUCGUUAAGGUUCGCAAUGCCAUCAUGAUUGUGUGUUGGUCCAGAAUCACCCAUUUCAUUAACCCAACUCACCAAAUGAAUAGUAACCGGAGGCUGGAGCAUUGCUUCCAAUUGGCUAACAUGUGUCAGUUUUCUUGUUGCAGUGUUGAGAAUUGAGAUGCUGAUGAACCUGCAGGUGCCGUGGGUUAUUUUUGGGGCACUCCGAACGCAGAACUCCGAUGGGUGAAUCCAAUAAUGUGAGUGCAUUUUGAAUUCUAUGUCUGCUGUUGAAGAGCACAUAAGGUUCAAGAGGAAAUAUGAUAGCCUGUAAUUGUGUUUUGUGGAUUCCAGCUCAAUCUGACCUUGCAUGCAGUUUCUAAUAAAGUCUAAUCUUUGGCGAAAUUGUUAAACCUAGUUUGUUCCUGCUUCUAGACGAUUUUGAUUUUGGUACAAAGAGAAUGGUGCGCGGGAAAAUGGGCGCCAAAAGCUAAAAUAUGGCCCUCUGUGGCGCAGGGAUGCAUGCAUGCGCCCAGCGUGCAUGAAAAAAAAAAAGGAAAAAUGCCCAGUCUGCAUGCGCCCAGCGUCCGUCAUGCGCGCUCCCUGCCGGUCAUGACUCAUGCAACGCCCCAGCCGUGCGCGCUCCUGAACGGGCUCCUGAACGAGGGGCAAAUGGAUCUUUUUAAUAGACACUUAACGUCGUUAGUUAUUGGAAUGGACUGCGGUGUCAUAUUAAGAAUGAAAGUCCGUCAAUCUGGCGCAUGCAUGCAUGCAUGAAGUUGAUUUUUUUUCUAUCUAUUAAUCUCUAUCGGCUUCCUUGCCUUUCCGCAAUCUUCUAUUAUUUUCUACCUUGAAUUUGAUCUAGCUAUUUUUUUACUGCAAAAGAUGAAUUAAACUCAAAAUCCAGCCAAAUAAAUUACAUAUCAGAUCAGGUUUACGGAAUUGAAGGUGUCAAAUUUUGCUAUCAAUAAUUAGUACUAAUCACUAAGCCACCAAAACAAGGUCGAACUACUCAAAAUUUGCUGCCGACUUUUCUCUUUCCUUCAUCAGGUUCUCCAAUGGUCGCCCCUUCAUCUUCUCAAAACAGUCUUUAUUUUUUCCCUCAAGUAAUCCGCCUUCCAAUUAUGAUGCAACUUAUCAAAUUUUCUUCCUGCACUCUCUUCUAUUACUGUUCCGCUGAUCAGGAUAGCAAGCACCCAAUCAUGAUGCGUUCUUUAAUCAAAUCAAAAUACAUUUCAAUUACCUAUAUUUUUUAAAUAUAGAACCUCAUUUUAUAUUUCGCACCAAGGUCUCUAAAUCUUAGGUACGGCCCUGUUUCAGGACUAAGAAAGCAACUAGUCAUUUUUCCGAUAUCAAAUAGUGAAUUUUCUCCUAUUGUUUUUUUUCAGAAUUCACCUCCUCCGGCCAACUACCCGACCACGGUGGCUGGCUGGCUGGCUCAGUUACCUGCGACGAUGGUGUGGAUGCGCCCGGUCUCCCCGUUGGCAGCCGUGGCGUGCCGACGUUCACCAUGGCCGGCUGGCAGAAGACGAACUUGAGCUUGCCAGGUCCAAAGCACCGCUGCAGCACGGGCUCCACAUCGGCAGGCGCGUGGUGCGCGUCAGCAGGCACUGCUCUACGGGUAUGUUUUUUCUCGCCACUAUCUAUUUUUAAAAUAUUUUUUUUCAAAGAUGAUCAGAUCGAGGGUGAUAAUUAUUUUCACCGUUGAUUUCGAAAUCGGUGGUGAUGUACACCGAUCACCGCGGACUGAAAUCCAACGAUCCAAAAAAACCGGUGAUGACAGGUCCUUACGAACCGGGGGUGGUAGUCAAGGUCCAGCUUUAUCCCUCGUACACAUAAGACUUUCCCCGCCUACAUAUAUUAUUUCUAUCUACGACCAGAUUCGAUCAUCACCGAGCCUCAACUCUACCUCGUCCUCCGUCUCGACCGAUAACCAAGACUACUUCACCGCGCUUUUGUUAUCUCCACUGAGUCACAUCAUCAUCCUCUCUUGAUGAUCAUGAUCAGUUGCUCCUAGCUGCACUCUAUGGCUUUGUUUUCUCAUCAAUGUCACUAGGGGCAGACCACAACAGUGCCAUGCCCCCACUCAGAUUUUGAUUCUAGUGAAUUUGGACAACUAUUUGAUGAAGUUACGCAAGCCCGCAUACUAGCACGCACUCUCGUGUUUUAGGCUAGUCUACCCUCGAAUGUUACCAAGGGUGCAAUUCAUGUGAAAACACCUCAAAUGAUUAAAAAAAAAUGAUAUGCGAAUCCAUUAAAAAAUACUUUCAACUUCAUAUAUAAAAAAUCCAAGAGUGGAACGAAGAGGAUUGAGUUUAAAAUGAACUAAUUUCCCCUCCAAUUCCUCUUAUUCCACUUUAAUCCACUACUACCCAAACAAGCUUGUAGGGUUUUCUUUCCUGAAUCUGCACUAACCCAAACUGACUCACCUAAGUAGUCUUCCUCAUAAAAACCCUUUCGUGUAUAAUACAAUAUAUCAUUUGCACGGUUGCUCCACCCUGGGAAGCAAAUUAUGAGUCUUUCUUUCUUUUUUUUUCUAAUCCCUCCAUUUCAAAUUGUAGAUUGUUUUGUCUUUUCUAUAUUUAUAAAUGUUUGUAUGUCUAGCUACAUACAAAUAUCUAAGAACUUAGGAAAAAAAACUAAAACGACCUACGAGGUAGUAUCUUGCAUCGUUACCGCUACUAUUUGCAAAAUAUCUAAUUAAUUAUAUCAUUGCCCUUGCUUUCACUAUAAACUAGCAGGGGCAUCGCGCAAGCAUUUCAGGAAACGGUAGUAAUAAACGGUGCAAAGUGAAGAAUGGGGAGCAAACUCGUAGCUGGGUGUCGAAGCAUGAACAAACCUUUGGUUACUACAGGCUAAGCACGAACGACGACGUCUCCCCCUGUACCCCACAUUUCUCACGAUCAUAGGAGUACUCUUCUACCGCGCUCGUGCUGUGCCGUGCUGCCUGCCUUGGUGCUUGGCUGCUUGCACGCAGGCUUGCCCGUGCUUGACUGCCUCCAGAACACGCAUGAGACACGACACAUGUCACAAACCUCUGCUGGAAACGAGAGAUGGUACAUGAUGCAUGCGUGUGCUCAACGCAUUAUUCACUUGGCACGCCCGGCCGGACACUUGGCAACCAAGCCAACGACAAACUGCCACACCCACUCACACACUCUUACUCCAACAGUAGCGCGCGCUUAAUUACCUCCUUAAUCUACCUUUAUUACGCACUAAUCAGAGGCAUGGCAGGCCACCUCCUCCGGCCAACUACCCGGCCACCGGCUGCAGGGCUAGCUAGUACUCGCUCUAGUUGUCUGCGACGACGGUGCGGAUGCGCCCGGUCUCGCCGGUGGCGGCGGCGUUCACCAUGGCGGGCUGGCAGAAGACGAUCUUGAGCUCGCCGGGGCCAAAGCACCGCUGCGGCACGGGCUCCACGUCCGUCGGCGUGGUGCGCGUCAGCGGGCACCGCUCCUUGAAGUACGGGUACCCGGCGGGGCCCCUGCACGCCACCACCACAGCGCCGCCGCGUCCGACCACGCGCUGCCCGCGGGGGCACCCGGCGUUGAGGUCCGCCGCGCACCCGAGCGCCGGGCACUGGCCGCCGCCGCCCACCUCCUGCGGGCUCACCACGGCCGGCACGUUGAACCCGUCCACCAGGCUCACGCUGUACGCCGCCAGGUCCUGCCCCCCCUCCGCCGCGUGCACCGCCAGCUGCACCACCGUCGCCGGCGGCGCGCCGCCCGUCUCGCAGCGGGACGCGCGCCCCGAGCAGCCGGUGCGCGCCACCACGCGGCCCGCCCAGAAGCUGGGAGGGAAGCGGAAGGAGACCAGCCCGCGGCCGCCGCCGUCGAGGCUGCCCGUGUUGUCGGAGAUGGACGGGAAGCCGGUGUUGGGGGUCACCAGCGGCCACACCGGGUAUGGGCAGAGGUUGUGGAGCGUCAGCGUGGUGGCCGCCGCCGGCGUCGACGACGAGGCCGCCGCGAGAGCGAGGAGGAAGCCGAGGAAGAGAUGCUUGGCCGUGGCGGGCGCCAUGGUGUGUUACUGGUUUCUUGGCUUUUCCUUGGAGUAAAGGCGUUGGCGGAGACUGAAGAGUGAAGAGUGGGAGCAAUGGACAAGCUUGCUAAUUUUAUAGGCAAAAAGGUGGUAAGAAAAAGUGUGGUGGCUGUAAUAAUGUCCUAGUACCUUGCUCCCAAAGGACAAGAGCAAGCAAAAAGAGUCCACAAGUAAUUACAAAACCAUGGGCUGCAUUUGAUUUUCAAUUUUUUAAUGGAACAUUUGAUUUUUCCUUUGAUUUACAGUAUGUUGCUACGAUGCUACUUGCGAAAAGGUGAGCAACAUCGUAGAUAUGACUAGAGCUACUCAAUUUUUCAGGGUUUGCUAUGCGUCAUCCGGUAUGACCAAGGGGGUGUUUGGGAGGAGGGGGCUAAAUUUUAGCCCCCGUCACAUCGAAUGUUUGGACACUAAUUAGGAGUAUUAAACUUAGAUUAAUUACAAAACUAAUUACACAACCCCUAGGCUAAAUCGCGAGACGAAUCUAUUAAGCCUAAUUAGUGCAUGAUUUGACAAUGUGGUGCUACAGUAACCAUUCACUAAUGAUGGAUUAAUUAGGCUCAAUAGAUUCGUCUCGCGAUUUAGCCUAGGGGUUCUGCAAUUAGUUUUGUAAUUAGCUUAUGUUUAGUCCUCUUAAUUAGUAUCCGAACAUCCGAUGUGACAGGGCUAAAGUUUAGCCUCCUCCUUCCAAACAGCCCCCAAGUAACGAGGAUAAUGGAGUUGGUGGAGGCUUUGACCUGCAACAUGCAGAUAUUAAAAAAAAACUUGCAACAUGCAGAUUAAAGCGCGGGGUUCCACAUUUUUUCUUUGUUUUCUUUUCAUUACAAAAUAUUUGGCACAGGCAAACUGACGUCAGUUGAUAAGGUUCCUUACGAUGGAAUCCGUGUCAACAGUGCUGGUAGUUUUCUAAAUUUAUUUUAAGAUUUAAUCAUUGCUAUUUUCUUAGUGAUAGACAACGUGCCAAACUUCGUCUAUAUUAAAGAUGUGCCGAAUCAGUCUCUCGGAUGUGCUCAUAGGGUAUAUAUAUUCAUAAGUUUGAGUGUGUGCGCUUUAUAUGAGCGUCUGCAUCUGUAGUGUGUUUUGUAAAAUAUUUCACACACGUAUCAAAUAGGAUAGCUCACAGAAUAACAAUAAUUGAUCAGCUUUUUAUGAAAGCAAAAGGCCAAAUAAUGAGGAUAAAUCUCGAAGAUCCCUUAGAAGAGUCUUCUAUCUUUAGGCUGACUUUUUCCAACCAAGCUGUACAUAAACUUGAUCUGUGUGUAGAUAUUCAAAUCUGAAGCACAGGGUUGCACCAUUUCAUCCCAUGGAUCAUUUUGGGUGAUUUAUUGGUUUUCAUGAGAAUAUUACCUAGAGGAAGUUAUAUUUUGAGAGUGUGGUUUGCAUGUAUGCAUUACAUGCCAUGUCAUGGCAAUCUAACAGAAUUAUUUUGUUUAUUUAGCACUCACUACUUGCGCAACUAGCUCACAACCAAACUAUGUGUUUUUAGGGAGGGAGGAGGGGAUUGUUAGAUUUUCUUUUUAUUCUUCUAUCCGUGUAUGCUUUAUCCACGUUCUACCCCUACUUUACCAACCUGCACCAAUUGAGCAAGCUGUCUGCACCUAUUGCCAUCGCUUCGUGCCGUCCAUCUUCAUUACUCAACUAGUGCUUGAUAUGCACCACACCCAUUCACUUCUCAUCUAUAUCCCAUCCACCCUACCCUCUGCUACCAGAGCUGGCUGCUCGCCCCGACGACCACGCACCUUUAUCUUGGAUAUGCAUUUAUCGUUCCAGCCAUCAACCGUUGCUAGCCAUCUGUCUAAACUCCCGACACAUACUCAAGCCAGAACCCUAGUGAGUGGAGGGGAGCAAAAUGGAAGAACAGGACCAAGAUCAUGUAAGGGGGUGGGGGUAAGGGUAUUUUAUACCCGGCAACUUACCGAGGUGUAUCCUGAGGUAGUAGAUUGGUUGGUGGGGAUUGUUGGACUUGGAACUCGAAGGUAAAAGUGAGGACACAAGACGUAUUUAUACAGGUUCAGGCCGACAGAGUAGCAUAAUACCCUACGUCCUAUUUGAGGUGUUGUAUAUUGCACCCUGCGCUUGGGUGUUAUUUGGUGUUGAUGAUUUGAUCCUUUGUUGCGGUUCUAUGAGGUCUUGGCCUACCGAUCUAGGGACCCCUGCACUCCUUUAUAUACUCAGGGGAUGGGAUUACUAGUUGGUUAUAAGGUAGGAGUCCUAGUAGGAUUACAUGGUAUGAGUCCUAAUAGGAUUACAGAGGAAUCCUAGUAGGAGUCCAUCUUCUUCCUUCCUUGCGGGUAUUGGGGUCUAUCCUCGACGAGCCCCUGAGGGCUUCAUAGUCGAAUGCAGCAACCUUGAGUACUUUUCAAAUCCUCGCCGAGUAGUUUUGGUGCUCUUCGAGUACUUUGUCUGGCUGAAUCUUCAAAGUUCCUCAAAGCUGCCAUGAGGCUAUGGUGUGCUCAAACCCUUGAUCGUCUUAAUUUUGUAAUCUUCAUCUUUGGAAUGUGAUAUGCAGGCGGGCAGAAGUUGCACUCCAUAUGAAGUAGCCCCCUGAGCUUUAGGUUGAAUCGAAGAAUUAGGCUGAGGGUCAAUAAAAUUUUGAAUCUUCUUCUUUCAUCUUGAAAAAAUCAACUGUUAGGUGUAGCUUAUUAGCCCCCGAGCAUUGGAAUGAUUAAUUAAUCAAUCCGAGGGUCUUUAGUCUUCACACAAGUCAUCAUCCGAGUAGUUUUGCGGCGUCCAGCCCCUAAGCUUAUGUGCCAGGUGAACCGUAGGAGCCACGUCGAGUAGUUAUUGACGCUUAGCCCCGAGUUUGAGAGCUUGUGGAGCUAUCGAAGGUAUUCCGAGCAGUAAUUAGCGUCUAGCCCCCGAGCCUGAGAGCUAGUGGAGCCAUUGUAGGUAUGCUAAGCGUUCUGGAGAGUCGUUGCCGAAACUUGACCUGAAAAAAGAUAUGCAUACAUUAUGUAGCAUAUUUGUAGAAUUUGGAACUACUAAAAUUUAUUUAGUGAUGAAUAUAAUGUAAAUGUUGUGUGUCAUGCUCUUGUUUCGACCAUAUUUCUCCCAAGUAGCUAGCCUAUUACGUUUAGGCUCUCAGUCCCUGUUUAGCCAUUGCCACUGCGUGUGAAAUUUUUAUCUCGUGUACGCGUACUGGCAUUGCUGCUACGGAGAUCUUUGUCUUGCGUCCUAGUGUUUAGGCAUGACAGAAGAUCCGAGGCUAUCACAAAUUAAAGUGUGUUCUGCUCAAGGAUAUUGGCGACCGCUAAUAGAAGACAUUUAAAAUAAGUAGUCGGCAUUGCGACAAAAAGAGAGCGCGAUUGCGCUUAAGAGUUUUCUGCCCUCCGGCGAGUAGAGCGCAUGUUGUGCGCAUAGGAAUUGUGCCUCCUUAGGGUGUAGCCGUUGUGAGCCUCCAGUAUUCAGUGUAUCAAAUAUGUGGUUAUUGCCUACAAAAUUCAAUGUACCUAACCCGUGGCGGUGCGUCCAAAGCUUAGUGCACCAAACCCGUAGCCGUAGCCUCCGUAAUUCAGUGUACCAAGCGUGUGGCUGUCGAUCAACAUGCCCCAGAAAUAUUUGACAAAGUGUAGCCCUGGAGGGUAAUUACCAUCGAGAGGCGUACACAGAUAAGAGUCGGUGCGUUGCCCUGCAUGCGGAAAACAAGCUAGAAAAUAAUUUAAAAAAGUGACUUAGCUUGAUUCUUGAAUGAUUGUCGACGAAGCUGUGUCGAUUGUUGAUGAAGCCAACUAGUCGGAGUCGAUUCCAACUAGUUGUUGAUCACGUGGAACCCUCUCUCGACUAGUUUUCUAGUCGAGAUGAGUAGUCGAAGUAGACCGUCCUCGACUAGUUUUCUAGUCGAGAUGAGUAGUUGAAGUAGUCCGUCCUCGACUAGUUUUCUAGUCGAGACGAGUAGUCAAAGUAGUGACUUGAUCGAUGAGCCGUAUGCGGCAGCCUGCGGCGGAAAUCGACUCGGUCUUCGAUUGGAACGCGGAGCGCAUCAACUCUGUCUUGGCGUAGAUUUGUCUGCUCAGAACUCCGACUCGGUGACUUGCUUCUUGUCGAGUAGAUUGAUCUUGAUGAUGAGGUCCUUCAAGCUCGCCCAAUGAUCUCGACAAUCACCCCUACCUGGCGCGCCAUAUGUCGGUGUUUAAUACCCAGUAACCUACCAAGGGGUAUCCCGAGGUAGUAGAUUGGUUGAUGUGGGUUCGCCGGACCUGGAACUUGAAGGUAAAAGUGAGGAUACAAGACACGAAUUUAUACAGGUUCAGGCUGCCAGAGUAGCGUAAUACCCUACGUCCUGUUUGGGGUGUUGUAUAUUGCGCCCUGCGCUUGGAUGUUGAGGAUUUGGUCCUCUAUUGUGGUUAUAUGAGGUCUUGACCUACCGAUCUAGGGACCUCUGCCCUUCUUUAUAUACUCUUUUUUUUUUGCAAUGUGAUGAUUAAGGUGGCGUUGGAGAUGACCUUAUUAACAAUUUGAAUGGGUUUGGACCUCGUGGAUAAAUAAUAGUACGAGAGAUCAGAAUUCCAUUGCAUCGCUCACUGCUAGUUGAUAUCAUGGAUGCACCGCUGUUAGUUUUUUCUGCGGUAUUGACGGCUACGGCAAACGUGAGGAGACGAGGUUCGGUUCACGUGGAAUGAUCGAUUACUUCGUCCCCGUUUGUUUCUCCAGGACCUCCUAAAAUUUCUGUCACAUCAAAUAUUUAGAUACUAAAUAUUUAGAUACUAAUUAGGAGUAUUAAACAUAAACUAAUUACAAAACCAAUUGCACAGAUGGAGGCUAAUUUACGAGAUGAAUCUAUUAAACCUAAUUAGUUCAUGAUUUGAUAAUGUGGUGAUACAGUAAACAUGUGCUAAUAAUGGAUUAAUUAGGCUUAAUAGAUUCGUCUCGGGAAUUAGCCUCCGUAUGUGUAAUUAAUUUUUAUAGUUAGCUCAUAUUUAGUCUCCCUAGUUAACCUCGAAUAUUUAAGUGAUAUAAAUUUUAGUCCGAACUAAAGAUACAAACACCCCCUUCAUUUACAAACGUGAGGUUGCUGCUACCAAGGACAUGAGGAGACCUUCGGUCUAUGGAGCCAUUGCCACAUGAACCCAAGCAUAGUUGGUAGUUGCUGUUGCUGUGUGUUUGGUGACUCCAAUCGGCGUGCGGGCGUGCUUCACGUGCAACAUUUUUUAUCAGAGGGACAAGUGUGAGGCAUCAUGGCGACUAGUCUUUGCAGAAAUCAUCAGUGCGCCGCGGCCCGCAGCGCGUGCACACGCGUGCCUGCCCUAAAGGUACCUUCAGCAGUCUCUAGGUACUUGUUGCAGAAAUCUCUAAGGAGGAUGACUUGAUUGUGACAGGAGUGGAUAUGCAUGCCAGGAAUCUUGCGCCAUGUUUAGUUCGCUCCAAAAUCUUAACUUUGACACUAUAUAAAAAGAAGAUUCCCCAUCACAUCAAACUUGCGGUACAUGUAUUGAGUACUGAAUGUAGACGAAAUUAAAAACUAAUUGCACAGUUUUGUUGUACUUUGCGAGACGAAUUUUUUGAGUCUAAUUAGUCAAUAUUUGGACAAUAAUUCACAAAUACAAAUGAAACGCUACAGUGUUACUACAGUAAUUUUGGUUGCCCAAAGUUGGGCAAACAAGGCUUUGAAAUCCUACCAACCCAAGUUUUCAUUGUACACGGGACACGGGCCUAGCAAAAGAACGAGUAGUGAGUGUCGAUCUCUCCUUUGGCAAAGUAAAAAAUUGUGGUUAGGUCGAUAGCUACGUUUUACAACCUCAGUCAAAUUAACCUUCACUUUAGUUGUUGGCGGGGCAGCCAUGUCGCCUAGAACAUGGUUUCUUCGCGUCUUGCAACACUUCCAUCGUGGAGUAAGCAUAGCUUUUAAAAAAUAAAUUAGAGUUGCCGAUUAUAUUAAAAAAAAGAUAGAAGUCUAAUUUAGACAAAUAACAAAUGAAAAAACAACGAAAUAAGCGCAUCUCUAUCUAGACCAGGAAUCAGGCAAUUCAUCUAAGGGAGUGGCCUCAAAUGGAUUCACAACGUCAGCAUGCACCUUGAGGAAGGGACUAUGUUCCCUAAUCAUGCUAACUGUUGACGUCGGAUUUUGACACGUGUAUGAAAUCGGCGUUAAAGAAGGAGAAAAGCGGCUAAUACGGCGGCUAGAAGCUAUAGUUGGGAAUCGGCCGAUUAAGCUACAGUGUUUCGGCCGACUAGCAGAGGGAGUUGAUAAAGACUGGCCGAUUGGGAGUCGGGAUGAUUUGGCCGGUACGGGCCUAAGGUGGGCCAAGAUGAAGAUUAGCUAAAGAUGGAGAUUGGCCCGUGGGAAAAUAAUAACCAACUUGGGUACGAGUUGUGUUUGUAAAUAUUUAUUAUCGUUUUAAAUUAGAGAUAGAUCCUAGUCGGUUAGGAAAUUAGUUGUGGCGGGGUAUAAAUAGCUGCCUCGUGAAGCUUGUAAAACAACACAUCAAUCAAUACAACAAAUCUACUUUUUACUCGUACUUUACUUUUAAGUUGGCGACUUCGCCAAAAUACUUUUUCUUUCAUGAGUUCGUACGGGUUGGCAGGGCUGCAUCGACACGAUCUCCGGCUGAUUUUGUAUGUUCCGCUUAUCGAGUAAUAUCUAAGCUUUAACUUCGGGCGCAUCGCUGUUGUUUCGUUUAGAUUUAUUCACCAGUUACCGAUAUCAACUAGAAUCGUAUGUUCUACCUGUUAUUUUAGUUUUUAUCACCAAUUAUCCAGCUUGAGAUACGAACUGUCGGCUUUUAUCACUUUUAUUCUUUGUUAUCACAUAGCCGAUUAGAUCUAUCCCAAGUGUUGCUUCUCUAGCAUUGUUUAGCUUGCUCUAGUAGUUUUCUUUACAAACGCUACACAGUAUCGACUAUUUUAUAGCUGGUCACCUCUACAGUGAAUCGGCCGAUUCGCCAAUACGCUUUUUAAGACAGAUCGGAACUUUAGCCGAUCGAGGCCCCUGGAAUUUAAUAUUUUGUUUCCUUGUCAAUUAACAGGUCAGAUUGACUGGCACGCUGCGUGAACCGCACCAGGGCGAUAACCCGAACAGGAGUUAAGCAGAUUCUCCCGGAUCGUGUGCCCGACGCUGAGGAUCGUCGGCCGAUUUUCAGCGAACACACUUUUGGCACGCCUGGUGGGACAAAACAACAUCCAACAUGUCGAAGGGUGCUGAGGUCUCCGAAGAUAACGUCAUCGAAAUUACUGAAGCAGAUCUCAAGGACGACCAGAAGGAAGAAGUGGCAAGGGCUCUAGAAGAAUACAGGAAGAUGUGCCUGCAAUCCUUUAGUCGUACCAGAAGCGGGGAGACCGUCAAGAAAUCUCCUCUUCCAACUCCCCGCCAUAUCACCGUCGCCGAGGACUCAGGAAAGAUGUCUGAGAUGAUUCAACAGUCCGUGUAUCAGACUAUGAUUGACCAGUCCACGGUGAUGACCAAUACCAUGUACAACGUUGUCAUCAGUUCCUUGGUCAGCAGCGCAGCUCAAGGGUAUUAGGGACCAGCUUAUGCCCCUCCCAUCGUGGCACCAAUCAGAGGAUUCUCAGCGGUGCCAAACGUGUCUCACUCGGCUCCUCAGCGGAUGCAGAUGCAACAUGGAGGCUGCAACACUUCAAUGCCCCUGGGGUACAACGGUGCAUCAUGCUAUCAAUCGCAAGCGCCGUCUCAUUCUACGCCAAUUCCCUCCAUACAACCGCCACUCUCAAACUCGGCACCAUAGGGGGUAGCAGCAACAACCGCCAGUCUAGAUCCAUCAAACAGUUAUGGAAACUCUCCAGUCCAGGCGUUAUUCCAAUCGGCCACUCGGCCGACAGCCCCACAAUACCAGCCAGCCACUUCAGAGAUCAGCGCGGGGGGGGGGGGGGGGGGCAGGCGCCCCAGAACGACUCAGAGUUGUAGCGCCGAUAAUAUUGUACGAUGAAACGACAGAUGCGCUACGUCAGCAGCCAUCGGCCACUCAGCCAACAGCCCAGCCACAAGGUCUGCAGCAUACUCUAGUCUAUCACCCGAUCGUGGCACCGCAAAUCCAACAACACGUACCGAUUCCUUAGCCGGUCGUGUGUUAGCAGUAGGUGGAUUGGGCUGCAAGGAUAGCGGAAGUAAAUCAAGAUCAGUUUGGUUUGAAACCAAAAGUACAGACCUACGCAUACAAGACGCCAUACCCACCUGCUUAUGACCUGUUACCGUUCCCUCAUCGGUACAAAGUCCCCGACUUCACCAAGUUCUCGGGCCUGGAUGACACAUCAACGGUGGAGCACGUGAAUAGAUUCAUCAUCCAGUGCGGGGAAGCCGCUACGCAAGAUGGUCUAAGGGUGCAACUGUUCUCGUUGUCCCUGUCCGGAUCAGCCUUCCAGUGGUUCACUACACUGCCGCCCAACUCCAUUGUUACCUGGGCCAAUUUGGAAAAGCAAUUCCAUAAAUACUUCUAUGCAGAGGUCCAUGAGAUGAAACUGUCAGACCUAACCAUCCUCAAGCAAAGAAGCGAUGAAUCGGUGGCCAGCUAUAUAUAGCGAUUCAGGGAAGUUAGGAACAAGUGCUACACCUUGGUCUUGACUGACACCCAACUGGCUGAUAUCAUCUUCCAGGGACUCCUACCGCACAUCAAAGAGAAGUACGCCUCCUAGGAGUUCGAAAGCUUGAGCCAAAUCAUUCAUCAGCUCUCCGGACAAGAGAUAUGCCCCUUCGACCAAUGAAGGAACUUUCAGAAAAAGGUGGCGUAUGUAGAAGGGUCCGAAUCAGAGGAAGAGGCGGAAAUCAGUCUAGCAGAGUGGGCAAAAGGAAAAAAGCCGAUGUCGUGCCCGUUUGGAAAAAAGGAACGAAAAACAUUCAGCUUCGACACGUCAAAGGCUGACAAAAUUUUUGACUUGCUGCUUCAAGAGGGGCAAAUCAAACUUUUGCCUUACCACACCAUUCCGAUAGCCGAGCAGCUCAAAAAGAUGAAAUAUUGCAAGUGGCACAAUGCCACAUCCCACGACACAAAUGAGUGCAAGAUCUUCCGGCAAUAGAUACAGUCGGCCAUUGAGCAAUGAAGACUCAAGUUCGAGGUUCCAGCGAAACUAGUGAAGCAGAUGAAAAUCGAUCAACACCCUUUCCCCGCCAACAUGGUCAACGUAGAAAGAAACGCACUCCAAACCAAAGUGCUGACGUCAGAAUCGGCCAGAAGGAGUGGCGCUGUGGAUCCUAGAAAUCAGGCCACGAUCGAGGAUGUCAAAGGAAAAGGACGGAUGGAGGACGAAGGUGAAAAUCAGAAAGUCCACGUCGGCCCGUUACUUCCCGAGACUUACUCAGCAAGUAUCAGCGGCAGCGGGAAGAUUCAUGAUGCCGCGAGGAGAUGAUGCGCCGACACGAGGAUCACUGGAGGUGCCCAUUUUUCGUCCGCUGCUGGGAAAAUAACCUUAGAUUACUAUCGGCGGAUAAUUGCCCUAAGUGCAACGGCCAAUAUCGCAGCAGCCGUCCGUUCAAGAGAUUACGCUCCAGAGAUCGAGGACUAGAGCCGAUCAGCAGAAACAGGCACGAGCAAGAAGAUUGGCGUGUUUAAGUGCAUGAUCGGCUAGGGGGCAGAGUUAACCAGCAUAAUCGGCUCGGGGGCAAAACCAAUGCACACAAUCGGUUGGGAAAAUUGGCCGACACCAGAAUAUCAGAUGAGAACCCCCUAGGGCGUGAGCCAGACUGGGAGCAUGCAAAACCACCAAGCAAACCAGUAAACCCCAGAUGGUGCCCGGAUGGUUUGACUAAGUCCCAAAAACGGAGGGUCCGCCAAUGGGAACAGCAGGAAGAAGAACAAAGGCAGGCGGUGAAUAAGAAAGGGGACGGGUCUCGAGUUUGGCGCCCGAGAAGAAAAAUCGGCGAAGAAGACAAUAGUCACGAUUCGGCAGCUGACGUCAGUAUGGUGUUCAUUUUGCCGAUGGAGUUCAUGGCUCCCGCCGAUCGGGACGACGCAACAGAAAUAGAGGAGCAAAUGGCAUAAUUGGCUUUGGAGCCAAUGACAGCCACUUUUGAGAAACCCGAGGAUGAAAAACGCCAGCAUCUCAAGGCUCUGUUCCUCAAAGGACACAUCAAUGGACGACCAGUCGCCAAACUACUAGUGGUUGGAGGCGCUGCGGUCAACAUCAUGCCGUAUGCUAUGUUCCGAAAAUUGGGCAAAGGUGAUGAAGAUCUGACCAAGAGGGACAUGAUGCUCAAGGAUUUCGAAGGCAACGUGUCCUUGGCCCGAGGAGCACUCUGCAUUGACCUCACCAUCAGCAGUAAGACCCUACCCACUACUUUCUUUGUUAUUAAUGGCAAAGGGUCCUAUAACAUGUUGCUCGGGCGAGAUUGGAUCCACGUGAACUGCUGCAUCCCGUCUACAAUGCACUAGUGCCUCGUCCAGUGGGUCGGCGACAACAUCGAGAUAGUCACCGCCGAUUCCGCCUACAGCGUUGUCGCGGCCGACACACAACAGUGGAGCUACGAGCACGUCAGAUGCAUAUCUAGCAGGACUUGGGACACUGAUUUCCUGAAAGUGUCCGAUUUCGGUCUACAGUCGAUCCAAGUAGUCGGCUCUGAAGGAUCAAACUAAAUGGAUCAGUUCGUCCGAGAAGACGGGAAGCUUGGGCACGGAUUUACGUCGGCCGAUUCAUUGGAGAUGGCAGCAAGCCAAGGCCGACGUAUAUUAGUGCUACUCUAGACCCGAGUAUAAGCAUGAAUUAACGAGUUUGUUAAAAUAAUUUAAACAUUGUUUUGCUUGGGAGUACCAUGUGAUGCCUGGUUUAGACCAGUCCAUUGUUGAACACCGGUUUCCUAUAAAACUAGGGUAUCGGCCAUAUCAGCAGCCUGCACGACGGUGUAACCCUAAAAUUCUACCUGAUAUAAAGGCCGAGAUUAUAAGAUUGAUUGAAGUAGGAUUUAUUCAGCAGUGCUGUUAUGCCGAGUGGAUUUCCAAUAUUGUGCCCGUAUACAAGAGAAAUGGGAAACUGUGUGUGUGCAUUGAUUUCAGGAAUCUUAAUCAGGCUACGCCGAUGGAUGGAUACCCAAUGCCGAUGGCCGAUGUUUUAAUAGACGCUGCCACAGGACAUAAAAUCAUCAGCUUCAUGGACGAUAAUGCUGGGUAUAAUCAAAUAUUGAUGGCAGAAGAAGAUAUUUCGAAGACAACCUUCAGAUGUCCGGGCCAUCUUGGUUUGUUUGAGUGGGUGGUGAUGACUUUUGGUUUGAUGAACGCUGGAGCUACAUAUCCGCGGGCUAUGAAUUAUAUAUUCCAUAAGCUUAUUGGUGUCCUGGUGGAGAUCUACAUCGAUGAUGUCGUGGUCAAGUCAAAGGGGCAUCGAGAGCAUCUGGCCGAUUUGCGAAAAGUUUUGGAAUGCAUGAGGAAGCAUGGGUUGAAAAUGAAUCCUAACAAGUGUGCCUUUGGCGUUUCGGCCGGCUAAUUUCUGGGUUUCAUGGUCCACAAGCGCGGCAUCGAAAUCAAGCAGAAGAUUAUAGCUACCAUCAACAAAGUUGUAGCCCCACAAGAAAAAACCGAGCUACAGUCCUUAAUCAGCAAGGUCAACUUCAUCCGAUGGUUCAUAUCUAAUUUGUCCGGGCGUAUUCAAGCUUUCACCCCUUUGUUGAAAUUAAAACCCGAUUAAGAAUUUGCAUGGGGUGAGGAACAACAGAGAGCAUUGGACGACAUUAAACAGUACCUAGUCUCGCCACUAGUAUUAGUUCCGCCAAAGGCCGAUAAGCUAUUCAAAUUAUACCUAUCGGCCGAUGAAUGAGCUAUUGGGUCAGCGCUGGUCUAGAAAUUUGAAAGAAAAGAAAGAGUAAUUUAUUAUGUCAGCAGAAGACUCCUGGACGCUGAAACUAGAUAUCCCCUGGUGGAACGGCUGUGCCUUUAUCUAUAUUUUUCAUGCACUAAACUCAGGCACUACCUGUUAUCAGCAGAGUGCAUAGUCGUAUGCAAAGAUGACGUGGUCAAGUACAUGUUGUCAUUGCCGAUUUUGAAAGGAAGGAUUGGAAAGUGGAUUCUAGCUCUAUCAGAGUUCGACUUGAGGUACGAAUCGGCCAAAGCUGUCAAGGGCCAAGUAAUGGCCGAUUUCAUGGCCUAGCACUAUGGACCAGAAAUUACUGUUGUCGAACCAGCUUCGUGGACACUAUACUUUGAUGGGUCUUCGUGUGGGGCUGGAUCAGGAAUCUGCAUCGUCCUCAUAUCGCCUCGGAGGGCAAGUUAUGAUUUCUCUCUGCCGAUUGAGGCGUCCGCUACUAAUAACCAAGCGGAAUAUCGGGCUGUUCUAAAAGGUAUCCAAUUAUUGAGAGAGGUCAAAACUGACGCAGUGGAAAUUUUUGGGGAUUCCAUGCUCAUUGUAGAUCAAGUAACCGGAAAGUCUGAAUGCAAGGAUGAUAUUUUGAGGAUUUACUAUGAAGAUUGCCUUCAGUUAUUGAAGGAGUUCAAGUUUGCGAUUAUUGAGCAUAUUCCCAGGGAUUACAGCAAAGAAGCUAAUAAGCUUGCCCAACAUGCUUUCGGGUAUCGGCCGAUUCAAGGUGCCAUGACCCUGGAGCUCGCGACUGACGAUUGGAGAAGGGGGAUCGCCGAUUAUUUAAAAGACCCAUCCAAGAAAGUGGACCGACGAGUACAUUUUCAGGCCCCAAACUUGAGGAUGACUUGUUUUACUGGAUGAUUGAUGGAGUGCUACUCAAAUGCCUUGGGAUGGAAGAAGCAAAGGUUCUCAUGGGAGAAAUCCAUGAAGGUGUGUGCGGGGCUCAUCAGUCGUCUCACAAACUGAAGUGGAUGAUCAGGAAUAAUGGUUAUUACUGGCCAACGAUACUUGAGGAUUGCUUCAAGUAUUAUAAGGGAUGCCAGGAUUGUUAGAAAUUCGGCAACGUACAACGUGCACCGGCAUCGGCUAUGAACCCAAUAAUUAAGCCGUGGCCGUUUAGGGGUUGGGGAAUCGACCUCAUCGGACAGAUUUAUCCUCCAUCAAGCAAGGGCCAUAAGUUGAUAUUAGUAGCCACUGACUACUUUACUAAAUGGGUGGAGGCAGUCCCCCUGAAAACCAUGACAUCGGCCGUCAUGGUCGAAUUCUUAAGGGAGCACAUUAUCUAUCGGUUUGGUGUUUCUCAGACCAUUACGACCGAUCAAGGGACGAUGUUUACUUCAGGAGAGUUUGAGGAGUUCACCGCCGAUAUGGGAAUUAAGUUGCUGAAUUCUUCUUCGUAUUACGCUCAAGCUAAUGGUGAGGCCGAAUCAUCCAAUAAAGGGAUAAUCAAGUUGAUCAAGAGGAAGAUAGAGGAGCAAACAAAGAGAUGGCAUGCGACUUAUGAUUAUUCUCUCCUCAUGAAAGGGGAACUCGAUGAUUUGGUGGGUCAGCGACUGAGGGCCUUGAUCAGUAUCGAAGAAAAUAAGAAAAGAGUUGCCAGGUGGUAUGAUAAGAAGGUCAAGGUCAAGCAGUUCUCCCAGGGAGACUUGGUAUGGAAGCUAGUACUACCGAUAGGGUCUAAAGAUCCUAAAUACGGCAAGUCGUCGCCUACUUAGGAAGGGCCGUAUAAAAUCGGCCGAUGUGCGCCGGGAAAUGCGUACAUAUUAGAGACCCUAGAAGGAGAGGAAUUUACAAGAGCUUUAAAUGUAAGAUAUUUGAAGAGAUACUAUCCCAGCAUAUGGGUAGACGCGUAGCCAACAAUAUAUCAUAUCGAGUCAUUACGGCCGAUUCCUAUUGACUCGUGUUUAUAUAGCCGAUGUAGGAAGACAUCGCCUUGAGGACGAAACCUCUGACCAAAUAACUCGAUUUAUUAUUCGGUACAACAAGGGGAUACAUGGCCGACAUGGUACAAGUCGCCCUUAGACCAAAAAGUACCAAUACAUCUAUCAGGUUACAAUAUGAUCAACCGCGUUUCAGUUGGGCUUUGUUUUUAUUGAUUUCUCUUUGGACCUGACCUAUUCCUCUAGAUCCUCCAUGGCAUCUUCAAGAGCCACCUGGCGAGGUAACUGAUGACUCCCUUCGUUUGGCGGCGGAGGUGGUUUCCUUGAGCUGUUGGCUUCAAUGUGGUCCAUGAUCUUCUUAACAUGGGUUGGGAGAUAGUCUUUGAGUUCCUCACGGUGGGCUGCGAUCAAGUCUCUAUCUGCCUGCGUCAGUGGUUCCUCAGAAUGCAUAAUCUCGAUAGCUCGUUCCAAGCCAGGACUGAGCCGAGUCGGCUGGAAAGACCACAGGCAUUCAGUCGUCGAGAGGAAUUGGUUGAGGAACGUGAGAAGGAUCCCAUACCUGAUUGACGGAGGAGGAAGAAGACAUCUUUGCGCCUGGUCGCAGAUCUGAAAAUGGUCGAGCAGAGUAUAGGAGGUUGGAUGAGAUGUGGAUGACCCUGGGGGAAACGUAGAGACCUCAUAUUUAUAGGGGGAAAGAGGUAAGGGGCAAUGCUUAGUAAAGGCAUCUAUUCAAGGCAAACGACCGUUGGGCUAAAAACUGUGAAGGAGAAAUGUUCAAAUUCAUAUUCACACAACGACGGCAAGAGGGGUAUUAAAUGUUUGUGCAGAGGCGUUCGAAGGAUAAUUCAAUGGUCGAUACAUUCAUUCAAGAAGAGUAUUAAUGGCCGCGAUCGCCCGCUGACGGAUGUGAUCUGCUGAGUCCAGAACCUGUUGGUCGUCUUCGGCCGAUCCGGGGACCUCUGGCAUAUUGCGAUGAAGCCGGAUGGCCUCAUGGGCAAGAUUUUGCCUUUCCUAUUUCAAAUCGGCGAUGACGGCUGGAAGAUCAUGAAGCUUCUUCUCUUCAGUGGCAAUGGCUUUCGUCACCUGUUCCAUCUCCUUGGCAAGUUCUUCCCUACGUCGUUUGAGGCGGUCUAUGGUGCCGACAAUAUGUGGAUGAGAGUUUUCAAGUAUGCUGAUUCGGUGAUGUACCUCUUGAGCUCGGUGUUUGUAGGAAUCCUCUUCUUCGCGUGCCUUUGCCAGCUUGGCACGGUCGGCCAUGCGUCGCAGGGCUCUAAACACCGAGAUUUGCAUUGAUUCGAUGUAUGCUGCGGGUGCAAGCGCUUCUUCUGCGUCCUCCGGGACUCAGCCUCUUAUUUCCCUGAAGAUCUACCGAAUCGGCGAGGCGUCUUCCACCAAUCGGCCGAUGUCAUCCUGAAGGAGGACUCGGAUGCUCUGGAGCUUUGCACGUACUUCAUCAGGAAUUGAGCCCAGAGCCACCUGUCGAGAGGCUACCUCUUCAUCAUCAGAGACAGCGACCGCGAACGAAAAGAGGCUGAUUGGGCGUAUCUUGCUCCUGUAAAAGUAAAAGAGGAAGGAAUGGGUUAGCCAAUGAUGGUGAAGAUUGGUUAAAAUUAGAUGCCAAAGGCCCUUACCUGUUGAAAAUGAAUUUCUUCUGAUUGUGUUGGUAGGAUUGCUACCCUUGAUUCAGAAAUUGGCACGGUUGGCUCAUCAGAAGAAGAGGACUCGACGAUUAUCGGCGUUGUACUUGGACCAGCUUCCUGGAGAGUAACAAGAGGAGAGUCUCUGUAAGUUGAAGCAAUAGUUCAAUCUGAUGAUGAAUAUCAGUUACUCUACCUCUACGAGUCAUCCGGCCGAUGACCGUUGGAAAGGUACGAUUGACGCACCCAGAGUGGCCUGCAUCAGAAAUCGGUCAGUUUUCGGUUAAGGAUUAAGAGACUUGAGUAAAAUAAAUAUUCUCUACCUCAGUUGAAAGGACUGCUGGUGGUUCAGUUUUUGCUUGGGGUAUGGCUGAUUGUCGCAAAGUUUGCUGUGGAAUGAUUUGCGCGGCCUGAUAGAAAGUGGAAAUUAAUACUAUAGUAUACUUGGAAAAAUAUGAGGCGUAUAGAGUUACCUGAACAGCUUCUACCAAUAAGGAUGCGGCUGCUGAUCCGGCUUCCGUAGUGGCUUGGGGGUCGACCUCCUGAGCAAUCGGCAGGGUUGGUGCGGUUAAAGACUCGGCUGGUAAUACCGCCGAUUAAUCGGCCGGUUCUAUGUGGGCGCGCACCCGGCGGCUUGUCUUCUUUGAAGAAGAUAUCUUUAGUUUUUGCUUCAAUCGGCCAGUGAUGAUUUCUUCGAUUGACGGGGCCUGAAAGCCGAUGAUUGGAAAUGAAGUAUAUGGGUGGCGAUUUUCUAUUGGCCUGCCACUACGGCUGCGUGUUGGAGGGAUUUGGUUUUCAGACUGUGAGGAAAAGAGGAAAGUUAGUAGUAAUCUUGCAGCGUGAAGGGUACAGUGUCAAAUCAGCCAGAAGCGUUGGUACCUCUGCAUUUGGAUCAAUAUUGGUGAGGUCCAGAUUGUUGCAAUAUGUUGCAGGAGAUGUGCAGAAGAGGUGUUGUUUCCACUCACCCCACCAUAGCUUAAAUUGUUGGACAGCAAAGGGGGCCACCGCCCAGCCGGCUCAGUCAACGGUACUAGAAUGUGGUGUUAAGCUGCACAGCCGAUUGUAUUCAAGUCCUCUAGUGAGUUCCUCCCGAAACUUCAUGCGGCCAGCAAAAUAAAUCUUAAUCGGCAGCUGUCCGAGGCCGAGUUGCCGUGCUGCCACUGAUGGGUUGUUAAAUUCAUAGGUUGGGGAGUCUUUUCCUGAGAAGAAGUUUGCUGGUAGGAUCCCAGGCUUGAUCAAAACAUCCAUAAGCUCAUUGUCGAAGGAAUUGGUGGUUGAAUUAAAGCAGACGGGAUUUUCAAAAAGUGUCUCAGUUCUCUGGUAUGGAUACCAGCUUGUGGUUUCUUUGCUAAAGCCGAUAUAGAAAUAUUUGAAAUACUCGGCUAUCUUGGUGGGGGUAAACUUUCUGCCAGGAAAGGCUGACACCGCCUCACCAAAAGAAUUGCAGCGCCGUCUUACUGUUGGGUUUUCCUCUGAUUCAAUGUUGGGGAACGUCUUGGUUUCAACUCGUUCCCUGGAGACCUUGGUCAUGUAUAAGUUAAGCUAGAGGGUGAUAAACCACCAGGGACCACCAGGGUUCCCAAUUGGCUCUUCGGAUGACAGCUUGACGGCGAUUUGGUGCAUCAUAUGAUAAGCCGAUCCUAGCAGGUGUUUUCCUAAGGGAAUAGUAGAACCUUUUGCUAGGGCCUCGGACAGAGCCUGUGUAUUGGAGGAAGGGCCGAGUGCUUUGCCAUAGAAGAAGUGUUUCUCUAGCCACAUCAUUAGAAAGGCUGUGUACUCUCUGUCGUCGAUAGGUCCGGUCUUCAUAUUUUUAUCAAUAUAGCCUUUCCACCUACCGAUUCCCUUUGUUUCCAGGUGAUGGGUUGGUUUGAUUAGAAAAUCGAAGGGCUUAUCAGGCGAAGAGAUAUCGAGGCCGGUCAACAUCAGAACAUCGGCCAAGGUAAGAGUCAUGGGCCCAUGUCCAAAGAGGAAUGCAUUAAGGGCGUCAGACCAGAAAUAAGAAGCUGCCAUGACCAAGGGUUCAUUCUUCUCCAUUUGAGAUAGAGAUAAGUUUAUGCAUUGGCCGAUUUUUAGUUCAUCCCAGAGAACCCUCUUGGAAUUGGACAUCCUUUGAAACUAUUCCUUCCAGCCAAGGGUUUCGUUGGGCUAUGAUCUGAAAGCGUUUGUCCACUGGCUUAAAUCCAUGGGUGAUUUCUUGAAAGGGAUCCUGUGGGUUUCCAGGUUGAUCAAUUCAGUGGGAUCUAGAUUCCCCAUGGGGCUGAGACCAAUGAGGCCGGGUGCAUCAGAAAAAGUGAUGGUGAUUCGCUGCCUAAGUUCCUAAGGAGAAUACAAAGGGAGAACUAAGAACAGAUCUAAAAAUACAUGAAACGGUGAAAAGGAAAAGUUUCGGGAUAUUUACCUCUGGAAUGAAAGCCAUGGUUGCCGAUGGAGCCGCCAUUGGAGUGGACGGAAUGGGAUGGUCGGAAGAUGAAAGAAAAAUCACCGGAGGGAUGCAGCUGGAAGAUGAAAGGGCGCCGUAAUGCGAUGGGAGAUGAUUCGCCAGGGAGAGAAGGUUUCAGAGUUUGAGAAGAAGAAGCGGCGGAGGAUGCAGGUAUCUAAAGGCGGUUCGAGAUAAGGGUAAAGGCGGGAUUUUUACCGCGCCAUCUACACGAAUUUUGGGAAGAGUGGUUGCCUGUGGGCGCUUGGUUCAAAAAAUUGCAAUCGUCAGAGAGGAGACUACGGAGCGAAAAGGAGUUUUAGCCGCGCUUACUGUUGCAUUUUCUUCGGGGAAGGAGUUAAAAGUUGAAAAGUUUCGGAGCAAAAGUUAUGUUUCACUCCAAAACUGGGGGCCAUGUGUUGAAGCUGGAUUUUGACACGUGUAUGAAAUUGGCAUCAAAGAAGGAGAAAAGCGGCUAGUGCGGCAGCUAGAAGCUACAGUUGGGAAUCGGCCGAUUAUGCUACAGUGUUUCGGCCGACUGGUAGAGGGAGUUGAUAAAGGCUGGCCGAUUGGGAGUCGGGAUGAUUUGGCCGGUAUGGGCCUAAGGUGGGCCAAGAUGAAGAUUAGCUGAAGAUGGAGAUUGGCCCGUGGGAAAAUAAUAACCAACUUGGGUACGAGUUGUGUUUGUAAAUAUUUAUUAUCGUUUUAAAUUAGAGAUAGAUCCUAGUCGGUUAGGAAAUCAGUUGUGGCGGGGUAUAAAUAGCUGCCUCGUGAAGCUUGUAAAACAACACAUCAAUCAAUACAACAAAUCUACUUUUUACUCGUACUUUACUUUUAAGUUGGCGACUUCGCCAAAAUACUUUUUCUUUCAUGAGUUCGUACGGGUUGGCAGGGCUGCAUCGACACGAUCUCCGGCUGAUUCUGUAAGUUCCGCUUACUGAGUAAUAUCUAAGCUUUAACUUCGGGCGCAUCGCUAUUGUUUCGUUUAGAUUUAUUCACCAGUUAUCGAUAUCAACUAGAAUCGUAGGUUCUACCUGUUAUUUUAGUUUUUAUCACCAGUUAUCUAGCUUGAGAUACGAACUAUCGACUUUUAUCACUUUUAUUCUUUGUUAUCACAUAGCCGAUUAGAUCCAUCCCAAGUGUUGCUUCUCUAGCGUUGUUUAGCUUGCUCUAGUAGUUUUCUUUACAAUCGCUACACGGUAUCGGCUGUUUUAUAGCUGGUCACCUCUACAGUGAAUCGGCCGAUUCGCCGAUACGCUUUUUAAGACAGAUCGGAACUUUAGCCGAUCGAGGCUCCUGGAAUUUAAUAUUUUUAUUUCCUUGUCAAUCAACAGGUCAGAUUGACUUGCACGCCGCAAGAACCGCACCAGGGUGAUAACCCGAACAGGAGUUAAGAAGAUUCUCCCGGGUCGUGUGUCCGACGCUGAGGAUCGUUGGUCGAUUUUCAGCGUCAACACUAACCAUCAAGGAAAUUUGGAAAGAUCGCAAUGCACAAGUUUUUGAUCAUAAGGAAUCAACGAACACCCUGAGUUCUAGCAAGAAUUUAGGAGGAAUCAUCACAAUGGAUUAUGGCUGGAGCUAAGCAUCUUGUUACUCUGCUAAGCAGAGCUUUAGUUUUUUUUCCUUUUUCUUUCUUUUUUUCUUUCUAUUCUUGUACAUAUAUUUUUUCCUCAUCUAAAAUUUCCUUCUUUUUAAUAUAAUUAUCAGCUCUCCUACCAGUUCAAUUUAAAGAAAUUAAGUAUAAUGAGUUUCAAUACAAGCACCGGCACACGUUUAUUCCUUUGAGUUUGAUUCCUUAUUAUGCAUAAGUGAAAUGUCAUGACUCAUGAGUGUUAUACCUUGCAAGAAAGGCCAUUCGAGGAAGUUCUUUUCUUUAUUAGUUUUUUAUAUGUUCUUUCUAUGUUACUGAUUAUUAUUAUUUUGGAAUGGAGGCAAUUGCAUUCUAUAUUUGUUUCUUUCAGGUAGAUGGGCCUCUAUGGGCUAGGCUUUCAUCAUGGGCCACAACGCGAACUUAUUGGCACAACAACAUUUCUUGUGGGGCCUGUAGUUUGACCGGUAAAAUCGAUCAUCGGUAUUCUAAAGGUGCAUUUAGUAGAGCUUCCCGAGCUAAUUCUCUAUUGAUUCCAGCAGGAGUUCUGCCAAAUACUUUUUAAGAGAGAAGUAAUUCUCUACUGAAUCUGUGAAGUGAUUCUUUGAAAUGAACUAAGAGGCUGGGAGCUGGAAAAAGUAGCUUCUCCUGAUUCUGUGAAUUGAUUCUCCAUCCUAAUUUUAAGAGUUUAUACUAGAGAAUCAAAGAGAAUCACUUUCAGCCACAGAAUCACUUCUCUUAGAGAAUCAGCUCCCAUAGAGAAUUAGAAUCAGAUGGAACUCUACCAAAUAGACUCUAAACACCAUAUUCCGCUGUGUAUGCAUGUGAAAUAAAUUCAUGGUCAUUACCCAAAAAAAAGAAUCCAUGGAUACUGCGUUUGAUUGUUUCAGAAAACAUAGUAGUUACGUGAGAAGAGUUCCAAAUCGGAUGGUGUCCCUUUCGUCUCCCUCGUCCCUUUCCCUCCCCUCCACCAACCUUGACGCCAUAGCCAACCCCACCAGCCCCACGUCGUUGCUCACCCUGAGACCGGCGGCCACCUCUCCCUCCUCUCUACCAGAGUCAAGAUCUCUCUCCGCGACAGUAGCUGGGCGCAGCAAAGUUCAGCAUUGGUGCCAUGACUCUCCCCCUUUUGGGAAGUCUGGCGGCGGCGCCUCUCCUCUAUCUUUCAAGGAAGUGCUCCUAGCGGCGAUCACCGUGCCACCGAUGGGUUCUUCCUCUCCUCCUUCGGCGAGCCCCCCUUGCGACGCCUCCCCUAGGAUCGUGUUGCGUCCGGCUGACGCCCGUCCGCUGCCCCCGCUGUCUGGCCUGGAUGCGGAUGGCUGGAACACGGUGGUGAGCCGACGGGCGCGCAAAGAGGCCCGCCGCCUUGCGAGCCAUCCUCGUCGCCCUAUCCCGGUUGACCUUCGCGGAAAGUGCUUCAACUGCUUCUCCCCAUGGCACCGCGCAACGUCAUGCAAAUCUAGUCCACGGUGCUUCCGGUGUUGGAAUACUGGUCAUCGCUCCUACAUUUGUCCUGGAUGGCAAUCGUCUUCUCUCACCAGCCCUCAUUCCAGGCUGGUGUGGCGGCAAGUUUCCUCGUCUUCAACACCACCGCCGCCCUCCCAGGUUCCCAUGGCCCCACCGGCUACUACUGCUCCGCUGACUGCUACUGUUGAGGGCGCUGACGCUAGAAGAUGGCGCCGGCGUGCUCGCAAGUGUGGGAGGGGUCGUGGCCGGCCUAGCCAGCACACUGCUGCUAGCCCUAGUGGAACGGAUGGCUCUCCCUCCUUCGCCUCGAGUGAUGAUGAUCGCCUGAUCACCGACGCCGGCCACCUCAAUUGGCCAUGUCGUGUGAUCAGUCGCUCGGUCACCAUGACUCGGAAGGUCGAGGAGCUCGCCGGCCGCGCCCUCGUCAUCUCAGGGAUCGCGGACAAUCUGGGUGAACUUACUGGGGCAAUUGUGCUGGCGGUGGCUCAGAGGUUUUAGAUCGAGGAAAUUCUGCUGUCCUUGCUUUCCUUGGGGCACGCUAGUUUUCUCUCACGGCUUCAAGAAUCCUUAGCGAUGGAAGACCUAUCCCAAUUCCCCCUGGUCGUACGCACGUUACAUGAUGGUCGCGACUCAUGAAGUCCUCGGCGGCAUUAUUACCUGCAGUCGUGGAGGUGGAGCUCAAAGGAAUACCAGCGCACGCAUGGGACGUGGAGAUGGCGACGCAGCUUCUCAAUGACUGCUGCCUUCUCCACAACGUCCAUCCGGUGACGGCCACUCAACGCGAGACUUUCCGUCUCACGACCUGGUGUUCCAAUCCAGACCGCAUUCCCCCAUUGAUUAACAUGGAAAUCCCUAAGGUUGCUAUGCCAGGCUUGGGAGAUCAGUACGUCCAACAUUCUCUCUCUCUUACCCCAUGCAAAUCUCGGUGAGAAUUCUCGAUGGCUCCCCAUCGGUGGACCUACCCAACCCACCCCCUUCUGCAGCUGACAAAGGUCACCGUCAUCAUCACCGCCGUUGGCGAAGACAAUCUGCGGCUUCUCCUACGGCGUCAGCGGUGGAAGGCGGAUUGAUCAUGAUGGCAGGGGUCCACCGUGUCUCCGUGCACACAUGGCUGGGCCCAGCCACCUCGGGGUGCAAUGACAACACCAAACGAGGAGUUGGCAUGGACACCGCGCCGGGUGUGAUGGCCCCUGUGCUUGAUGUCGCUGCGGCGGCGAGCGCCUCGGGUUCCUACCAGCGCAUGAACUCCACAACGGCUGGCGCUGAUCCUGUUCGCCUACCGCUUAAUCAAGAGAUGGAGCAAGCCAAUGAUCGAGAUUUGCCUCAGGGCCACCUUGCCGAUACAGCAAUUCAACCUGACUGCCUAGCUGCAUCUCACGAUGGACAAUGUUUCAGCGCCACUGAAGAUACACCGGGGGGCGACGGGUCCGACUCGGUCCUGGUUCAUAAUCCAACUCAUGUUUGUGUCUCCAGCUCCGGCGACCCCUACGCGACUAGCCAUCCUCGCAGAUCCCUGUGACGGCGACCUUCACCUUCGGCUUGGCGUCACCCGAUCACCUGUGCGUCAAGUCCGUGCCAGCCUUUCCUGUGCGCUUGACUUCGCCUGGUGACCAGGGCAUUGCCCAUCCAUGCAGCCAAGGCUUCAUUCCACCCUCGAGUCCGCUGAGCCUGGUAUCGCAAGAGCUGUCCUAGAGGGUUCUCCCUGACAAUCUCAUCAUCUACUCAAGGACGCCAAGAAGGAAGCAAGAUCCAUCAACACCAUCUCUGGCUACAGAGUUCAUUGAUCAGGUCACUAAGAAAGUGGAUUCGCUUGUACAUGUCCCGACCAUCGCGAAAAGAAGGAAGAAGACCGUCUACCCAAUGAGCUUGCCGUGACGCAGCCGUCGCAUUGCCAAACUUCCCCCCUGAAAUAGAUAAAGCAUCGACAUCAACUGCUUGCAGGAAACUUGGUCUUACUGAUGAUGAGGGCAGGAUUUCUGAUGAGGACCUUGAUUGGUAUGCCAAACUGUAUGAUCACCUCCUAUGUUGUGACCAUGUGGUAGCACUUUCGACCUUGUUUGGUUGGGAUGCACCUCCUGAGGGACAUGUUCGUGCUACUGAUGUCACUAUCACAUUGUACUGAUGGACCAUGCUUUCGGUCAUGAUUAAACUUUCUAUUUUUAUGGAUAGAUCAACCAUCUUGAUUUGGAACGUUCGUGGUCUUAAUGACAAGUCUAGGCGUGAUAAUCUCCGAAAGGUCAUGGAUGAUUCAAAGCUAGUGGUUGUCUGUAUCCAGGAGACCAAGUUAGCACAUAUAUCUGAGAGAGACGUCCUAUCCUUUUUGGGUCAAGACUUCAAUCAGUUUGUAUACCUGCCUGCACAACAGACAAGGGGAGGGAUAUUGGUUGCUUAGCGAGAGGGAUCAUUUGUGGUCGACCAUCACCAUGUUCACCGCCAUUAUGUAUCUGUCUUACUCAGUGGGGGAGGGGGGUGAUGAUCCUCCUUGGUGGCUUACUGGAGUUUAUGGCCCCCAAAGUGAUGCUGACAAGGUUGCCUUCCUUGAUGAACUUCGGGAAGUCCGGGCGAGCUGCCCCAGACCUUGGAUGUUGGUCGGUGAUUUCAACAUGAUAUAUUGCUCUGAAGAUAAGAAUAAUGAGAAUGUCAACCGUGCUAUGAUGGGUAGAUUGCGUCGAUUUGUGAAUGAUUUAGAGUUAAAAGAGAUCCCACUUCUUGGAAGAAGGUACACUUGGUCCAAUGAAAGAGAGUCGCCUACUCUGGUCAAGUUAGAUCGUGUGCUCUGUAACAAAGAUUGGGAGGAUAUUUUUCCCGAGACCCUGCUACAAAGCCAUGCUACAGAGAUGUCAGAUCAUUGCCCCUUGGUGCUAGGCCUUAGAGAAGGAGUUUUGGGGAAGAAACGGUUCCACUUUGAGAGUUUCUGGAACCAACUUCCGGAUUUCCAUGAAACGGUACAACAGUCAUGGGAGGGGCAUGUGAAUUGCUGCUGUCCCCUUGAGAGAAUAUCGAUCAAGCUAAAGCGGCUCACUAGAGCUUUGCAGUCAUGGAACCAAAAAUAGGUUGGCAACAUAAAAGUGCAGCUUGCUCUUGCCCGAGACAUCCUACACCACCUUGAGAUGGCCCAAGAUCACCGAACUCUUUCUUCUGAUGAAAACUGGUUAAGAGGAGAACUUAAACAUCACUGUUUGGUCCAUUCCUCCCUUGAAAGGACAAUCGCCCACCUUAGGUCAUGAGUUAGAUAUUUGAACGAGGGUGAUGCGAACACCUCCUUUUUUCACAAACAAGCCAGUUUCAGAAAACGGAAGAACUUUAUCUCUAAAUUGGUACAGGGGGAUCAUGUGUCCAUAGUCCAGGAGGAUAAACACAAGUGCUAUUCGACUAUUUUGAUGGACUGAUUGGUACAGCUGUGCCCAGAGAAUCCACCUUGGACCUGGCAAUCUUUCAUAGAAUUGGGGUUGAUCUUUCAGUUCUUGACGCGCCAUUUUCUGAGGAGGAUGUUUGGUCGACAAUUAGAUCCCUCUCGGCUGACAGAGCCCCUGGCCCAGACGGCCUUACAGCGAGAUUUUAUAAGUCUUGUUGGCCAAUCAUCAAAGCGGACUUCAUGGAAGCCAUUAUCACUUUACAGUAGGGUGACUCACGAAAAUUAGAACUGCUGAACUCAACAUUUAUAACUCUCAUCCCAAAAAAGGCAGAGGCAUUGGAGGCUAAAGAUUAUAGGCCAAUCAGUCUUUUGCAUAGUUUUGCCAAACUUAUUACCAAAAUGAUGGCGAAUCGUAUUGCUCCUCACCUUGACUCCCUUGUUGCUACAAAUCAGAGUGCUUUUAUUAGGGGCAGGUGUAUACAUGAUAAUUUCAUGUUGGUUCAACAGACUAUCAAUGUACUGCAUCGUCGUAAAGUCUCAAGCCUCUUUUUAAAGCUUGAUAUUUCUAAAGCCUUUAACUCAGUAGCUUGGACAUUUUUUAUGGAGAUUCUCUCAUACUUGGGUUUUGGUCCCAUCUGGUGCAACCUCAUUGCCAAUCUCCUUCACUCAGCUUCUACUCAAGUUAUUCUUAAUGGAGAGCUGGGUGAGUACAUCUUUCACCAGCGAGGUCUUCAGCAGGGAGAUCCUCUAUCCCCUAUGCUCUUUAUCUUGGUUAUGGAUGUCCUAAAUGGUCUCUUCUUGAAAGCUGAAACUGAGGGCCUGUUACAGCCCCUCCACUCCUCUGGACAGCACAUGUCUUUAUAUGCUGAUGAUGUAGCACUCUUUAUUCGGGUGGAAGAAGAUGAUCUGCAGCUCACUAAGAAUUUGCUACAUGUUUUUGGUGUGGCUUCGGGCUUGCAAACCAACUUACAUAAGAGUUGCGUAAUCCCAAUCGAGUGUGAUGGUGAUGUAAUAGAAACUGUUAACAUCACCUUGCAAUGUACAACCUCUUCUUUCCCUACCACAUAUUUGGGCCUACCUAUCUCUGACAGGAAAUUGAGAAGGUGUGACUUAAUGACUUGGUCAAGAAGAUAGCUGACAAGCUCCCAAGGUGGAAAGCUUCUCUCAUGAAUCUAUCUGGUCGAGCGGUGCUAGUCCGGUUCAUCCUCACUGCAAUUCCUAUUUAUUUGCUGAUCGCCAUCAAGGUCCCUAAAUGGUUCAUUAAGGCCAUAGAUAAAAUUAGAAGGGGUUUCUUGUGGAAGGGAAGAAAGGAUGUGAAUGGAGGAUGUUGCUUGGUGGCUUGGGAAAAGGUCAUGAGACCCAUGGAUCUGGGAAGUUUGGGCAUUCAGAAUCUUGAAUCCAUGAGUUGGGCUUUACAAAUGCAAUGGCUAUGGAUUGAGAAGAUCAAACCUGACUGACCAUGGGUUGGUCUUGAAAUACCAGUUCAUUCCAACAGUCGGGCCAUGUUUGCCAUUUCAAUUGCAACUUCUAUUGGUAAUGGGGAGAAUACCUUGUUUUGGACAGAUCGUUGGCUACAUGGCUGCUGCCUGGAAGAGUUAGCACUAGAUGUUUAUAAAUGUGUUCCCUUGAGGGUGCGAAAAAUUAGAACUGUGGCACAAGCGCAAUCUUGGGUAUCAGACAUUAGAGGAGCUCUUAGCUGGCAUAGAGUUCAUGAUUAUCUUCAGCUUUGGGAUGCUUUGUCAAAUGUUAUGCUAAACACUCUGGAAGAUCAACACCAAUGGAGGUUUGAAGCUUCGGGCCAUUUCACUACAAAAGCAGCCUAUAGACCUUUCCUAGUUGGGUCUGUUACCUUUGAACCUUGGAAGAGGCUUUGGAAAGCAUGGGCGCCUGGUAAAUGCAAAACUUUUGUUUGGCUGGCAAUCAGGAACCGAUGUUGGACAUCUAAUCGGCUGCAGAAAAGAAGCUUGCCUCACCCUGACCAAUGCCCCUUUUGUGAUCAGGAGGAGGAGACGGUUCAACACAUCCUCACCACCUGUGUAUUCGCACGACAGUUUUAUUUCUAUAUUCUGAAUCCCUUAAACUUGUCUGAUUUGGUGCCUAGCCGCAGUGCUAAAUCCUUGGCAGAUUGGUGGAGAAGGUCAUGGAAGAAAGUUCAUAAACAGUAUCGAAAGAGCUUUAAUUCCCUUGUCAUUCUGGGAUUAUGGACCCUCUAGAAACAUCGCAAUGCUUGUGUCUUUGAUGGUUCUGCUCCAAAUCUACAUGGAGCUCUUCAGGCCUUCAUAGAUGAAGCACAUUUGUGGUAGGUAGCUGGAGCCAAGGGGCUCACUGCCCUGCACCUAGAAAGGGUGGUGAUCUAGAGUUUAAAACAGGGAUUUAGUCUAGUCAGGUCCUUGUGUGCGUUUUUCUUAAUACGUAAGAGUAGUGCCAAUGGUUUGCAUCCCUCAUCCUGGUCCAAGGUGGGGUGAUGUCCUGUAAUUUGGACCUUAUUCUCUCUUAACCAAAGAUACGCAGCUCUCUUGCGUGUUCGAGAAAAUAGUAGUUACGUUCACAAAAGCAAACACGUGUGGCAACAGACAGAAACACUGAAACACUUGACGCGAUAUACAUUUUACGAUGCAUGGCUCGCAAAGUCACAAGUCACAUCAAUUUCAGCCAUGUAUGACCAAAUCACAAUAGCAUGCAGACAUGAUGAUGACGACACUGACGUCACGGGCAACACCUGCACCGAUGCCUAGGCAGCUCAGCGACAGCUCCCCUUGCUCGCACGCCCGCGUUCCACGCGAAAAAGCGGAUGCGUGGUGUUCAGCCACGGCUCCAGCUAUUUUAAAAAACAUCUUCCUACGGGGAUCACAAUCCUAUUCAACGCAUCCAACCCAUAACCACGUGCAUAUAUUUUACAAAUAGACCAUUGUACUAAAAUUUAUUUCGACACAAAGAAGAGAAAAUUCGAUGGUGCUCGUGGUUUGACAUCAUGGGCACGCAUGGGCGGCUAUGCGAAACAACAACACAUGCACUGAUCGAUCAAAGCUGACAAAGGACACUAAUCAGCUUGAUUAAAGACAGCUCCGUUUUGCUCGCACGCCCGCAUUCCACGCGAAAAAGUGGACGUGUGGCGUUCAGCCACGGCUUCAGCUAUUUUGCAAAAACAUCCUCCGGUUUUAUAGGGAUCGCAACCCAAUUCAACACGUCCAGUCCAACUCAUACAAUAAUCAUGUGCAUAUAUUUUACAAAUAGGUCCUUGUACUAAAAUUUAUUUCAACACGAAGAAGAAAAAUUUCGAUAGUGCUGUCAUUUUUACAGAAACCACCCAAGGCGGUUUUCCGAACACCCCUCCCAUCACCCAAUCGGCCAACACCCCCGUCCCCGCGUGCAGCCCGAACCCUAACCCUCCACUCUCCUCCCCGCUGCCCUCUCUCCCCUUUCUCCUCCUCCCUGCCGGCGCCCUCUCUCGGGCACGUCUAUACGUUGCAAGAAGCGACAAAAAAUAAAUCAUCACCUUAAGCAUUUGAACGGGUGCGCCUGAGGGAUAGUUAAAUCAAUAUCAUGGACCAAUAGGGGAGUAGUAUGGUUAACUAGCACAGCAAAUAGAAUACGGUGCAUGCAUGCAAAACAUGACAAAAUUGAUGAUAGCACUCACAUGCAAAGCAGUUUACAAACAAAAAAAAUCUAUAAAUCUUAAACUGUAUAUCCAAAUUAAAUUCUGAUUACACUUACGAUAAAAUCUUUAAAAUAAGAUCCCACUUGACUAUGUUUUGACAAUAUUUGAAAAAAUUAAUACAUAAUAAUUAGUUACAGUUAUUGCGAACAAAUGAUUAAAUGUGGCAAACAAAUAAUUAUUUUAUGCGAACAAAUAAUUAAACAUGACAACAAAAUAAUAGCACACUGCGAACUAAAAUAAUUAGAAUCACAAACAAUUUAUUGUACAGAACAUCAUAAAAAAUGGAUACCAUGCAACAAAUAAGUACGCAUUGCAGAACAAAGAUAUAUAAAUUUAGAAUAAAUUAUGCGAGUUUACAAAAUAAGAUGUGUACAUUUCGAACAAAUUAUAAGAAUCUAUAGAACAAAUCAACUAUACACGUCGAAUAAAUUAUAUGAACUUACAAAAUAAAAAUGUAUAAAUAAAUUAUACAAACUCAUAGAACAAAAAUUUAUAAAUCUAGAACAAUUUAUAUAAACUUACAUAACAAAAGAGUUGUGCACAUCGAACAAAUUGCAUGAACUCAUAGAAUAAACAAAACAAUUUAGUAUCCAUAGGAAAAUUAAAAUAUAAAAUAAUAUGAAAUAGAUAUAUUGUAAUCACUAAUAAUAAAUUAAAAAAUAAAACUAAAAAGAAGAGAAAAUAAUAUAAUUAUCAAUAGUAAUAAAUAAAACAAAAGAAUAAUGCAAGAUAGGAAUUAGACUAAUAAAUAGGAAAAUGAAAUAUAAGAGACAAAAAAGAAAUAAAAAGGAAUGAGAAAAAAGGGUGUAACCAUAAAAUGGUAAAGAAAAUAAAAGAAGGAGAGAAAGGAAAAGAGAACAUGAAAAAAGGAGAAGGGAUGAAAAUAAAUAAAUAAGAGAGAAGAAAAAAAAUAAAAGAAUAGAUAAAGGAAAAUAAAAAAAUGAGACAAGAAAAAAAAUGAAAACAAAGAAAAAACAAAAAGGAGAAAGGAGAAAAGAGAAAAAGAAAACUUCGUAUUAACAUGGUCUGUAGUUCAACUAAUCACAAAGCAUUGAGCAGUGGAGUGGGUCAUGAUUGUUGUACCAAGCACGUUGCUAGUGCAGUGGUGGUUGAGGAAUCAGUCGGGCUGGGAAAAAAAAGACAGGCCGAACUUCUGGGCCGAAUCUCCCUCCCUGCCGCCCCUCCCGCACUCUCUCUCUCUUAGAUUCGAUACUCAUCUUAACUUUUCUCUUAAAGAUUCGGUGUGGGCCGAGGUGAUGGCGGACCAGGAGAGCUCGCUGGGGCUCCAGUGCCAUGGCUCGCCUGCUGCUCUGCUGCCAACCUAGCGCAAGCGGUGGCCGACCCGCAGGGCCGUCCCGGCAUAAACCGAGGCCCUGUACCGAACUACAAAAGGAGGCCUACGGGGAAGUAAAGUAAUAAAAUAAUAUAUAGUAUAAUAUAUUACAUAGAAAUAUGAUACAUUAAGACCAUACCUAUUUAAUCUUGGUUGCAUAAUCUUUAUCUGAAGAGCAUCAUUCUUUUGGUGUUCCUUGAAAUGAAAUUUUCAAUAAUAAACUUAUAUUCAAUCUUCUCCAAUAUGUCACUCUCAAGUGCUAUCAUGGCCAAAUCAUUUAGUCUUUCUUGUGUCAUUGUAGAACGCAAGUAAGACUUCAGUAGCUUCAAUUUAGAAAAGCUACGUUCUGCUGAUGCAACAGUCACAGAAAUGGUCAAGAAAAUUCUAUAUGCAAUAAUAGCAUUGGGAAAAUAAUCAUGUCGUUUCAGAAACUUUAGAAUCUCAACAGGAUCCAUAUUUUCUUCUGGAAUGAAAUCUUGAAGAAACAUUAACUCCACAUACAGUUCAUUAGCAUCAAUAUCAGAUUUACCAUCUCUUGUAAGGCCCCGCUCAAGACUUUCACAAGAAGAUUUCAAGCUAUUCUUAUCCAAUGGCUUCAAUGUGUUGGAAGUAAAUAAGAAACCAAAAAUAUUCUGGUAACCUUGAUACUGUUCAAAUCUCAUUGUAAGCGAGAAAAUAGCUUGAUCAACGAUAUUUAGAAAAUGUUGAUUCUAAAUGAUUCCUCUGCAGACUGUGUGGAAGCAUUUGUGUCAUCUGGGUUCUCAUCAAAAUGUCUCUUUCUUUUAAUCUCUCGUUUCUUAUGAAACUCUAUACCAAUAUCCAUCUCAAGUGCAAUUCCUUUUGCUAUCUCCAAUGCCUCUAAGAAACCAGUUUCCCUGUACCCUUUGAAGAACGCAAUCAAUCCCUACACUUCCUAAAUAGCAACAUCAAUAAGCAUAUCCUUUGAUUGCAACUGUUUGCUUACUAAAUUAAUGGCAUAUAAUAAUUCAUACCAAAUUACUAUUGCCACUAUAAAUUCAUACUCUCCAAGUUCAUUAUUUGCUAGACCUUAGCCUCACUCCUUGUUUUUAAAUCAUUUUCAAUAUCAGAUACCUGAGAUUAAAAGAAACAACAUAUCAUUAGAUUUAGACAUGGUCAAAUGAAUUACGACAUUAUUAGUAUAGUAUGAAGAUAUUGAAUACCUGAAGUAGAGCCUCCUAGAUAUUUGCACAUUGAAAUCUAAUAGCUUUAACACUUUCAACAUGACUCUCCCAACGUGUAGCUGACAGUGACUUGACAGUCCAUCCUGUUAUGUUAUCUUUCAGAAUAUGCCAUUUCUUAGUGGAAUUAGCAAAUGUUGUGUAGAUGCGCUGGAUAAUCCCAAAAAAUCUUUAGCUCUACCACAAUUCUUGGCCAUGUCACAAAGUGUCAGAUUAAGGCUAUGACAACCACAAGCAGAAUAGAAAGCUCUAGGAUUUACAUCCAAAAUUUUUGUCUUUACCCCUUUGUUGCAUCCUUUCAUAUUUGCCCCAUUAUUAUAGCCUUAUCCUCUCAUGUCAUCAAUAUUAAGAUCAAGUUGCUUUAGCUCAUUCUGUAGCACAUUAAAGAGUCCUUGUCUAGUCGUAUUGUUUACAUCUAAAAAUCCUAGAAAGGAUUCUUCGAUCGAAACAUGACCGGAAGAUGUAUCCACAUAUCUUAUAAUUAAAGACAUUUGUUCUUGGUGACUUGCAUUAGGGGUACAAUCAAGAAUGAUAGAGAAAUACUUUGCACUCUUUAUUUUCAUAAUAAUUUUAGACUUAAUAGCAGAAGCAAGUAUGUGUAUCAACUCAUUCUGAAUCCUAGGACCAAGAUAAUGAACAUGUGUUUCAUCAUGUGUAAUACGAUGAACAUGCUCUUGAAUAACUGGAUCAAAUUCAGCCAACAUCUCUACCAAACCCAAAAAGUUCCCAUUGCUAUCAUCAUAUAGUUUGCUGUUACUACCACGGAAUGCUAGAUUAUGCUUGGCAAGAAAUUUUACAAUGGCAACAAUUCUGAACAGAACUUUUCUCCAGUGGUCCUUUUCUUUCUCAAGUUGUCAUUGAGCAGUUUUAUCAAUAGUUUGAUCCUUUUGUAGUCUACUACGCAGCUCAUACCAAGCGGUCAUAUUUAAAACAUGAUCAACACUUGUCUCAUGCUCUUUAAGUCUAGUACCAAGAUGUGCCCAAUCACUAUACCCCUCAUUUGCCAGAUAACCUUUCUAGUUCCCUUUUGUGAAUAAUUUACAACUGAAGCAAAAUACUCUAUUGAGCUCUUUAGAAUAAACAAGCCAAUCCCUAUUGCAAUGCUCUCCAUUUGAUAGUACUCUAGUAUAGAAUAGUGCAGAAAACCUUCUAGAAUAUCUAUCCCUAGGACCUUUCUGAAUUGAUAAGUCUCUUUUAGGUCCCUUUUCUGCUAAAAUGUCAAUUUGUUUAGAAUCAAGCGAAUCCUAAUACCUAGGAUCAAAUAUAUCAGGUUGAAAAGAAUCAUCAACAUUCUCAACGGGAUUAGUAUCCAAAUUAUUACCAUUAUUAUCCAUUUGCUCAUUUGUUUUGUCAUUAAGAGCUUCCUGUAUCUCAAAAUUAUUUUCAGUCUCUGUUUGCCUAUCUAUAGGAUCACUAUCAGCAUUAUUAUCAAUUGGAUAACUCUGAUCAAUUGUCUAAUUACACUCACGAUUCUUUUCUAAUAAAUCUAUCCAUAGCUCCUUUUUGAGAUUGAGUUAAUUCUUCCAUCCUUUGUUUUUUCUUACGCUUUUGGUGACCUGAUUCAAAUUUUCUAGAUCAGUUUGCAGAAGACAUGGCUUUGAUCUUGGUUCUUGGAACACUAAUCUAGACCAAUUCAUGCACAUGUAUACAAAACAUAAGAAAAUUUUGAUUCACUAAUCCACGUGAAGCAAGAAGUAGAAUAGAUCAAGUAAAUAAAAUUAAUAUUACCUUGUGAGCUUGUCUCGUAGCACUCCCGUCUAGGAACCAGAAGGCCUCACGGAGUCAAGCUCUACAGCUCCACGCCUCCUGCUUCAUCAAGCCUCUAGCGGACGUGCACUUCAUCGAUCGAUGAUGACAAUUACCAAUUAGCAGUAGUAGCGGCUGGGCGGCCAGCACAACUUUGCCCUAGACUAAAGAGACGACGAGAUGCACGAUUGGAAGUCGCGGAGUUGGGGAGACGAGCGAACAAUUAGACAAAUAGACACUACAGUCGCGCGACGGGAAAAGGAGCCUUUGGGCUUCAGCCUUCCUUCUGUGAGUCGGAUGACUAUGAAAAAUAAGUUUAGGCCCAGAAAUUUGGUGGGCAUGAUGGGCUGUAGACCUGGAAAAUGGAGGCCCCUAAAAAAUGGAGGCCCUGUACAGUCGCAUGGAUCGCACACCCCUAGGGAUGGGCCUGGCAUGAUGGGUUGUAGACUUGGAAAAUGGAGGCUCCUAAAAAAUGGAGGCCAUGUACAGUCGCACGGAUCGCACACCCCCAGGGAUGGGCCUGCCGACCCGACGCGGUGGGCGAGCCAAGCUAGCGGGGGCGCAUCGCGGCAUGCCGAUCCUGACUGGUGGUGGCAGAGCAGCGCGGCGAGGCGCUCCUGGCCAGUCACUACGCAAUGGCUCCAGCACGGGGAGUAGCCCCAGCCGGCGUCGAGGCACUCCCAGCCGGCCGUGGCAUGGAGGUCGUGCCCAUGGUGGAGCCACUGCGAUGAGGGACAGGGCGAGCAGAGCUUUGGAGACAGUGUGCUGCGUCGUACAGAGAAGCACACGCCACUGCAAUGAACGGCGUGCUCCACGUGGUGGCUAGAGAUCUCACGGGUGCGGCAAAUUUUGGGCGCCGAUGUAUGUGUAUCUAGGUGAUUCCCUUUCCCCUUCCCUUUCAUCUUUUGUAUUGGACUCCAUUAAUGCGCGACCAGUCGCACACAAGGCAAUCGCACGACUUGUUGUGCAGCAGAGCAAACUAGUAGAUUGCCAGGAGGAGCAAGUCAGGCAUUUUGUCAUCAUGCGGAUCAAUUCACGCAGGAGACACGAAAGGAGUAGGACUGGAAAUAUAGAAGGUGAAAAUGACAUGAAUUUACCUUUUCCGUUUUCUUUGAAUAGUGAUAACUUUCUCACUGAGCGUCCGUUUUCAGAUCCGUUUUCACCCUUAUAUUCCUUACCAUUCUAUCUACAAAACGAGACCCACUUUCCAUAGGUUCUGAAGUAAUUUUGUUUUUAUUGUCAACUUAUGUACAAUGGUAGUAGCAACUUAUGUAGAUCUUUAUCAAUUUGUAUAGAUGUUAUAUGACAACUAUUUAUAUCAUCAUGUUCCAGAGACUAUGUGUCAACUUACUUGUAGUAUUACUUGUAACUUACAUUGAUUACUUUUCUAAUGGUGGAACAUAUCGACUAAAGGUAGAAGGUUUUGUAUGAAAGACACCAACCUAUUAUAAUCAAAUUGUGUUUCGAUUAAAAACAAAGCGUACAAGACCAAGUUGUUGUGUCUCGACAUACAUAUUUUUAGAUACAAUAUAACAGCUUAUGUGUAGGCAAGUGUAUCAAACUUAUAUAGAGAUUAUGUAACAUAUGUCUACUUUUGGUGAGAUAAAUGUGUCACGUUGUGCAAAGAAUUGUAACAACUUGUAUAAAGAAAAUGUGGCAUCUUAUGUAGACACUUCGGUAACUAAGCAAUAUGAGUCUAAUUUUUUUAGCAAUUUAUAUACACAAUUUUCUAAGAGCUUUAUACAUAGGUCGCUACAUACUUAGUACAUAAGUAAUUGCAGUACAUUCAAAUAAGUUGCUAGUACACAAAAAUACUUCAAAACAUAUGCAUCAUAGAUCUUGUUUUGUAGAUCUCGUCGCAGUGGUGAAAAUGGAAUUAAAAAGGGACACUCUAUUAGAAAGUUAUCGUAUUUUUUAAAUGUGACACAUAAAGAAAAAUGCAUAUGGGCCAUAGCAGCCCACCUCCAUGCCGCCAGGCCACAUGGGUCGCGUGCUUAUGCACUGUUGUGACCCCGCGCGUAAUAGCUUUUUUCUUUUUAUUUCCUAUUGUUCAUUCCCAAAAAUCUCAGAUAUCAUGGCGGCUUCCUCUCUUCUGAUUUGACGGCUCCUGCUUCCUGCUGGUCCCGAUGGCCUCUACGCCUCCUCCAUUGCUCUAGGUCGCUGCGGCCGUUGAUGUGGGUGGGGAGAGGAUGGACAAACUCCUAUGCGGAAGGAGGGAGGACUGCUCAUGCCCGUGAGCGUGGCUGCUAGAGGAUCUUGACGCUGGUAACGAAAAGAUCGUUGCUUGAUGUGGGCCUUCAUUGGUAAUGCCUCCUCAUUCCUCGCUCUUCUCACUUAAUUAAGGUAGUGCUCCCCUUCCCCUUCCUCAAGUAUAGCUUCCUGAUCUGGUUUUUUGCCUGAGAUUUGUACGUCCUUGGCUGUGAUUGUGAGCAUAUAAAUCGUAGCUGCUUGCUUUGUAAUGCAUCUACUGCUACCUCAGCUGAUAGCUUGUGUAUAUAUGAGGGUGAUGACAUCGUUAUUAGCUUAAUUGUGAAUAAGCUCUGUGUUACAACUGAUGGUUACUUAUUAACUGCUGAGGAUUUCAGUGUGGUUGAUGAUGAACUCAACGUAAGCUUCAUAGUUCAUAGUUAAUAGCUUGAGUAUUUUAGAAACCUUGACAUAGUUAAUUUGUCGUGGGUACUACAUGGAAAUCUGUACUUUGACCAGGAACAAAAAGGUCUGGUUGUUGGUGCUCUUGUAUUUUGGUUAUUUCUUCAAUCUGAAAUAGCUUACUGAGUAAUGAUUCUGUUUGAUUAUGUUUUUAUGUCCUUUCUAUUUAUGCAGUGACUUGUGCUUCCAUGGGCAACAAUUUGUUGAACCAAAAGGUUAUUGUACAGGCCAAUAUCUUUAAAAGGUAAAUUUGUACCCCUUUGUUUCUUAUUGCAUUACUUUCCAAACCUUUUGGCCACCUGUAGUGACUUUGGAGCUUGCAGUACACCAUCAAUUGAAUGGCCAGCUAAGGUUAUCUUUAAGUGGCAAAUAGAUAGGUCAGUGUUUGAGGAUUCUUUCAAUUGAGCCUGUUUGUCCAAACACCACCUUAGACGUUCAGUGGAAGAAUGGUGAAAGCCUACAAACCGCAGCAUCAUAUCCUAUUUGCAUCGUGGUCCUAUGCUUGUAAAAGUAACCAUCACUACUAUUGCUAUUCCUUUGCUCAAUUGUUUUACAGACUGCAGCAAAUCUGUGUGCUCCUCAGGUGGUGUUUGUAUAUGUUCAAUUGGUGAUUUUUUAAUUUUGCCAUUCGUAAGUGAGCAAGAAAAAUUAGUACACUGGAAAGAGGUUGGCCUCACUGACAUGAUAAUUUUAAUGUUAAUUUAUCAAAUAGACAGUGCACUAAACAAUUUUUACUCUACCAGAUGAGCAUUGUUAAUGUAUAGACUCUUGAGUUUUAUGCAGUCUAAAACUAAACAGUUUUUUGUACCUCUUUAUAUUGAUGACAAAUUUACUUUCAUCAAUUUAUUGGUAUGCAGUAGAAGAAGGUGAUCAUUUUCUGUCCAUUUGAUUUUGGUCUUCGGAAGCUCAUUACAUAUGCCUACAGUGGUGGAGCUGCUGCUUGAAUCGAUGGGAGAUGGAGGAGUUGGCGUGUUGCUGCUUGUGAUUUGUGUGCUCGAGAGGAGCUGCUGCUUGCUUGCAGUGGAGAAAAGAAGCAAUCCUUAGGCGAGGUAUGUAUGUGUACGUUUCUGACUAAAUUGCAAUCCGUAUGUGAUACUUACGCAGGAAGAAUUCCAAAUACUGACUGCAUAGGGUGAUCACUAUGAUUGUUCUAUAUCAGGUUAUGAUAUGGAAUGUGGGGGACAGGAACUGCAUUGGCGUCUUGAUAAGACACACUAUAAGCAUGAAGUCCCUUUCAUGCCAUUCUUCAGAUCCUGGUAAGUGGAGUACUGUGCAGUCUUAAUGACUGAAUCAAUUCAAUUCUGUUUUAACAUUUGUUCAUCAACAAAUCAGAUAUUCGCUUGACUCUCCCAACAGGCUGGAGGUGAGAUAGCUGACUUCAUCAUUGUUCUGAGGAAUACUGAUGCCAUCAGGAUAUUCAGUGGAAAGGCACAUCCAUCUGUUGGUGCUGGUGUUAGUGCUUCUGCUGGCCAUGUCGGACGAGUAGCUGAGGCUGACUUCCGUGCUGGUGAUGGCUAUGCUAGAAAAUGAAAUGAGAUCAGAGAUAGACAACGAAUUCAGAGAUACAUAUUCAGAUUUAAUUUGAUGAAUAGCAAAUUCAUGUUUGUAAAAAAAAUAAUAUUUAGAUCCUGUUCGGCAUGGCUCUAACUCAGGGUGGAGUGGCUCCACUCCAGAACUCCAUGUGGAACCAGAGCGUGCUCCACUCCAAAACUCCAGGUGGAACCAGCUCUGGGUGGAGUUGGAGUGGUCUAGAUGGGAUGUUUGGCUAGAAGAGUGCUCUCAGCUCCAAAAAAGAUCAAUUUUAGUAUGGCUUGCCAUUGUUGCCCCCCAAUUUAGACCCCACUUGUCAUCCUCUCUAUCCCCAUCUUCUUCUUCCUCAGAAGGCGCGGGUAGGGGUGCGGACGGCGAGACCGCGGGGUUCGGGCGGCUGGCGGCAAGGAAGGGGUGUGGACGCACGGGAGGCGUGUCUCAAGGCGGCGGCCUGGUCCAGCGGUGGAGGAGCCCCGCCCAGGCAAGAUGGGGGCGGCGGGCUAGCGGGGCGUGCGCUCGUACCGGCGGGGUGGGCGGACGGUGGGAUGGCGGGCUCCGUAGCGGGGAGAAAAGAAGGCGGGGCAGCGGCGGACGGUGGACGGCGGCGAGGGCAGGCGGCCGGCGGCGGUCGGGAGGGGUAGCAGGAGGGGCCGCUCAGCGGUGCAUUGACAGGCGGCGGGGGAGGAAGACAGGCGCGCGGGAGGGAGUUAUCGGGAGGGGGAGGGGCUCGGGAGAAAAGAAAUGAACCGUUUUUUAACCAGUGGCAUUGGUAGGUAAUGACCCACCAUUCCACGAGGAGGUUCAUAUUCGGUGGUUUUGGAGCUGCAAAAGAGGUGCUCUAAAACUCCAGCCCCAUUUGCACUACAGCUCCGUAGAGUUGGCAGCUCCAUGGAGUUUUGGAGCUAAGGUGUUUUGCUGAAAAAUUGGUUGGAGUUGCUGAAGUUCAGCUCCACAGUAAUGCCAAAUACGUCCUGAGAGUGUUGACUGAUGCACCAUGUCCAAUCCUGAGGGGCAUGUAGUUUGUCGUCUUUCGUUCCUUUCUAUUUAUUUGCAUUUGAUUGUUGAAACGGUAGGACGCGCAUUGGGCGCCAAAUGUUCCAGUGCUUAUAAUAGAUGAUCUUGAGCUCGUCGACAUUGCGGCAGUCGCGGCUCGCCUCGUCUUUCCGGGAGCACCGCCCGUGUCCAGCGCCGCAGCCGACGGUGGGGCAAUGUCCCUCAGCCGGCCACCGUGUGCCGGGUCCGCGUGCGGGGUGACCUCGACGUGGACGGGCUCCAGCUGGGUGAAGCCUGCCUCCUACCACGCGCCGUCAUCGGCGCCGAGGUGGCCUCCAGCCGGCCACCGUGUGCCGGGUCCGCGUGCGGGGUGACCUCGACGUGGAUGGGCUCCAGCUGGGUGAAGCCCGCUUCGUACCACGCGCCGACGUCGGCGCCGAGGUGGAGCUCCGGCGGCGGAGAGCCGCCCCGUCCACGAGCACACCGGGAAGGACUCGUGCGUGCCGUGGCGGGGUCCGCCGACACCGACGAAUUUGUAGAAAACAGUGGCAAAUCACUGUUUGUAGUUCAAAAUGACCCCAUCCUCUUCUACAUAAGACCCCAGUGAUCUUCUAAUCUGGCUUCGCCCCUGGUUCUGCACCGUGAUCUUACGGACCCGCCCGCACGCCGGGACGCCGCCGCGCGCCGUGGCCGGCGAUGCGGCCGCCGCGGCGAGCACGGCCAGGAGCAGUGCCAAGGACAGCUGGCACGAUGCCAUGUAUAGGGUACUCGCUCUUCCUCCUUAGCUUGGGGUUUAGGGUGUGUGGGGUGGGUAUUUGUAGGCUUAAUCAGUGGUGGGUUAAGCUUAGGCAACGUGCUUUAGGAAUGUUGGGUCAUUGGGCGUGGUUAAAAGUUAAAAACCGCCACUAUGGCCUGACCUGAAUGCCUGAUCGAGGAGGGAGUUUGUAAUGUAGCCGGCCUGUUGCAAAUUGGCAAUAAAAGUAAACAAAAAGAAAAAAAAAGAGAGAAAUCAUUACACAUCACUCCGCAUGCUAGCUUAGUAUAAUUUUACGGAGAUCCGAGCAGUGCUGAGAUUCGAGCAGCACGGGCGCCCCUAGGAUACUGUAGCAACGGAUGACAGGUUAAUUAGUUUAAUUACUCCAAAUUGGUGAGCAGUACUUAGACCAAUCUCAGUGGAAGUUUUAUGGAGAGUUUUAUAAGCAUUAAAUUAUAUACCAUAUCAGCAAUUUUACGUCUUUACGAGGAAAAAGAAGGAAGAGUUUCAUCAUAUAUGACAGGAGUUUCAUCCCAUGAAACUUAAUAGGCACAUUUACUUGGUUUCCAGUCUUACUAACUGUGUAAUAAAAUUGUGUACCGAGACUAGGUCUAUGUUAACCUGUUGUUUCCUGCUUGGGGAAUUAAUAUAUAUGUAAUGUUUGCUCGUCGUAAUUGUAUAUACUUACUGCUUGUUCCAAAAACAAUUGGUUUAGUUCUUUUGCUCCAAAGGAUAAAUAUUCUCUUUGGUCUUAAAUUGGUGAUGUGCUGUGUUGUUUUUAUCAUUUCAAUACUUUUUUUAUGUGCUUUAUUAUAUCGCCAAAAGGGCCAUGGUUGUAGGUAGGCCUGGAUGGGCUAUGACGGUUAGCUUAUUCUUAACGGCCCCAUGACAUCAACGACAGAAAUUCCGCGAAAAGCAUCCCGAAGUCUCACUCUCCUUAUUAUGUGGGAAAUAUGAAACGAGCGGAACUCGCGCAUCUUCCGCCAUCAGGGCUCCCCGACGACAUCGCUAAUUGCAAAAAUCAAACUCUCUGCCAACAUGUGGAUAACAGCAGGGGCGAAAACCUUAGCGACGAUCCUUUCUUAGAUGUCUCACGCGGGGGGACCCCUCUGCCUUUUUUCCUGUAUCCUUUUUCCCUAACCGGCUAGCCGGCUGUAACACAUCUUUAUCAAUAAAAAAGGCACAAUCUCGUGCCCUUUUUCCUUUCAAAAUUCUUAACGGCCCCAGAGGCCGUAACCAAACUUUGCCUCUUUCUCUGGGCCUCUGCCGCUGCCUACGCAAUACGCAUGCGAAUCGAUGAAUAUUCUGAGCUUCUUUUGCGAACAUUUUCUGAAAUUUUAUUAACGGAAGAUGCGCCAAGAAAAAAAAAAGGCAUACAUGGACAGACGCAACUAGAACUAAAUUAACGAAAGCAUUGUAAUCGUGGUUAGCUCACAUGGAAAUGGUUUGGACUUUGAUGUUGUCGUGUAGCCGGGCUUUGGUAUGUGGACAGGCUACACGCACAACGUCAGUCGCGUAUACACGCUGCCAAAUUUCAAAGUUUUAAUUUGACUCCAAAAUAUUUGUAUACCAGCUUACGGAGAUCCGAGCAGCAGUGCUGCUGAGCUUGAGCUGCACGGGCACACGGACGCCCCUAGGGUACUGUAUAGCUAGGGUACUGUAGCAGGGGACGAGAAGUUAAUUAGUUUAUGUUAGCUUACAUCUCGUUACUAAUACAUGUGCUUUAUGUUGGCUUAUACUCCCUCCGUCCCGCCAAGAGUGUUCUUUUAGUUUGUUAUAAAUCAAAUUAUCUUAUAUUUGACCAAGUUUAUAUAAAACUAUAUAAAUAUUUUUAUAUCUAACAAGUUUCAUUAGAUGCAUUAUGAGAUAUAUUUUCAUAGCAUACCCAUUUAGUGUUAUAAAUAUUGAUACUUUUCAUUGUAAACUUGAUCAAACUUAAGAUAGUUUGACUUAGGACAAACUUAAAUGGACACUCUUUGUGGGACAGAGGGAGUACAUCUCGUUAUUGGGGAAGUUUUGUUUGUACUUCGUAGUAAUUGCAUAUACACAGUGCUAGAUUAAUUUGUUGGAGUUGUUCCAAAUUCACUCCAGGAUAUAGGCCGGGCUUCGGACACUCCCGACCUCAGGACUCAGGGUCGGGCGAAGCGGAGGCCCGUCGCCGGAGGCUUGGGCCGGAGCGUUCCGCUCAGGAGUCGGACACUCCCGACCCCAGUACUCAGGGUCGGCCGAGGCGGAGCUUCACUCGGGGUCGGGCGAGGCGGAGUUCCACCCUCAAGGGGUCGGGCGCAUCCGACCCCAGGACCCAGGACUCAGGGUCGGUCGAGGCGGAGUUCCACCCUCAAGGGGUCGGGCGCAUCCGACCCCGGGACCAAGGACUCAGGGUCGGGCGAGGCGGAGUUCCACCCUCGCCCGGGACCAAGGGUCGAUACAACAUAUAUAUACCCUUGUUAGGGUUUCGUGGAGACUUGAUUCUCUUGUAAGCCGUCAUAGGCGUGUAACCCUAAACUCUUGAGAUAGUGAGAUUGUUCCUGACUGGUGCCUGUGGUUUUUCCCCUACACAUCGAAGGGGUUUUCCACGUUAAAUCGUGUGUCUCCUCUGUGGUUUGAUUCUUUACUUCAUAUUCCCAUACGUCGUUCGUAACAUAAUUAAACAAGAUGCAAUGUCACUCUAAAGUGCAAGCCAAAUUUGGACCCGUCUUUCGAAUACAGAAUGACCAAAUUGUUAAGCGAUGAUCAAAUAGCAUUUUGUAGAACACUAAGUUGUUCUGGAUGUCUAUUUUUUAAGUUUUGAGAGAUACUCACGACAUGUGCAUUGCAGUACCAAAACUUUCGCAACUAAUUUUAUAAGGAAAAGAAAUUGAUAAAAGGAAAAAAUUCCAUUGUAGACAUCUUAAGGUGCAUAGUAGUUCUAUUCGCGUAUUAAAAUUUUCGUUCAGAUUCUUUGACUCAUGUUAUAAUAAUAACGUCGUAGUCCGACUUGUAAUAAGUUUUGCUUAGCUCAUGUCGCGACAGGCUAGCAUGGUCUCACUAACCUGGUCACCAGAGUUGACAACAAUGCUCGUGAUAGCAAGUGAACUGUAUUUUAAUCUUCAUGAAGCGGAGGGUGAGGACUAAGGAGGGGCAUAUGUUCCCUACUUAACUAUGUCUAGUUUUUUCCUAUGUUUGUAUUCCGUACUCAUAUGAGUAGGGUUGUGUGUGUAUUUGUAGGGACUAGUGUGCGUGCGUGUAUGUGAAUACUUGCGCUUGUACUGUCUAUUUUGCAAAAGAAUCUUACCAUAUGGCUCUUCAUUAAUCUAGAGAGAGUAGUUCUCGAGCUUCCAUCACAACUUUUCUCUACAGAGCAUACAAGAAAAGAAACUAACUAUAAAUAAAUGUACACACAAGUUACAACCCAUAUAAAUUAGGAAAACACAACAAAGUUAGCACUUAACCUUGUCCACUCUAUUGAUAAAAAAAACUUGUUUUCAGCAGUCGCACCAUUGAAGCCGCCUGUUGCAUGUACCGAAACUCAAUAGCAUGGUCUGAAUAUGUGCAUUAUAUCUCUAUAUAAAUGAUUUGGCAACGCUCCUGCAGGUAUUUUUUUGAAAAAAUCUCUAUAGAUUACAACUACAUUUAGCUUAACUUUCCAAAUGAUUUGAUUGGCACUGGAUGAUCCUAAUGUGGUGAUCAUUGUAUUCAUCACAGACUCCCACCGUAUUAAACCAACGAAAUAACCUGGAGUGAUAAUAGUACCGAAUACAAACAAGGAAAUAACCUAGACAAAGUUGAGCAGGGACAUAUGCCCUUCCUCAAUCCUCACCCUUUGCUUCAUCAGGCUAAACAUAUGAAAUUAUAGGGGGUGCCAUCUAGUACUUUGGUAUUUUUUUUCAAAAACCGAGUCAUCUCAUGAACCAAACCAUACGUCCAUACGUCGUAGCGUGCACUGUGGUUUUUAAAAGCCCUUGCUAGACCUACAAAGGGUGAAAACGGUAGCGUUGUCUCAUGCCGAUAUGCCUUAUGGUCGUUUGGGGGAGAAAACAGUACGAAUAGGGGAUUGUAGCGAGGAUUGAGUGAGGCAAAUCGGACUUUUCUUUUUCUGAUGAACUAUUUUCCACUUGGGUGUGCCUCUCUUCUCUUUGAUGAAGAUGGGCCGUGGCCCGUGGGGUUAUAGGGCAAUAGAGGCAUGGCGUGUGGGGCCUCUUGGAGCUUCGUUUGACAAGCCAGACGGAGCCAUCAUGUUUGUGCAGUUCUCUGCGGCUCUGCCUGUAUGCAUGUGUGUGUCGGAACUUUUUCCAUAAAGACACUGACCGAUUUCAGCAGCAGAGCAAAAGCCCACAUGCAUGGAAAGACACUAAAAUUAUUGAUGACUCGACAAACACAAAGGCAGGCACGCAUCGCUGCCUGCGAACACGUGACAUGACACGACACACCUGACACGCACGCGUGGCUCACAUCGACCUGAGCUAUCAGCGACAACUCCUAAUCAAGACUAAAGCAAACGGCCGGCUAAUCCGAUCCGAACGAACACGACGACGAAGACACCGGCGACAACAGCACUCGAUCGGCCAUGGCCGGACGACAUCUUCUUCUUCCAGCUCGGUCACACGCUCAUCACACGUGCGGGCUGCAGUAGAUGACCUUGAUCUCCUGGACGUGGCUGCACCUUCCGCUAGGCACCUGGGACACGGAGCACCGGCCGGAGACGGGGCACCCGACGGCGGGGCACUCGCCGACGAGCGGCGCGCCAUGCGGGGAGAUGAUGACCGGAACCCCCUGCCCGGGGCUGCGGGUGUUGGCGGCGAGGUAGAACGACCCGCCAUCGGGGCCGACGUGGAACUCGGCGGUGGGGGCCCCCGUCGCGUGGAGCCGCCCCGUCCACCAGCACACCGGGCACUCGGCGUGGCUGUGCGGGUGCAGCGUGUAGUUCGCCGCCCCGUUGAAGAGGUGCGGGCUGUUGGCGAGCGGCUCCAGGGUCAGCACCACGUCGUGCGCGCACAGGUUCUGCACCGUGAUCUUCUUGUCCUUGUCGCAGUUUUUGUGGUUCGUCUGCGCCGUCGCCGCCGGCGAGGCGGCGGCGAGCACGGCCACCGCCAGGAGCAGGGCCACUGCGAGCUUGGACGACGGCGCCAUGGGUACGGUGGAUCUUCGAAGCGAGUGACUGAGAAGUGGCUAGGAGUGACUUGGAGGGAGUUUCGUGCUUGAGUCGGGUUGUUGGUUUUGGGGUAUAGUAUAGCCCUUUUUAUAGGCGCGUACGUGCCAGGGGCAACAACAAAGGUGACGGUAAACAUGUGAAACUGAGGGACGGUGGAAAGGUAAAAAGGAGGAGCGUUGAUGCUCUAGACAGAUCGAGGAGGGCGUGUCAGAGGAGAGGAUGGCAUUGUGAGAUGGGUUCGUGGUGUCGUGUAGCCUGUGGGGCGGCCAUGCUGCUCGUCUAGUGGCCUGCAUGAGUGCAUGGAUGCGUCGCGUGCGGAGCUGCGACGACGAGGUGGCAGCGCUACAGUUGCAGCCUGUUCCGGAUAGGGCGGUAAAGAUGAUGGCCAAGGCGCCGCGUAGGACUUUUUCACUUUUCACAUAGUUAUCGGAGACGUCCCAAAGUUUGGAUGAUAAAGGAAAAGGUGGUCGAAAGUGAAGCAUUCCUUUUGCAAAGUGGAAUUAGUGAUAAAGGAAAAACUACACUGGAAUUAGUGCUAAAUGGCUUAUCUGUAGCUUUGCUAGACAACAGCACGAUGCAUCACGGCAAGAAUGCUGAAGUCUGAACCAUGCAAAUUUUCCAUCAAACCACACUCUAAUCACUUCUCCUUUUUUUGGUACUAGCUAGCUAGAAUCCCGUCAUUGCUUCACUGGACAAACUAAUUAGCUGAAGAGCGAAGAGGACAACACAACACUAGUCUCUAUGGGGGCGAUUGGCAGCCUGUACCUAGCCAGCGUUGCAUCUGUGGAUGCAGCAUCUUUGGUUCAUCGGAUGAAAAAAAGCUGCACCGCGUGGAACGGAAAAUUUGGUCGUUCCACGCGAGCCUGGUUCGCUCGAGCGGCGGGUAAGAAGCUGCCGUCACCACUCACCACCCGUGAACCUGUGAACAAGUAUUCUUUCCCAAAUCUCUCUUCCCUAUGCUGCUGCUUCUUCCUAGCCGGCGUGUGCCGUUCGCCCCUUCCCAUCGCUGCCCCUCGUCGCAGCCACCUCGCCGAUCAUCGCUGACCUCCGGUCCCGCGAGGUGCCCCAGUGCUACCCGCAUCCACGGGGGCCUCGACCGUCGGCGGCCGGCAGCCCGCCGCCAGGUUUAUCAUGCUACUGCCGUGUCAGAGGACGAGAAGUUGGUCGAGGCGGUCACCGUGCAGUCGGCGGACGAGCUGCGGAGGCUGCUGCCGAGUGGUUGCGGCGGCUCCUGUUGCACAUGACAUCGCCACCGCACUCUGUUACCUGCAUCAAGGCUCAAAUCCAAUCCCCACAAAUUAAAUCAGAAUUCACCAAGCCACCAAUCGAGUUGCUCACCGCCAAAACCAAGCUCACACGCACAUCGAAUCAAAGCCUUCAGCCAUUCAAUUCGAGAUUGUCACUAAAAGAAUCAAAGGGCCGCGAGAUGAGGCGCGAUGGUGUCAGGUGUGGGCGGCGUGGUUCUUGACGGCUGACCGCGGGCAAGGAGCCGGGGAGGCCCUCUUCACCUUGCCGCGUUGCACCUCGCUUGCUCCUGCGGCGGCGAGGCUAGUCCAUCUCGCCUUCACCACCACCGUCUCGGGCUGUGGCCUCUGGAUCACUUCACCGGCAACAUCGUCAUGUUCAACGUAAGCAGCAUCGCCGCUUGUGUUCGCCCCGUUGAUUCGCUAGUCUAACCUGGUAGCAACGACAUCAAGCAAUGUGUUUAUGUGUGCAUGUCCUGGUUACUCGAGCAAUGGCUGGGAGGGAAGUUAGAGGAAAGCUAUCACUAGUGCCUGAUUCUAGAACAGAGGAGAUAGAGAGAUUGGAGAAAUGGAGAUGGUGGAUGGUGUACCGUGUCCUGUAUACAAGGUAAGCAUACCAAUUUGUGUAGCUUACCAAUCAGCGUUUAAGAGAGGAACCUGUUUACACUGAUUCAACUUACCCAACAUCGUCAAAAAAAAAAAAAAAAGAUCAGGGCUCGUCGAAGAUGGUAAAAAGACAGGCUGCCAAACGGACCCUUAUCUCCUGGCCGCCCUGACUUGUCGCGCUCGCGUGAGAAACGCGGCUAGCUUCUAGCAGCUACCCUACGGCCGAGUCAGUGACAACGUGCAUGGGGACUUUCUUGGGCAGGCUACAGACAUCGAAACAGUGGCAGCGAAUCUACAGUAGUUUACUGUUUACCCCACGUAAAAAAACCUGAGAAAUUGAAUUACCAAUGCAUAGUGCAGUACUCAUCCUUGUGUCUGCGUGCAGUGCAGCUCAGUGCACAGUUGCAGCGUCUGCAUUCGAGCAGGAUGAUGGCAAUGGCCUAUGGAUCGAGACCCGAGCAGCUCGUACUGACCGAUGGGGUUUGGAGCAGCAGCAUGGAGGGCCACGGGCGCCCCUAGGGGCACUGCAGCGAUAGCAGGAGCAGGAGAGGUUAAUUUAAUCCUGUUUCAGUGAAAAGAUAACAGGAUGGGUUAAUUACUAACUAGUUUACGUAACCUAAGUUGCUGCCCCUCAGGGACUAGUUUAAGCUAAGCUUCGCUUCGUGCUUGACGAAUGUCUGUUGGUCCGGUCAUGAUGACAUUAAACGCUCAUUGCAUGGGCCGGUGGGUGGGCGGGUGGGUCAUGGGUNNNNNNNNNNNNNNNNNNNNNNNNNNNNNNNNNNNNNNNNNNNNNNNNNNNNNNNNNNNNNNNNNNNNNNNNNNNNNNNNNNNNNNNNNNNNNNNNNNNNCGGAGAUGAAUGGUCCACAGCCGUAGGAUUGGAGGCCAACGAUCAGGAUGUACAAUCGCGGCAGCCGCAUGUUCUUUUCUUUCAUAUGGCUUGGCCGGUAAUGUAUAAACAAACAAAUAGACUAGGAGGGAACGAAAUCUACGAUGGGCACGUACACUGCUUCCCGAAGAACAACACACAUGUACAGGACUACUUUGUAAGCUCUCGCAUGUAUCAUCAUGACCCAGGACUGGUGUGUAUCAUCAUCUUUCUUAAAAGCCACAUCCGCAUCAUGACAUGGGUGCACAAUCAUAUGCCCCAUUUCCUCUUUAUUUCGUGACGGACUCUCCUGACAGGCCUCGGGAGGUGCUGACUAGGCUCUUGCUGUUCUCUGCCGAGUUGCGCCGGAUUUCCUGCCCUUUGGGUGGUUGUUGCCAAUGGACCUUGGUUCUUUGUUAAUAUUAGCUAUGCAAAAGCAACCUGGUCGAGCGCGGCCUGCUGCUUCUCCCUCCCUCCCUCCCUCCCGACUAGGACACUCAGAACACCAUUGACACGGGAGUAAAGCUCACUGCACGGCACACGACGCCGCAGCCCCAGCAGGCACGAGCUAGGCCAGAGGAGCAUAUCGGCGUCACUGAUUGUUGGUCCACCGCCGUGAUUGGAUACCAGCCAGCGCUACUUGUUCUUUUCUUGGCAUCCUCGCGACAGCAGAAAGUGAUGUUCGACUUGUUCUUUCUUAUGGCCUGGUACGUAUCUGAAAAAAAGCUAUGGCAUUCAGUAAUCUCAAGGUCUACGACAAACACACGUACGCAGCGGAACGCGCACGUCAUUACCAUCUUCCUUAAUCGUAUUAAAGCUGGCUCUUAUUUUUCAUCCGUCCUGACAAGUGGAUCCCACUUGCCCACUUGUUAGAGGGCUUUAGUCGUAAGGUGCCCCAGCCUCAGCCUCGGCCCUGACUGCCUGCCCGGCCGCACCGCCCGACCUGCGCCUGCAGCCUGCCUCGGCGGGGGGAGAGGGAGUGGGGCCGGCUGGAUCUGGCGGAGGAGAAGGAGAGGGAGGAGAGAAGGUGGUGACCGGAGGAAGGAGGAGAGGAGGCCUGUGGGCGUUGGAAUUAAGGACAGGAGAACUCGGCGUUGGAAUUAAGGAGAGGGAGGAGAGAAAAUGGGACGCGCGCAUUGCGUGUGGGGGGGAGGCGUUUUGUCCAUGUUAAAAACACCAAUCGGGACUAAAGGUCCCCUUUAGUGCCGGUUAAUAGUUGCAACCGGGACAAACGCCCCACUAGAUUCCCGAGGGCCACUAGCCUUUACAAUCAGGACUAAAGGGUUUUUUAGUCCCGGUUGAUAUUACCCACCGAGACUAAAGAACCCUCCGUCGGUGACCAUCGGAGGUUGAUUUAACUCUCUCGCUUGAAUAAAAAAAUAUUUUAAUUUAAUGGUAUUUGAGUUGAAGGAAAUAAUUAAGUCAAAAUUCUUUUGAUUUUCUAUUAAAUGUGUAGAGAUCCAAUAAGUAGAAAAAAAUUUAGUGUGAAAAUAAAAAUAUUAUUAAUUUAAAAAAUACAAUUAAUUUUUUACCAUAGCAACGCAGGAUCAUUUUACAAGUUACAGUAAAUCCAUAUCCAUGUCAUGACAAUCCGGCCGAGCAGACCUCCUCAACGGGCCAGGUUCGGCUGAUUCCAUUUGUCGUGCUGGGCCAAGUUGGACCGGGUUUCUAAGGUCCCUUUUACUUGGUUGCCAGAAGUUUCAACGCACACUCAUGGGCCUCGGUUCUUUGUUAUUUCCUCCGUACCAAAUUAAUAUUUAUUUUAACUUUUCUAGAUUAUAUCUAGUUAUGCAGUAAAGCUAAAAUGAAUAUUAAUUUGGGAGGGAAGGAGGGAGUAGCUUACAAGCGGCCUGCCCAGGAUAGGUAAAGCGCACGUGAGUUGUAUAUGAGUGUAUAAGAGUAACUCCAAAAGAAUCUGUAUUCUUAGGGAGAGAAAAAAAAGAACUCCAAUAGCUCCCCAAAACUUCCCCAAGCUAUUCGCGAUGCUAAAACAGAGCCCAUCACCGUGCAUAUUUGCGCGACGUCCUUCCUCCCCCUAUCGGCCCCUUCCCGCGCGCGAGAGAGGCUUCCGGACCCCACCCUCUUCCUAGUUCUUCCUUUCCUCUGACGCUUGCCAGCCGCUGCGAGAGCUUCCUUCGGGGGCUCGAGGAUGGUUGCACUGGAGCCCGCGUGAGGUGGUGGCCGCAGCCGUGGCCGUGCUGCCCCGACCCCAGCUGGAGCUCCACGCGGCGGCUGCUGGUCCCUACCGUCGUCGCCCCGCCCGUGGGGCCUAGCCACUGGGCCCCUGCACUUGCCCACAUGCCGCUGUCCCACGCCCUCGGGCUGCCGUGCAGCUACCCCGCGCCCUAGGGCUGCCGCCAAAAGCGCUCGUGCCGCGUGUCCCCGACCGCCGCGCUCUCUUCCCUGGGCCGCCGCCGGAGUGCACCGUUGCCCCGCGCCCUAGGGCUGCCGCCAUGGGCGCCUGUGCCCCGCGUCCUUGGCCGUCAGCGUGUCGAACGCAGAUGGAUGUGACGACAGGCGGUGGAGGAAGGAAAAACGGGGAGCUCACCGGCGAGCGCCUUGCCUAUAGGAUGAGCACGGCCGGUGAGAAGUAAAAUGGGUUGAAAGGAUCUUGUGAUGCCUGGAGGGGGGGUGAAUAGGCUCACUUCAAAUUUUUCCUGAAAAACUUUGCAGAUGUAUUAGAUAUGUCGGAACUUCCGACACUGUGCCGGAACUUCGGACCAAAAACUUCUGAUUGGUCGGAACUUCCGGUACAGGGUCGGAACUUCCGACAGUAGAAAGUGAGCUGAAUGAAAUUCAAAAUAAAAUCUGAAUCUGCCAAUUCUGUUUGAAUCAAAAGAUUACAAAAGAAGUGUAGAGACUACUACAAUUGAUAGAUAUGCAAGGAACUACACAAAUUUAUAGAUCGGCUUAAAUCAAGCUUCUAGGUCAAUAUGAACACGAAGAACACAAUAAGCACAAGAGACAAGGAUUUGUUUACCGAAGUUCACUUCCACAUAGGAAGCUACGUCUCCGCUGAGGAGCUCACAAAGAGCCGGGUCCUUACUAACCCUUUACCUCCCUCAAUCGACCACAAAGGAGGAUUGAGUCACUUACUAUGAAUCCAUGAAGGAUGGGUAAUACAAACGUUCCCAGGCGCACCACACAAAGAGGACGCUCAAACGGACAACGCCUAGCCAUCUAGAAGCAAGCUUCAAGAGUAACAAACACGAAUCGAUGGUCGAAGAUGCUUGGAGUGCUCUUGAGAUGAAUUUGUUGGACCUCACACUCAAAUCCUCAAGAUUCACACCUUUAACCUUGCUCUCACCCAAUCCCUAGCUCAAACUCUCAAGGAUUUAGCUCAAAGGGGAGUAGGUGAGGAGUAUUCAACGCUUGGAGGCUGUUUUAGCUCGAGUUGUUCAGCAGCAAUGAAUGGGGGGGGGGGCUGAGGGGGUAUUUAUGCCCGAGCCCCAAAAACUAGCCAUUACGGUACAUUUAUGUGCUUGUCGGAACUUCCGACAUAGGGUCAAAACUUUCGACGAAGUUAAAUUAAAACAGCUGAGAGUUUCUCCUUGAAAGUUUCAAGAAACUUCCGAUAUAGUGUCGGAACUUCCAAUACUGCCAGAUAAAAACGGCUGAGCACCCCCGGUCGGAAGUUUCCAGUCAGUGUCGGAACUUCUGACCCCUGUUGGAACUUCCAACAGUUAUAGAAAAUGUGAGAAAACAAAGUAUGCAAGUGAGUGAGUUGUGUCUCUGAAUGGGUGGUUAGCAUCUCAAUUGAGUACUUUAGCAUCUUCAAGUUAUCCGUCCGCGUCCCCCUUAAUAGUACAGCGUUUCUACACUCAAAUUCAAAAUUAGAAAUUAUAGAAAAGUCUUCUUUUGAGCUCAACACCAUUACUCUUGAAGCAGAUUCCUUUCAUAACAUUUGCACUUCUUUAGAAUUAAAACCUGCUAAUCACUUCAUAAAAUUAUUAGUUCCCUAACCAUACAUGCCAUAAACACCAAAACCCACUUAGGGGGCCAAAUGCACUUUCACGGGUACGCGAGCUCGAGGGGGGUGCUGUGGCUGCGAGGAAUCGAGAUGAGCUUCACCACGGUGGCGAAUUUCACCGGCAACGAUGGGGAGCUCGGAGGUGGUGGCGGCGGCUAGGGUGGAGGGGGGAUCAGGGUUAUUGGAACUCGGUGGGAGGAGGUCAGAGCGUGGUGGAUGGCGCCGGCAAGUGGAGCUCAGUUGGUCUAGCAAUUGAGGGGAGGGAGUGUGGAGGAGGAAGAAAAGGGGUUGGUCUAGCUGGGGGCGCGGAGCAGAGAGGGGUGAGGUGCGGGGCUGCAGGUGAUGCGAAUGCUGGUUGGUGCGUGCAGGGUGAGGCCAUACGCUGGUGGUGACAUGAGCGUGCACUCUAGCGCCGAUCGGCCACGACCAACGGCUCAAGUCAUUCAUCCAAUUUUCGGUUCUUCUUCGGCUGGAGGAAGAAGAAGAAAGAAUGAGACGGGGAGAGAGCAGGUGUCAUUGUCACGAUUAGCGGAUCAAGACUACGACUAGUAAAUUUCCUUUAUGCGCGUAAGGCCUCGGAUGGUGGCGUGAGAGGACACAGGGUUAGACUGGUUUGGGCAAGGAAAGCCCUACGUCCAGUAUGAGGAGCUGCUCAUGUUACUCACACAAGGUCUGUAGUAGGGGUUACAAACAGGCAAGAGAGGGAGCCGGUCCCAAGUCUCUUGGGUGUGCACUGAUGCUCGUGAGGUGAGUGUGUGGGUAAUGUUGGCUUGAGAGUCCUCCUGGUCUCGGGGCCCCUGGUUCUCCUUUUAUAGCGCAAGGAGGGCUCAGGGUUACAGGUGAGCCGGGUCUGUGGAGAAGUAAAAGAGAUAAGCUAAGUAAAGUAAAAUACAAGGAGAAGGACCAAGUCCCCGGAUCGCCGCCUCCUGCUCCGGCCUUCGGCUCCUGUCAGCGCGGCCUCCGGAGGAAGGCGGCUGUCGUCGGAUCCUGUUGCCGAUCCUUUGGGUGAUCGCUGCCGCCGAGCAUGAUGAUGAUGUCCGGCCGCCAUAACCGUGCGUGUUGGGGGAGACGGCUGACCCCUGUAGUCUUGCUUACCGCCCGUGGAACACGGACGUCGCGUCCCUGUCGCCGGAUAGGCCGAGCACGAGAACGGGCGGCGCUCCUUCCCGUGCCGGGCGACGCAUGCAAUGAGUGCCUUAUGGCGAAUUAGGGGGAGCCGCGGCCACUGUAGCCUGUGCGGUCGUGGCUAUGGUGUUUCGCCCAGGUACUUGUGGUGGGUCACGUCGAGGGGCGCAGGCGCCUUUCUGCGUGCCAGAGCCGUGGCGUAUUUAUGGCAAGAUUGGUGGGGGGCCCAUGAGACCCGUGCCCUCGUCUGCCGGUCUGCGCCCGAGGCGGACCCUUGUCUUGUGGGCCCGGAUGAGUUCGACCCCCUACGCCCAAGGUCGGGCGAGGCGGAGCCUUGCGACGAGGGGUCGAGCGUACCCGACCCUGGGACCGUGGGUCGGGCGAGGCGGAGUUUUGCCAGCGAGGGGUCGGGCAUGUCCAACCCCGGGGCCUUGGGUCGGGUGAGACGGAGUGGGAUGCUCCUUGCCCAUGCCGAGUCGGCGGUAAUCAUCAUUACCGCAGGUGGACCUAGACCUUCAUGAUUGUUAUUUUAAGGGGCAUAAGGAGGUCGUUAAUAUUUCCCCCCAACAGCAGGAGGUGCCGGAUUAGGCCCAAUUACGAUGACGUGGUCUGUUUUGAAAUAUUGUGGGCUAGUUAUUAGCGAUCUGCUGAUAUAUUUUUUGGGAAAAAACUUUUUGGAAGAGCCUCCAAUACAUAGUUUUGGGGAGGAAUUCUUUUGAAAACUCUUGGAGUUGCUCUAAGUACGCGAUUGGUCAUGUAGUCAUCUCAAUAUGUGGUAGCCACGUGUUCUUUCUAAUAUACUCCCCCCAUCCCAAAUUGUAAGUCAUUCCAAAAAUCUUGGAGAGUCAAAGCAUCUAAAGUUUGACCAAAAUUAUAGAGAAAAUUAUAAAGAUUUAUGACAUCAAAUAGGUAUACUAUGAAAAUAUAAUUGAUGAAGAAUCUAAUGAUACUUAGAUGACAUCAUAAAUAUUAUUAUAUUAUCAUAAAUUUGGUCAAACCUGAGAUAUUUUGACUCUCCAAGAUUCUUGGAAUGACUUAUAAUUUGGGAUGGAUGAGUAGUAGACAAAUCUCUUUCAUGUUGGUUUACAUUUUUUUUGAAAGCCAGAGGUUCAACAAAUGAAUUAUACUGUAUCUCAGAUAAUACAAAUUACGCGGUCCGGUCCGUACCUCUUGAUGUAAGGCUAAUAUUUGAUUCAUCAUGUUGAUCAUAGGACCGAACGCUUGCUUGGUUGGUUUGUAGGGGCUAGACUUGUGCAAAAUUCAGAUGAGUCAAACUGAAACUGGGGCAUCCAAAAUCUACUGUGCACAGGCUAUAUAGGCAUGAGGAGGUGCAUGGAUCUCAAUGUGCUUGAGGACAGUGAAAAGCGCUUAUGCCGUAUAACCUUUAGGCAGGCAUAUGCUUUGCUUCUGGCGGGAAAAAAGCGUUAAAGCAAAAGUCGUAGAAAUUACAGAACUGAUGUGUCGUCAUCAUUAGCUUGUCAACUUUUGACAAAGCUGGAAAUUGUGCCAAAGGCCAAAGACACUCUAGGGCUUGAAGUCGGUAGAGACACGAUCAUGAUAUAAGAGUAUAAGAGGCCGCCCAUUGUACUACUAGCCAAACUACUCGGCAAACUCGACCAUGGAAUAUUAUUCUCUGAGGUCCAUAUUUUCCAGUCAAACAUUAUGUUUCUAAAGCAAUGAUAAUAAAUUCGAUUUUUUGAACAUUAACAAUUACGUUUGUUCAUAAUUCACGCGAUCGUUUGUGCUAUUGAUCUUGCGGUUAAAAGAUAAAGAAUAUAUUAUCUGAUACAUUAGGAUAAGAGCUGCCAAAGUGAGAGAAUGGCCAAUAAUUGUUCUCUUUCUAUGACCUUGUUAGCCCGAAUGUAAAAAAACAGGCUUGAGAUGUAGCAUGCAUAACAUAAUGUAGUUCACCUAAAUAAUGUGAAAAAUUAUGCAUGUAAAGACAAAAGACUGAUAUUUAGAUUUAGAACUUGCAUUAUUAUUUUGCUUCAGGGCAGAUUUCUACAGACACCGGAAAGAGCACACGCGUCGAAGCCAAAGCUAAAGCCCUCCACUAAACACAUGAACAAAAGGAUUCGUUCAUGACAGCAACAAAUCCACGAAGCGAUCUAGGCCAAUCGAGCGGGACCCCCGCCAGAUCUAGCUGUCGGCGACGACGGAGCGGAUGACCAUCGCCUCGGCGUCUGCGGCGGCGGCGCCGCCAGUGACGAUGGUCGUCUGGCAGAAGACGAUCUUGAUCUCCCCAGGCGCGCGGCAGCUCUGCGGGACGGGCUCGACGUCGGUGGGCGUGGUCCUGGUGAGCGGGCACCGGCUCUUGAAGUACCCCGGCGGGCCGCGGCACGCGACGCCGUCGGCGGCGCGCUGGGCGGGCGGGCAGUCGCAGUUGAGGUCGACGGCGCAGCCGAGGGCCGGGCACUGCCCGCCGGCAGCGGCGUGCGGGGUGACCACCGUGGGGACGUUGAAGCCGUCCACGAGGCUGACGCUGUAGGCGGCCCGGUCCUGGCUGCUGCCGCCGUCGUGGACGGUGACCUGCACGACGGUGGCGGGGGGCGCGGCGCCCGUCCAGCACCCCGACGCCGCUGCGUCGCAGCCCGUGCGCGCGGCGACGCGGCCGGCCCAGAAGGUGGCCGGGAAGGAGAGGGAGAGGAGCGCGUUGGUGUCCAGGCGCGCCGUGUUGUCGGAGAUGGAGGGGAGGCCCGAGUUCGGGGUCACCAGCGGCCACACCGGGUGCGGGCAGAGGUUGUGGAUGGUCAGCGUCGUCGCCGUCGAGGCGCAGGUGCUGGCGGCGAGGACAAUAACGAAGGCGAGGGCGCUGGCCAUGGUCUUUGCCAAAGCUGGGUCGCUAGCUGAUCGUGUUGUGAUCAGUGACGAUACACGAGACGGGUUUGGGUGGUUUUUAUAGGCGAGCUUAGUGAUGUCACGACGUCCUUGCUAAUUGGAGAGAUCUUUAAUACUAAGGCUUUAAUGUUCUAAAAUAAAAUGUAUAAAAGCCGCGGUGCUACGUUUGCGUUAAAGAUGUGCUGCAAUUAUACACGUGGCUGUGUCGAUGUGCAGGAGUGAUGAGUGAGGACUGAGUGUUGGUCAAAAGGAGAGAAAAAAAGCGAAGAGGUGCAUAGCAGGAGGCAACUUGGCGACAUGGCAAAGAUAAAGCGAAGAGGAGCAAAGCGUCAACUUAUACCCCACCACAAAACUCUAUGUUCCACAAACUUAGCAUUUACACAAACAGUACAAGUAUUUAGAAUGGUAUAGGCUGAACCAAAGGAAUUUUCGUUGGUUUUAAGCUUUGUUAAUGCCGAACGUGCACUACGCAGACUUGCAGAGGAGAACGCCCUAGAUAGUAGAUACCAUCGUGUCUACAUAACUCAGGCAUCGCCAGUCGCCAGUCAUCAGGUGAUAACAGGCACUCCUUGGCAGUAAGGAGAGCCUUGUCUACAUAACUCAGGAAUCGUUCAUGUCGGCACGUGUACACGCACAUGCUGGCAAGGUGCCCAAGGUAAAUCGAAAGACCAUAUCACAUUGCAUCAUGAUAUUCUCAUAUGCUCAACAAAUUGAUAUGACACGUUGUUGGGUAGCAGGAAGCAGAGCCCCACACCAUCAUAGUAUACAAUUCAUAAACCAAAUCCAACUCCGACCAACUGCCUCUGCCCCCCGCAAAAACCACUCUAGUAUAACUAUGUUUCUUCACCAGCCUGGCUUCAGAUAAACCCAAAUGGAGCAGCAUGUAGAUAACCAAAAACAAAACUGAAAAAAGCUGCUCCCAUGACCUGGAAAUAAACUGAUAUGCACGCAGGGACUGCACUUGUACAAACAGCGUGCGGUUCCAGACCGGACAGGACACAAGUUUUGCCCAGAAAAAAAGAACUCUUACAAAACAGGACCAAGAAUGAAAUGCAAGACAAUGCAAGUGGACAAAGGGGAAAAGAAUGCUAGGAGAAAAAAACAAGCUAAUAGCAACCAGCAGGGAGGGUAUGUCUUGACAUAAUGGACUUGACCGCCCUGAACAAUACAAAAUAAUCCUGUGACAAUUCGCUCGUGCCUGCUGCUCUGCUUACUGGAGCAGCAGCAAGCAACUGGGCCUUUUGUCCCGAGUGACCAUCCGACCAGAGUUCGAUGCAUGAGAUGAAUGCAGGGGAAAAUGAUAGGCCACAGACCAUAGGCGUGCCAUGCCGAGGAGACUGUCAGCAUGUCAGGCGACACUCAUCUCACCUCCAAUAAGAAAUGAAGGCGGCAGAUGCCCUUUGAAAAAGUUAGCAGGCGGCCAACUUGAACCCUCUUUUCUCGUGGGGGCGAAAAGGACGGGCUGACACAUGUACUGAUGCAUGAGUUAGUGAGGACCCUCUGACUCUGCUGCAAGGAUGUUGGACUUCUCCAAAGAGCAGGUCUGGACAUGAUGCAACCGACGACCCAGACAUGAUGACAUGUGGAUGGAUGCAAGUGCAGACUCGAGACUCCUUGUGACAUCAACCGGAAACUGCACGGGUGAUUGCUAUACUUGCCCAAUCAGCUGAUUCUUUCACCUGAGGAUCAUCUGAUGCCAAGCAUUCCUCCAAAAACGCCUUGCUCGAGGAGGAUUGAUUGAUCAAAGGGCCAGCAUGAACGCCCAAUGUGUCGGCCAGAUCUCCCAAGACACCAAUUGCAGUUUUCAUCACAGUAUCAUCCCUGGUAAGAAUACAAUUAUCAUAAUGAAUUAGGUCAACAAACUUAUUUUACUCAAAUAAUGAAUUAGAAAAACAUAAUGUAGUUUCAAGGACUUACAUAUCCUUGCCAUUGUACAGAGCGUCAAGGAACUGAAGAAUAUGUGGGGCAUACGGCAUCAGAAGUUGUGUCUUAGGUGAGCUCUUGAAUCCCUGAAGAAUACCAGAGUAGGCUUCCAAGAUGCCAUUCCUAAGCUGGUUGGUGUAGUCAAGCAUUUCGUCAUCAGUAGCAGUAGUAUGUGCUGAUAGAUCAGCUGCGCUUUGCAGCAUUGGCAUGGCAUAGAUCAGAUACUUCUCGAAGUUUUCCCCAAUUGCCAGUGCAAUAUCCCCAAAGCAUGAAAAUAUCGGUGGCUUUACAGAUCUGUGCAACUGGUUACUGGAUAGGUCCUUCAAGAGCUGGGUCAUGAUACCGUCGCAGAAGGGCAAAAUUUUGUCUUCAAGUGCCCUACACAAGUCACCCACAACACCCACGGUAAUGGCACAUACCUGGUACUCCUCGAAGUUUUGAAGUCCCAUCUCCAAAUACUGAUAAAACUGUGGCAUGUACUUUGCAAAGUUUGCGCCAGCUGCAUAUGCCAAUGCACCAAUAGCAAGCAUAGCCUCCUCAUGCACUGUGGCGUUCCUACAAGCGAAAACUCUCAAAAAUAGAUCCAUCAUCUGAUCUGCAUACUGCAAGAAAGAGUACUUGGUUGACUCCAUCCCUCCCAACUUUUGGAUAAUGACCUGCAGGCAGCCACAAAGGAGGCCCUGCAGUUCGCUCCUCUUCUCCCUCUCAUCAGUUGACAACUUUUCGGCUUCAAGAGUCUGAUGCAGUUCCAUCAUGAUGACAGGUACCAACUGCAUAACAAUAGGGGCUGUCUCCUCAGUGGAGCACCUGACAACUUCAUUUAGAGUCUCAUAAGCUGCCGUGCGCAGCCUGGACUCUCCAGCAUCCUCCCUGUGAGUAACCAUAAGAAGGUUCUGAACAAUAUCUUGAAAGAAAGGGGAUAAUGGCGACGCAGAUCCAGCAUCAACAUAGCCUUGAGCAAGGAAAUAGAGGGCUCCACAUGCCUUCUCAGCCACAUUUGGCACAUCCUUCAUGCUGUGAAGCAGCACAGUAAGUAUUUGCUGACAGUUCUCGGCCGUAAUGAUUGGAGGAGUUUCAAGCGCUGAGCCAUGAAGAAACUCGAAGAUCCUUCCAAGAGUCCAAGCAGUUGUGUCCUUAACAUGGUUACUUGGAUCCUUCAUCAAUGCGGACAGCAUGAAGUUCAAUGCAACAUUUACAAGAGGAGCCAGUUUAUCAGCUGAUGGGCCUUCCAAGAUAGAGCCAAAAGCAUAUGUUGCAGCCUCUCUUUGCCUCCACUCAGCCUUGGUUAUGUUCUCCUCCACAAAAGGCAUCACUAGAGGAACAAUAUCAUCUCCAACAGUCCUUGCCACCAGGCCCAAACAAGUUCCCCCAGCCAUUGCAAGAUUCCAAGCACCUUCAUCCAAGUCCUGGUCUUCCUCCUGCUUCAGAAGAGUCUCCAACAACAUCGGUACCAAGGCAGGAAGAGCCUGCUUGAUAAAAUAGUAGCAAGGAACAUCAGAAUCAGCUGUAAAUUCACUACUGUACUCAUCCAGAAUGUCAAUUUCCUCAUCACAUAUGGAACUCCAAAACUCAAUAGCCUGAAGUGCAACUGACUCCUCAUCUCCCCUCACAGCCUUUGCAGUGAUAUUAAAUAUGUCCUGCAUAUAGGUGGCCAGCUUAUCAUAAUAAGUAGAUGAGAUAGCCACCAAACACUCAAAGGCAGCCUGCCUUAUCUUCACUUCCGGAGACUGAGUUGCUUCACAAACAACUCUCAUAAUGUAGUCACGCUCCAUGUCGUUCGAGAAGUUAACCUGAGCAAAGCCCAAUGCAUUAUACAAUGCCCGUGUAGCUGCAAGCCUCACAUCAGAGUUCGCCUCAGAAGCAUUCAUACCCUGAACAACAGCUGUAAGGAUCUUGUUGACUUGGUCUUGGUCGACAGCCUCUGGGGAAACUUCCUCACAUAAAUAGCCAAGCGUCUCAAGCGUUGCUUGCUUGACGUUUGGCUGGACCUGAUGUAUGUUUGAGAGCAAUGAUCCUAUAAGCUCAGGCCAUUGCUUCUGCGGAAUCUCAAUACCAGCAACCUUGGCGAUAACUUGAGAAGCAGUAGAUCUGGCACUAGCAACAGGAGAUGUAAGAGUUUGCAGCAACAAUCCUUUAAUUUGCGCCUUGGCACCAGCAUCCAGUGCCAGCCAUCUCUGGAAAAGCUCACUCUUCCUGUGUUGCUCCUUUGCAUCCAGUGCAUUCUUAAGAAUCAACCCAGCCAACCUUCGGCUCUCCUCAGGUUUCUCUUCAUUGGCCAACUCAGUUGAGAGGGAGAGCAAGAAUCCUGGAAGAUUUUGCUCCUGGAACUGCUUGAGGCUUUCUUCAGCAUGCUUCCUAAUGGCGCCAUCAGCAGAUUGCGCGCUUAAGAGAACUUGCGUAACAUCGAGUGACAUAUUGACUCUGUGAAUAACAAAACAGUGAGGAAUCAGAUAUAUGCAUGAGCAAAGAAAAAUUGCUCCCUUCAAUAAAAAUUAGACUAUAAUAAAUUGAUCCUUAUUGUAAAGCCUAGCAAGGCAAACCAAACUGCUCUUUGAACAGCCAAACAAGACACUCUAAAUUGCUAUACAAUGUAAAGUUAGAAAAAAAAAAGCAAAUGGAGAGAGUUAUCAGUACCAGAUGUAUUAGUGUUAAACAGUUAAAAAGAGGAACAAAAAUGGUAUGCUUGUAUAAUACCAAUCACGAAAAUGAUAGUUCAUCAGUACGAAAAUCCACAAGAUGGAGAGAUAAAUCAUGUCGAGACAAUAUACAAGGGUCUAACUAGGAACCAAGAUGCCAUAUGAACAAGAAUGACCCAGUCAUCAGUGGACAUGUAACCCCUACUUGUGCACAAGGUCAUAUGUAAAGUAGCAGCAUAACAUUUACAAAAAUUAUAAGAGCAUGAAUCAUAUUCAGUUCGCCCCAGCAUAUAAUAGCUGACACUCCAAUUGCUACCAAGCAUCAACUUCCUAGCCUCCUAUCUAAAACAGUAACUGUGAAAAGUAGAAAUCAUUGAAGCUAAAGUUAUCCAGCAAGCAAGGAAAAACAUGUGUAACUAACUGGUUGCACUAAAAUUGACCUACAACAGAUUAGCAGCAAACUCAGGUCAAUAUAGGAGGCAGGACAUAACUGGUCCCUGCUCAAUUUUUUAGUAGUGUGCUUCGACUUUCACAUAAGAAGGCAACACUAGAAUCCAAACUAGAAGUCACUGAAGCUAGAGUUACCCAGCAAGCAAGUAAGAACGCCUUGUGUAACUAAUUGGUUGCAGUAAAAUUGGCCCACAACAGAUUAGCAGUUGCAGUUACAGCUUACCAGGAACUACCAAAACUAAAAUUGAUCUACGAGGCAGGACAUAACUGGUCCCUGUUCAAUUUUUAGUAGCACGCUUUAGCUUUCACCAAGAAGGCAACACUAACAGGAGCUAAAUUAGAAGCUACACGUUAUAGCUAGUUCACAGAACGGCAACGCAACACUAGAGAUAGCAUGCUCAUGAGUCGUUUACACUAGAAACAACAAACCUACGCGAAGACAACACGUGCGCACCAGAUUCAUCGACGCCCAGCACAGCCCACUCCUCGCCAGGAAUAAAAACCCCCAAAUAAAAGAUGGACUCCCAAACAGAGAGGGGCCACCAACUCAAAUAAAACUGACCUUAGGACUUCUCGGGGAAAGAACCCCCGGGCGUAUCGCAUGCGAAGCGAGCCCUCUACCCCUUUCCCCACCUCCCCAUCAUGUUUGUUCAGAUGCCAGGACCCCCCCGCGAGUUAAGACCCGGGACGGGGGGGGAGUUCCGGUAGGGUGGAUCAGCGGCCCGCAGGUUCCGACGGGGGGGGGGGGGGGGGGGCCUAGGGUUUUGACCCGGGCACUUACGUCGCUGGGCGCGCGGAGACGACCCCGAGGCGUGCGGGCGGGCCGGAGCGGGAGGAGCCUUCGGUUCCCCGCGGCGGGAGCGGGGAGGGGACGCGCGGCCGCGGACCCGAUCGGCGGCGCGUGGAGGGAGGGAGGUGGAGGCGGCGGCGGCGGCGGCGGAGAGGGAGAGGAGGGAGAGGGUAGAGGAGGGGAGGAAAUCAAAUAAUGCGGGAAAAGAAAANNNNNNNNNNNNNNNNNNNNNNNNNNNNNNNNNNNNNNNNNNNNNNNNNNNNNNNNNNNNNNNNNNNNNNNNNNNNNNNNNNNNNNNNNNNNNNNNNNNNNNNNNNNNNNNNNNNNNNNNNNNNNNNNNNNNNNNNNNNNNNNNNNNNNNNNNNNNNNNNNNNNNNNNNNNNNNNNNNNNNNNNNNNNNNNNNNNNNNNNNNNNNNNNNNNNNNNNNNNNNNNNNNNNNNNNNNNNNNNNNNNNNNNNNNNNNNNNNNNNNNNNNNNNNNNNNNNNNNNNNNNNNNNNNNNNNNNNNNNNNNNNNNNNNNNNNNNNNNNNNNNNNNNNNNNNNNNNNNNNNNNNNNNNNNNNNNNNNNNNNNNNNNNNNNNNNNNNNNNNNNNNNNNNNNNNNNNNNNNNNNNNNNNNNNNNNNNNNNNNNNNNNNNNNNNNNNNNNNNNNNNNNNNNNNNNNNNNNNNNNNNNNNNNNNNNNNNNNNNNNNNNNNNNNNNNNNNNNNNNNNNNNNNNNNNNNNNNNNNNNNNNNNNNNNNNNNNNNNNNNNNNNNNNNNNNNNNNNNNNNNNNNNNNNNNNNNNNNNNNNNNNNNNNNNNNNNNNNNNNNNNNNNNNNNNNNNNNNNNNNNNNNNNNNNNNNNNNNNNNNNNNNNNNNNNNNNNNNNNNNNNNNNNNNNNNNNNNNNNNNNNNNNNNNNNNNNNNNNNNNNCCCUUUUAUUAUACUCAAAGAGUACAAGCGCAGCAGAAAACAUAGAAAACGUGCGUUUACUUUUUUUCUCGACAGACGUGUGCUUUACUCGACAGCAACACCUCAAUAAGCCAUUAUAUGGCUUAUCAAAAGAGAGGGAGGAAGUGGGGGGGUGUGGGGAGGGGGGAAGAGCGCCAUUUUUAAUGAUGUAAUUAUUUUACAGAACUUAAGAAACGCAUUGCUUUGUUGGAGUCUCCAAUAUUUCACGUUUUCAUUAAAUUUCGUAUGUAUGUCAAGUUUAUAUAUAGACUCACUAGAGAGAAAAAGAAAACUAGCCAUCCACGUCCAAUUCUAAAGUAGUUAGCGGCAACCUUGAAAUGGUAAAUCGAAACUCAGAUUUUGAGAGUCCAGCUUGUUGCUUCCCGAACCGCAGUUGAUCGAGCUUCCCGUGCACUUGCUAACUCUUCUUUGUCAGUUCAAAACACAACGUAUAUGAACUGAUGCGAAGAGGUGUGCUUUGACCUGAGUUUCAGAUGGACCUUUGGAGAGAGUGAGCUAAUAGUGGGUGGAGCUCCUAGAAAUGAUGGGAGGAGUAACUCUGACACAAAACCACAAUACUGAAAUAUGGACCCUAGAAAAAUCAGGAGACUUUACGAACUUACUUUUCGAGGUGUUGUUAAUAGAUGAUGAUGGAUAUUUGGAAAGCCAAACUUCUUCUCAAUUAAAAUCCGAGUCUUCGCUUGGCAGGUAUACAAUGGUAUGAUACAAUCAGCGGAGAAACUGGUAAAGAGAGAUUACCAUGGAAACAUAGAAUGCAAAAUACUUGUAGAUGUCUGGGGGCAAAAAGAAUCUAGUGAUCACAUCAUAUGUUUAGAUGUUUGUUGUCCCAUUUCACAUGGUGUGUGUUCAGACUUCAGAGAUACUUUUGGGUGGCAACAAACGGUGUGAAUGAUUUCCAAGACCGGCAACUUUGGCUCAUUAGAAAUGAUUUUGUUUUUAAUAAUGUUGUAGUAUCCUCACCUGAUGUAGCGCUAUACCGUGUAAUUUCAUUCAUGUAGAGAUGGGUGAUCCUGAACAUAAGAAAGAAGGGAAGCGACGGGUGGAUCUGCUCGAUGAACGCAAGGAGAUAGGGGCAUGAGCAUCAGUGAGUUGAGGGGAUUUGAUUUUUGUAUACCUAGGUUGGAUGAAGAGGGCUGGAGAUGGGGUGCCGAUGUUGAGGUAGAGCUGGUCGAGUGCCGGUGGCAAUGGCGGCCCAAAGAUCUUCAAUCACUGGUGCUAGGGGCCAUGGCCGGUGGUUAGGAGUGGAUGAAGGGAUAGCUGGUGAAGUGAUUGAGGUUUGGGUGGUGUUGAUUUGAAUUUGGUGGAGGGAGCCAAGAGGAUUUGACUGGCAGAGCUACCUUGCUCGGCCCGGUUUGUUCGGCCUGGAUAAAGAAGAAACAACAAAGAGAGAAGGAUGAGGCGAGGUCCAUAAUUUUUUUUUGGGGGGGGGUUAAGCUCGGGAUGGUGGGCUGGUGGCGGCCGAGCGCUAGAGAGGAGAAACCAGCUGGGGAGGGGCUGAGCGCGCACGUCGGGCGCGUGGCCCUGACAGUGCCGACGGGACACCGAGGGUAUGGCAGCGGCAUGGGCGUGGCAGUGCAGGUAGCACUGGAGUUGGUGAAAUCACGUAUAGGCCUUGUUUAGUUGCUAAAAUUUGAAGGUGUCAAAUUACUGUUACAGCACUGUAGCACACUGUAGUGUUUCGUUUGUAUUUGUGAAUUAUUGUCCAAACAUUGAUUAAUUAGGCUCAAAAGAUUCGUCUCGCAAAGUACAACAAAACUGUACAAUUAGUUUUUAAUUUUGUCUACAUUUAGUACUCCAUGCAUGUAUCGUAAGUUUGAUGUGAUGGGAAAUCUUCUUUUUCAUAGUGAUAAAGUUGAAAGUUGGGGGUGAACUAAACAGGCCCAUAGUGUUUGCGUGUGUGUUGAGAUGAUGUGGGGCUGGAUGCAGGUGCCGCCGUGUGACGGCAUGACAGCUCGCCAACGUCUGAUGCCCGACACGCGUUGGUCAUCCUAGACACGACCUGCGAUAACAAGAGCAAAACCAACCGGCGAGGAACAACACCUUUGAGUCGAUUUAUCUCGCGAAUUCAAAUAGUACAUACAGAUUGGCGAAACUACAAUAUGUAGAUGAAUGAUAGGGGUACAAAUUUUAUAAAGGAUCGAGAUAAUUUGACUCUUGGUUUGAGAGAUCAAAGGCUCCAAAAAAAUAGAGAAAACAUCCUUUCUAUGGACUUGCGCAAAAAUUAGCUAAGGCUGGAAUUUCAGAGUUUUGACCGCUUUUUGACCAUGAUUUUGAAUGUUGAAAACUUGUUUUAACUAAUUCAUAACAUGCCUAGAUGAGAUGCUAUACCUUGUACUGGUCAAAAGUUAAGGUUUAGGAAAAAUAAUUUUAAUUAUAUGGCUAAAAUUAAAUACCUCCAUACUUAGGGUUUUUCCAACCUGCAUAUGUUUAAACAUAUGAUUUGAUUUUGUUCUAUUUAAACAUGUCGAUGAGUAAACAAUGAUUAUUUUACAUUUCUACUUAUAUUUGAGUAUGUUUGACUUAUUUUUCAUAAUUAUGCCUUUUAUCAUUAUUUAAUUACAAAAAUGACAUAAGCCCUUUAUAAAAUGCAUAUUAAUUGGUAAAUCUAUAUCACAUGUCAAAGGCUACCAAAACCCAUUAAAUUCAAAAGUUCAUAUAUGAAAAAUGUUAGUGCUCAUGUUAUGCAAAUGAUUAAGCCUAAUUACAUGUGCUAAACACUCGACGUGUUACAAUAACGUCCGCAAAGCAAAGGUUUAGAGACUAAUAAAGAAUCUUCUGGAGAUAAAGCUGUAGAGUUCAUAUAUGUAAGGAAGAACAGAUUGAUCAGUACUGAGAAGUGAAAAGCAUGCACCAAGAAUGGAAGUUUCAGUCGCAAGAGAAGGUAGAGGCCCCAAGAACCGAAGAAUGUAGACCAAGAACUUAAGAACAACAUUCGGUCACAAAAGUACUGAAAAUCUUGCCCGGCAGUGGUGUGCCGAAUGUCGGAGAGAGGUGGCGGCGCCAUUGAGCAUCCGGGGCACUGGCGUACACACAUGCAGUCUAAGUGAUAUUGUAAUUGAAGUUUCCCCUCGUGGAAUGGUUGAUUGGAUUGCUGGUCGUCAAACAGAUUGGGUAGAUACCGUGAAGAAUCAUUCAAUUUAGAAUAUACAGUUAAGCAUGAAAAGAUGAUUUCAGAAAAUGCAGAAUGCAUCAUUCAGAACAGCACAAGUUCAGAAACGAUCAUUGGCAAAAAGAUUAGAACUAAUGAAAUGUAUCCUGCAUUCCCACUUCAGUUGAUAUGAAGUCGACUAGGAAUUAACCUGGCACGUUGCACAUUAUAACUAACCGAUUCGCGGAAUUUUCAAUGCAGAAAACUCGAUUCAGAGGCAAGAAUAAAGGAAAUCGUGAGAUGAGUAUUUCUCUCGUGCUUGACUGGAUGCUUGGCUUGCUUCGGUAGCAGUGGGGGUUGCUUUGGUGAGUGGUCUCUCUCUUAAGUGAUGUAAAAGUCCUUGUAAAACUAGUUAUAUAACAUAUUCAAUCCAUCCAUCCCGAGUUGCAGUUGACUUUAGUUGUAUUAAAUAUCUAUCUUUAAACAAAUUUAUACAAAAGAAUUGGCAUCCGUAACACUAAAUUAUUUUUAAAAAAAAUCACCAUGAAAUGUGUUUUAAUUAUUCAUUAAUCGGUAUUGUAGAUAUUAUUAUAUUUUUUAGUAGCACCAAAGAUGAACAAUUUAGAUGCAAAUUUGGAGAGCUACUUGAGAUUCUUUUUUGUAGUGAUAUGGGUGUAGAAUUUAGACAAAUAUAAGUGGUUAAUUUGAUUUAUUUUUUAAAAUGGUAGAGGUGUCCAAUUUAAAUAUAGAUAGGGGUUACCUUAGACUAGUUUCACAAGGGAGUGGUGGAUAAUUUGUAAGAAAAGAUAAAAGAUUGAAGAGCUAUUAGUAUCAAUGAUUUAUAGCCCGCCUGCGGUCGCCAUGAGCUCCGCCUGCGGACCUAAACACGACAUUGUCGAGUUGGCAGAUGGUUUGCCCUGACGCCUCCGCCAUCACGUCGCGCCUUGAUGUGGGGCUUGGAUCUUUAGCUGCCUUGAAUCCGAACAGUGUUUAAUGACUUGGUGUCUUGGAAUUAUUUAGCCUGUUCGGUUGGACUUAUAAGCCGGUUGAAAAGCUGAAACGGCUGAUUUAUUGUAAGAGGAAAAUACUGUUCGAUGACUGAUAAGCCGGCUGAUAAAGCUGAAACGAACAAGCUGAUUUAUAUUCUUGAUUGCCUUGUGAUGCUGUGGUUGCAUCCGUGUCUCUGUCCAGUUCUUGCCCGACCUCAACAGGGGAGUAGUGUUGAUAGUAUUGAUAGUAGAUCAGUCAUCACCCAUCAUCAGAUUUAACCAUUGCUUCAUACUUAUGGAGAUCUAUUUUUUGUAACUUUCCAGGAGGCUGGCCCGAGUACAGCGUCGAUAAUCGUCGAAUCUUCUUCUUCCGACGAGCCAGCUGCGCCGAUUCCUGAAAUAAGGGUAGCACUCCCACCAACACAAGCAGAAGAAAUCCGUUUUAAAGAGGUAAGAAACUUAACACCCAAAUCGGUCGAUUUUUUGCUGCCGUCGACUAAUCCGUCUUUUUAUUUUACUAGGAGCAGGAUACUCCCAACAACAGCCUUAUUUCUUUUGCGGUCGCGAUUUCUGAUGACGAGGAGGUCGCCUCACGCCAGGUCGCUCUGAGUUCACUUCCCGAUGAAGUCCGCGCCAAGCUCCAGAGUAUAUGGGUCCUUCUUCAGGAUGAUGUCGACUGAUUGGUGGAAGACGCCUUGCCGAUUCGGCAACUCUUCAGUGAAAUCAGAGGCCGAGUUCUAGAAGAAGCAGAAGAAGCUCUAGCACCCGUAGCAUAUAUCGAGCCAAUGCAAAUCCCGGUGUUCAGAGCUUUACGGCAUAUGGCCGACCGUGCUAAACUAGCAAAGGCACGUGAAGAGGAGGACUCCUACAAACAACGAGCUCAAGAAGUGCACCAGUGGAUCGACGUUCUUGAAAACUCCCGCUCGGACAUUGUUGGUGCCAUAGACCGCCUCAAGCGGCGAAGGGCAGAGGUCGCCAAGGAAAUGGAGCAGGUAACCAAAGCCAUAGCCGCUGAAGAGAAGAGGCUUCAUGAUCUCCCAUCUGUUAUCGCCGAUCUAAAGCAGGAGAGGCAGGCCCUUGCCCAUGAAGCUAUCCGACUUCACCGCAAUAUACCAGAAGUCCCUGGGUUGGCCGAUGAUGACCAAAGGAUUUUAGAUUCGGCCGAUCAGAUUUGGCAGUGAGCGAUUGCGGCCAUUAAUGCUCUCCUCGGGUGAAUUGUAGAAAACUCUGAAUGCUUUUGUACAAACAUUUAAUUUUCUUUUGCCGUUGUCGUGCGAAUUCAAACUUGGACCGUCCUCUAUCGCAGCUUUUCAUUUAAUAGUCCUUUACUCCGAUGGGACACGUUUUACCAAUCGUUACCCUUCAUCCUUUUCCUUCUAUAAGUAUGAGACCCUCGUAUCGCUUCUAAGGGCAUUCGCACCUGGCCCAGCCUCCUUUCCUCAAGUUGUCUUAGUUCCAUACUCUUAGACAAGGCUUCGAGAUGUCUUCCCCUUCCUCCGUCAAUCAGGUACGAGAUCUCCCUUCGUUCCUUCGCCCAGCAUUCAUCAAUCUAACGAUGGGUGAUUGUUUGUUACAUCCCAGCCGAGACGCCUUAGCCUUGGCCUGGAACGAGCCAUUGAGAUCAUGCACUCCGAGGAACCGCUGACGCAGGCGGACAGAGAUCUGAUCGAGGCCCAUCGCGAAGAACUCAAAGAUCAUAUCCCUGCUCAUAUCCAGAAGAUCUUGGAUCAUAUGGAAGCCAAUUGCUCCAGGCGGCCGCCAACCGAGAAGAGCCACCAACUACCUCAUCAGAUCGUUCUUGAGGACGCCAUGGCAGGAACAUCCCAACCGCCUCUCGACAGAAGCCACCAACUUCCUCGUCAAGUUGCUGUUGAAGCUGCCAUGGAUGAUUUGGAGGAAAAGAGCAUCCGCCUCUUAAUAGAACUAGGCCAGGUCGAGAAAGAGAGAAAGCCCAGCUAAAACGUGGUUAAUGAAUGUAUUGGUACUUUUGGUCUAAGGGCGACUUGUACCGUGUCAGCCAUGUAUCCUAUUGCUGUACCGAAUAAUAAAUCGGCCAGACUAGUCAAAGGUUCCGUCCUCAAGGCGAUGUCAUCUUUGCAUCGGCUAUAUGAACACAAGUCAAUAGGAGUCGGCCACGGCGUCUCAAAAUGCCAUGUCAUCGGUUACGCGUCCACCCAUAUGCUAGGGUAAUAUUUCUUCAAAUACCUUCCAUUUAAAGCUCUUGUGAAUUCCUCUCCUUCGAUAGUCUCUAAUAUGUACGCAUUUCCCGGAGCGCAUCGGCCGAUUCUAUACGGCCCUUCCCAAGUAGACGACCAUUUACCGAAUUUGGGAUCUUUAGAUCCUAUCGGCAGCACCAACUUCCAUACCAAAUCUCCCUAGGAGAAUUGCUUGACCUUAACCUUCUUGUUGUAUCACCUAGCCACCCUUUUCUUAUUUUCUUCGAUGUUGAUCAGGGCCCUUAAUCGCUGACCCGCCGAAUCGUCGAGCUCCCCCUUCAUGAGGAGGGAAUAGUCAUCGGCUUUCAAUUGAUCUUGAAGUGAUGUGCGUCUGGACCCCAUCCUUAAUUCCCAAGGCAAUAGUGCCUCGUGGCCGUACACCAACUGAUAAGGUGAUAUUUUAGUAGCCCCAUGGCAGGCCAUCCUAUAGGCCCAUAGAGAUUCAGUCAAGGAUGCGUGCCACUUCUUGGGCUGCUCCUCUAUCUUCCUAUUGAUCAACUUGAUUAUACCCUUAUUGGAUGAUUCGGCCUGACCGUUAGCUUGAGCAUAAUACGGAGAAGAAUUCAACAAUUUAAUUCCCAUAUCGGCGGUGAACUCUUCAAACUCUCCGAGGUGAACAUCGUCCCUUGAUCAGUUGUGAUAGUUUGAGGCAUACCGAACCGAUAAACAAUGUGGUCUCUCACAAAAUCGAUCGUGGCGGCCAAAGUCACGGUUUUCAGGGGGACUGCCUCCACCCAGUUGGUAAAGUAAUCAGUGGCUACUAAUAUGAACUUGUGUCCCUUGCUUGAUGGAGGAUAAAUCUGUCCGAUGAGAUCUAUUCCCCAACCCCUAAACGGCCAUGGCUUAACUAUUGGGUUUAUAGUCGAGGCUGGUGCACGCUGCACGUUGCCAAACUUCUGGCAAUCCUGACAUCCAUUAAAAUAUUUAAAGCAAUCCUCGAGUAUAGUCAGCCAAUAAUAACCAUUGUUCCUGAUCAUCCACUUCAUUUUGUGAGCUGUUUGAUGAGCCCCGCAUACGCCUUCGUGAAUUUCUCCCAUCAGAACCUUCGCCUCUUCCGUUCCAAGGCACUUGAGCAGAACCCCAUCAAUCAUCCGGUAAAACAAAUCAUCCUCAAGUAACACAUAUUUCAUGGUCUGAAAACAUAUUCGCCGAUCCACUUUCUUGGAUGGAUUUUUUAAGUAGUCGGCGAUCUCCUUUCGCCAAUUGUCGGCCAUAAGCUCCAGAGUCAUGGCGCCUUGAAUCGGCCGAUAUCCGAAAGCAUGUUGGGCAAGCCUGUUAGCCUCUUCAUUGUAAUUUCUAGGAAUAUGCUCAAUAACCGCAGACUUGAAAUCUUUUAACAACCGAAGGAAAUGUUCGUAGUAAAUCCUUAAGACAUCAUCUUUGCACUCAGACUUCCUCGUCAAUUGAUUGACAAUGAGCAUGGAAUCCCUGAAAAUCUCCACUGCAUCGGCUUUGAUCUCCCUCAAUAAUUGGAUACCUUUUAGGAUAGCCCGGUACUCUGCUUGAUUAUUGGUAGCGGACGCCUCUAUCGAUAGAGAGAAAUCAUAACUUGCCCCCCGAGGUGAUAUGAGGAUGAUGCUGAUUCCUGAUCCGGCCCCACACGAAGAACCGUCGAAGUACAGUGUCCAUGGAGCUGGCUCGACGAUGGCGAUUUCCGGUCCACAGUGCUGGGCUACGAAAUCAGCCAUAACUUGACCCUUGACCGCUUUGACCGAUUCGUACCUCAGGUCGAACUCUGAUAGAGCUAGAAUCCAUUUUCCAAUUCUUCCUUUCAAAAUCGGCAAUGAUAGCAUGUACUUUACUACAUCAUCUUUGCACAUGACUAUGCACUCUGCCGAUAACAGGUAGUGCCUGAGUUUGGUAUAUGAAAAAUACAGACAAAGGCACAACCGUUCCAUUGGGGAAUAUCUAGUCUCAGCGUCUAGGAGCCUUCUGCUGACAUAAUAGAUUACCCUUUCUUUACCUUCAAAUUCUUGUACCAGCGCCGAUCUGAUAGCUUGUUCUUCGGCCGACAAGUAUAGUCUGAACGGCUUGUCAGCCUGUGGCGGGACCAACACCGGUGGUGAGAUCAGGUACUGCUUGAUGUCUUCCAACACUUUUCGUUGUUCUUCUCCCCACACGAAUGCCUGGUCAGGUUUCAAUUUCAACAAAGGGGUGAAGGCUGGAAUACGCCCGGACAAGUUGGAUAUGAACCUUCUGAUAAAGUUAACUUUGCCGAUUAGGGACUGCAGCUCAGUUUUGUUCUGUGGGGCCACAACUUUAUUGAUGGCAGCCAUAAUUUUCUGGUUGACUUCUAUCCCGCGCUCAUGGACCAUGAAUCAUAGAAAUUGUCCAGCUGAAAUGCUGAAGGCACAUUUGUUUGGGUUCAUUUUCAAUCCAUGCUUCCUCGUGCACUCCAACACUUCUCGCAAUACCAUGAGAUGCGUGGUCUAGACCGGUCCAUCGUCGAGCACCAGUUGCCUAUAAAACUAGGAUACCGGCCGUAUCAGCAACCCGCACGACGGUGCAACCCUAAAAUCCUACCUGAUAUAAAGGCCAAGAUUACAAGAUUGAUUGAAGCAGGAUUUAUUCGGCAGUGCCGUUAUGCUGAGUGGAUUUCCAAUAUUGUACCCGUAUACAAGAAAAAUGGAAAGCUGCGCGUGUGCAUUGACUUCAGGAAUCUUAAUCAGGCUACGCCGAUGGAUGGGUAUCCAAUGCCAAUAGCCGAUGUUUUGAUAGACGCCGCCGUAGGACAUAAAGUCAUCAGUUUCAUGGACGGUAAUGCUGGGUACAAUCAAAUAUUAAUGGCCAAAGAAGACAUUUCAAAGACGGCUUUCAGGUGUCCAGGCCACCUCGGUUUGUUCGUGUGGGUGGUGAUGACCUUCGGUUUAAAAAAUGCCGGAGCUACAUAUCAACGGGCUAUGAAUUAUAUUUUCCACAAGCUUAUUGGUGUCCUGGUGGAAAUUUACAUCGACGACGUCGUGGUCAAGUCGAAAGGACAUCAGGAGCAUCUGGCCGAUUUGCGAGAUGUAUUGGAGUGCACAAGGAAGCAUGGAUUGAAAAUGAACCCAAACAAAUGUGCCUUCGGUAUUUCGGCUGGAUAAUUUCUAGGAUUCAUGGUCCAUGAGCGCGGGAUAGAAGUCAACCGAAAGAUUAUAGCUGCCAUCAAUAAAGUUGUGGCCCCGCAGAACAAAACUAAGCUGCAGUCCCUAAUCGGCAAAGUUAACUUUAUUAGAAGGUUCAUAUCCAACUUGUCCGGGCGUAUUCAAGCCUUCACUACUUUUUUGAAAUUGAAACCCGAUCAGGAAUUCGUGUGGGGAGAAGAAUAACAAAAAGUGUUGGAAGACAUCAAGCAGUACCUGAUCUCACCACCGGUGUUGGUCCUGCGACAUGUUGACAAGCCGUUCAGACUAUACUUGUCGGCUGAAGAACAAGCUAUUGGAUCGGCGCUAGUACAAGAAUUUGAAGGAAAAGAAAGGGUAAUCUAUUGUGUCAGCAGAAGGCUGCUAGACGCUGAGACUAGAUAUUCCCCAGUGGAACGGCUGUGCCUUUGUCUGUAUUUUUCAUGUACCAAACUCAGGCACUACCUUGUUGGGAUAUGAGGUAGGCUACACUAGCGCAAUUCAAAAUUUCUACCGCGUAUAACCAGGAAGAACUGCCGUAUAAGGAUCACGGGAUUACCACUCCACGCACUACUGGUGCGGAAGAUGUAGAUAUGCGUCGAUGCAGUGAAGACGAUCACGUAGUCGUACGUAGUCGAUCAACGUAGUCGUACGUAGUCGAUCACGUCCAGCAGCUCCUCAGCAGCUCGUCCACGUGCAGCAAGAUCGCCUCCGGUACCGCGGCUCGUCGUCGGCUCGUCGUGGCUCGUCGGCGGCUCGUCCAAGUGCUGCAGGCGCAACACCUCCAAGGUAUCCACACGUGCAGGGAGGAAGCGUCGCAAGCCGGAUUGCUAGAUCCGCGAGUUGCAACAGGCGAGGGCGUGGGAGGCGCGGCAGGUGUGUUUCGCCAAAAAGGUGUAAACCCUAGGGCGCCCCCACCCCUCUAUUUAUAGAGGUUCCUGAUGGGCCUCUGGAUCCGAGGCCCAUUAGUACCUCUAAACCUAAUCCAACUCGGAUCAGAUCCGAAUUGGGCUUCCAGCCCCUUAAGUGUGUGACCCUAUGGGUUCGGAUACGUAUAGACAUGGCCCGAGUACUUCUACUCGGCCCAAUAGUCGGUAGCGGCCUCUAGCAAGACGUGCCAACUCCUAUACGCACACGAAGAUCAUAUCAGACAAACCAUCACAACAUAAUAUACAUGCUAUUCCCUUUGCCUCACGAUAUUUGGUCUAGCUUCAAGCCGACCGCUCUUUCUCGAUCCUGUGAUUCGGAAUCCCUUUGUAGGUUAACUCUUAACCGUACGUAGCAUGGCCAUGCAUUUUUGGAUCCGAUCACUCGAGGGGCCCAGAGAUAUCACUCUCAAUCAGAGAGGGGCAAAUCCCAUCUUGACUGACCAUGUCUCAUAGCAUGCUUCUUGACAAACCCGAAAGCUACCUUUAUAACUACCCUGUUACGGCGUAGCGUUUGAUAGCCCCUAAGUAGGUCGAUCCACAUCUAGAAUACAUGCGACAAUCUCAGGUCUAAGGACAAAGCGUAUAUGUUGUUUAAAGAGAGAACUAUUUCUCGUGUUGGGUCAGUCCUAGCACAUGUCUCCACAUGCGUCCACAUUAUUAGUUCAACAUCUCCAUGUCCAUGACUUGUGAAACAUAGUCAUCAACUAAUACAUGUGCUAGUCUAAUAUUCAUGUGUGUCCUCACAUGAACUCCGACUAGGGACAACUUUAGAAUAACCAUACAAGUAAAGAGUUUCACAUACAAUUCACAUAAUUGCAAAUCAAUUCAAGUAGCCUUCAAUGGAUAUUCAAUGAACACAACAUACAAAUCAUGGAUACAAAUGGAAUAUCAUCAUCUCUAUGAUUACCUCUAGGGCAUACCUCCAACAUACCUGUCGUGUGCAAAGAUGAUGUGGUAAAGUACAUGCUAUCAUUGCUGAUUUUGUAAGGAAGAAUUGGAAAAUGGAUUCUAGCUCUAUCAGAGUUUGACCUAAGGUACGAAUCGGCCAAAGCUGUCAAGGGCCAAGUUAUGGCCGAUUUCGUGGCCUAGCAUUGUGGACCGAAAAUCGCCGUCAUCGAGCCAGCUCCAUGGACACUGUACUUCGACGGUUCUUCAUGUGGGGCCGGAUCAGGAAUUGACAUCAUCCUCAUAUUGCCUUGGAGAAACUCUUUCUCUAGGAAAACCCCGUUCCGAGCGACAAACACUUUGCCUUCUGAUCGGUUGUAGAAAUAAUAUCCCAAAGUUUCCUUUGGAUAUCCCACGAAAAUGCACUUAUCCGACUUGGGUGUGAUCUUGUCGGACUGAAGUCGCUUGACAAACACUUCACAUCCCCAAAUCUUUAGAAAAGACAAACUAGGAACCUUUCCAGUCCAUAUCUCAUAUGGUGUCUUAACUACGGAUUUAGAUGGUACCCUAUUUAGUGUGAAAGCUGCUGUUUCUAGAGCGUAUCCCCAAAAUGACAACGGUAGGUCCGACUGGCUCAUCAUUGAUCGAACCAUGUCUAACAAAGUUCGAUUACAUCGCUCGGACACACCGUUUCUCUGAGGUGUUCCAGGCGGCGUAAGUUGUGGAACAAUUCCGCAACUCUUUAGAUGAUUGCUAAACUCGUGGCUCAAAUACUCACCUCCACGAUCAGAUCGUAAGGCCUUAAUUUUCUUGCCACGCUGAUUUUCAACUUCAUUCUGAAAUUCCUUGAACUUUUCAAAGGUUUCAGACUUGUGCCUCAUCAAGUAGACAUAGCCAUAUCUACUAAAAUCAUCAGUGAAAGUUAUGAAGUAUUGGAAUCCUCCUCUAGCUGUCGUGCUCAUUGGUCCGCAUACAUCACUAUGUACGAGUUCCAACAAGUCUACUGCUCUCUCAGGAAAUUCUGUGAAAGGCGUCUUGGUCAUCUUGCCUAGCAAACAAGCCUCGCAUGUCUCGUAUGAUUCAAAAUCAAACGAAGUUAGAAGUCCAUCAGAAUGGAGCUUCUUCAUGCGCUUUUCACUUAUAUGACCCAAACGACAAUGCCACAAGUAGGUAGGACUCAAAUCAUUAGGCCGAGGCCUUUUAGCACUUACAUUACAGAUAGGUGAACCAUCAAGAUUUAAAACAAAUAAUCCAUUCACAAUGGGUGCAAAAGCCAUAAACAUAUUAUUCUUAGAGAUCACACAACCAUUGUUUUCACUCGCAAAUGAAUAACCAUCCUUCAUCAAGCAUGAAGGAGAUAAAAUGUUUCGACUUAAACUAGGAACAAAAUAACAAUUAUUCAACUCCAUAAUAAAUCCUGACGGGAGGUGGAGUUGCAUCGUCCCGACGGUCAAAGCAGCAACUCUUGCAUUAUUGCCCACGCGGAAAUCAACUUCUCCUCUUUCCACGCUUCUACUUCUUAUCAUUCCCUGCAUCGAAUUGCAAAUAUGAGCAACCGAUCCGGUAUCAAAUACCCAAGAAUUAAUAAUUGUAUCAGCGAGAAAUAUGUUGUCUAUAACAUUAACAACAAGCGUACCUGAGGUAGAAGUACUCUUACUUCCGCCGUUCUUCAACGAAGCUAGGUACUGCUUGCAGUUUCUCUUCCAGUGACCAAGUUCAUGACAGUAAAAGCACUCUUUAUCUGGAGCAGGUCCAGCUUUAGCCUUGGGCGCUGGGUUUGGCUUGGACACUCCAGCCUUGCCCUUCUUCUUCCAAGAAUUGCCCUUCUUCUUAAAGGUAGGCUUGUUCUGUACAGCCAUCACAUGGCUGGUACUAGCGCUUUUCUUAAUGUCUACCUCUGCUAUCUUGAGCAUACCACACAGUUCAUUCAGACCCUUCUCCGUCCCAUGCAUAUGGUAGUUCGAGAUGAAGUUCCCAUAGCUAGGCGGAAGAGAUGAAAGAAUGAAGUCAGUGGCCAACUCUUUGCCCAUUGGGAAGCCCAGCUUCUCCAAUCGCUGAGUGUAACCAACCAUCUUGAUUACAUGUGGUCCUACUGCUGCGCCUUCUGCUAACUUGCACUCCAGAAAGGCUUUGGACACAUUGAACCUUUCGGUCCUAGCCUGUGUCUGGAACAUGUCCUUGAGCGCCACGAUCAUAUCGUGUGCCUCAUGAUUUGUUUCGAACUGCAUCUGCAGCUCGGGUUCCAUGCAAGCAAGCAUAAGGCAGCUUACCUCAAGAUUAGCAUCAAAUGCCUUCUUGUAAGCAGCCUUAACAGCAACAGAUGCAUCAUCAGCAGGUACUGGUGGUAGUGGGGUGUCUAGAACAUCUUCCUUUUUUCUCAGCCCUGAGAACAAUUCUCAGGUUACGGAUCCAAUCCGAGUAGUUUGUUCCAUUCAACUUGUCCUUCUCAAGGACCGAACGCAAAGCAAACGAUGCGGUGGUGUUGCUAGGUGCCAUUUAAUCUACAACAAAAGUAAUGCAAAAUACACUAAGACAAACGUAUCCAUGAUAGAGCAAAUUACAUUAAACUAUUUUAACAGAAUCUACUCCCACUAAAAUCAAUAUCCCUCUAUUGAAACUUAGUGAUUCAGGAUCCACAACUAACAAGUCCACUAGUGAGCUUUAGCAUCACCGCUAGCAAACGAGGUAGAUCGGUAAGCAACUUUUGCUAAUCAUAUCACAUAUGACUCCUGUUGUUGGGUGACAUCUCUAUGUCUCGGCGCCCAACCUUUAUGCCCCAAGGUCCUUAACCGUUAAGAUAACCUUGUUAAGCAAACCAACCCUUAUGCGUGUAAGUGUCCGACACAAACCCGUCUAGUCAAGGAAAACUAGUGGCACCCUAAUUUCAUAGACCCACCACUAAUUGUACAAGACAUGGGACGGUGCAAGUUUUAGUUGGGAGGGCAUACUAACUUAAACUUUGUGAGGGAUCGUUCUACUUCUAACAUCACAGCAUGCAGAAAGUAAAACAUAAAUAGAAUAGCAUUCACACAGUUGUGACACAGUAUGGCCCGUUUUCAUAUGGUGAUCUCCAUCUCCAUAGAACCUGUUCACCAUGGUGAUCUCCAUCUCCAUGUUCCAUGUGCGCCAUCCUCCUGGUGAUGAGUCCUCCAAGAACUAGAGCAUGCUAUUACGCCUAAUAGCUAGUAAAGAAUCUAGUAAUGAAGAUUACAUAGUUGCUUGGAUCAUCACAGAUUGGUACGCAGACCAUUAAAUACAAUAAAGUGACAACACAUAUGGCUCCUGCCGUGUUGCCGUACGCGCGACACGCAGGUCACGAAUGAGUUACACACAUGCAUCACAUACACAAGGGGGCCAUACUGAUCACAAGAUACAUGCAUACAUUCUGCAAAACAGAGUUAGGCGUCCUAACGUUACAAACUUUGGAGGCCCGAAACUCCAUCUUCCAAGACGAAUUUGGGAAAUCUAAUUUCGCCGAAAACGGCAUUGCCGUUGAAUUUCAUGUGUAACUUUUUCUGUAGAUCAAUUUUCAUAUAAAAUUCGCCCCGAUCCGAGAUCGUACCGAAAAGUUACGGCUGAUUUACCGAAGCAUACGCAUACGGCAAAAUCCCGACCCCGGCAGUAGAUCCCAUGUACUAUUGCACAUCUAAUGCGCCUGGCGUAUGACCCUGGAUCUCGAUUCGACCAAUCAUAUUGAUCUUCGCUCACUGCAACUGGAUUUACGUGUAUCACUUAACUCCGAUGGCGGAAACCGACCGGUAUGAGUAUGUCGUUACACUACCAUUGCAGCAAGGGCACGAAACCAGGACAUAGAUCAAACAGAAAACUCGCAUAUCUCCAUAUGCUCACAUCCCGAAUCCAAAACUAAGCAGCUACGGCUCUGAUACCACUGUUGGGAUACGAGGUAGGCUACACUAGCGUAAUUCAAAAUUUCUACCGCGUAUAACCAGGAAGAACUGCCGUAUAAGGAUCACAGGAUUACCACUCGACGCACUACUGGUGCGGAAGAUGUAGAUAUGCGUCGAUGCAGUGAAGACGAUCACGUAGUCGUACGUAGUCGAUCACGUCCAGCAGCUCCUCAGCAGCUCGUCCACGUGCAGCAAGAUCGCCUCCGGUACCGCGGCUCGUCGUCGGCUCAUCGUGGCUCGUCGGCAGCUCGUCCAAGUGCUGCAGGCGCAACACCUCCAAGGUAUCCACACGUGCAGGGAGGAAGCGUCGCAAGCCGGAUUGCUAGAUCCGCGAGUUGCAACAGGCGAGGGCAUGGGAGGCGCGGCAGGUGUGUUUCGCCAAAAAGGUGUAAACCCUAGGGCGCCCCCACCCCUCUAUUUAUAGAGGUUCCUGAUGGGUCUCUGGAUUCGAGGCCCAUUAGUACCUCUAAACCUAAUCCAACUCGGAUCAGAUCCGAAUUGGGCUUCCAGCCCCUUAAGUGUGUGACCCUAUGGGUUCGGAUACGUAUAGACAUGGCCCGAGUACUUCUACUCGGCCCAAUAGUCGGUAGCGGCCUCUAGAAGGACGUGCCAACUCCUAUACGCACACGAAGAUCAUAUCAGACGAACCAUCACAACAUAAUAUACAUGCUAUUCCCUUUGCCUCACGAUAUUUGGUCUAGCUUCAAGCCGACCGCUCUUUCUCGAUCCUGUGUUUCGGAAUCCCUUUGUAGGUUAACUCUUAACCGUACGUAGCAUGGCCAUGCAUUUUUGGAUCCGAUCACUCGAGGGGUCCAGAGAUAUCACUCUCAAUCAGAGAGGGGCAAAUCCCAUCUUGACUGACCAUGUCUCAUAGCAUGCUUCUUGACAAACCCGAAAGCUACCUUUAUAACUACCCUGUUACGGCGUAGCGUUUGAUAGCCCCUAAGUAGGUCGAUCCACAUCUAGAAUACAUGCGACAAUCUCAGGUCUAAGGACAAAGCGUAUAUGUUGUUUAAAGAGAGAACUACUUCUCGUGUUGGGUCAGUCCUAGCACUUGUCUCCACAUGCGUCCACAUUAUUAGUUCAACAUCUCCAUGUCCAUGACUUGUGAAACAUAGUCAUCAACUAAUACAUGUGCUAGUCUAAUAUUCAUGUGUGUCCUCACAUGAACUCCGACUAGGGACAACUUUAGAAUAACCAUACAAGUAAAGAGUUUCACAUACAAUUCACAUAAUUGCAAAUCAAUUCAAGUAGCCUUCAAUGGAUAUUCAAUGAACACAACAUACAAAUCAUGGAUACAAAUGGAAUAUCAUCAUCUCUAUGAUUGCCUCUAGGGCAUACCUCCAACAUACCUGUUAUCGGCGGAGUGCAUAGUCGUGUGCAAAGAUGAUGUGGUAAAGUACAUGCUAUCAUUGCUGAUUUUGUAAGGAAGAAUUGGAAAAUGGAUUCUAGCUCUAUCAGAGUUUGACCUAAGGUACGAAUCGGCCAAAGCUGUCAAGGGCCAAGUUAUGGCCGAUUUCGUGGCCUAGCAUUGUGGACCGAAAAUCGCCGUCAUCGAGCCAGCUCCAUGGACACUGUACUUCGACGGUUCUUCAUGUGGGGCUGGAUCAGGAAUUGACAUCAUCCUCAUAUUGCCUUGGAGGGCUAGUUAUGAUUUCUCUCUGCCGAUAGAGGCAUCCGCCACCAAUAGUCAAGCAGAGUACCGGGCUAUCCUAAUAGGUAUCCAAUUAUUGAGAGAGAUCAAAGCCGAUGCAGUGGAGAUUUUUGGGGGAUUCCAUGCUCAUUGUCGAUCAAUUGAUGGGGAAAUCUGAAUGCAAAGAUGAUGUCUUAAGGAUUUACUACGAAGAUUGCCUUCGGUUGUUAAAAGAGUUCAAGUCUGCGGUUAUUGAGCAUAUUCCUAGAAAUUAUAAUGAAGCGGCCAACAGGCUUGCACAACAUGCUUCCGGGUAUCGGCCGAUUCAAGGUGCCAUGACUCUGGAGCUUACGGCCAACGAUUGGCGAAAGGAGAUCGCCGAUUACUUAAAAGAUCCGUCCAAGAAAGUGGAUCGGCGAAUACGUUUUCAAGCCACGAAGUAUGUGUUACUUGAGGAUGAUUUGUUUUACCGGACGAUUGAUGGGGUUCUGCUCAAGUGCCUUGGAAUGGAAGAGGCGAAGGUUCUGAUAGGAGAAAUUCACGAAGGAGUAUGCGGGGCUCAUCAAUCAGCUCACAAAAUGAAGUGGAUGAUUAGGAACAAUGGUUAUUAUUGGCCGAUGAUACUCGAGGAUUGCUUUAAAUAUUAUAAAGGGUGUUAGGAUUGCCAGAAGUUUGGCAACGUGCAGCGUGCACCAGCCUCGGCUAUGAACCCAAUAAUUAAGCCGUGGCCGUUUAGGGGUUAGGGAAUUGACCUCAUCGGACAGAUUUAUCCUCCAUCAAGCAAGGGACACAAGUUCAUAUUAGUAGCCACUGAUUACUUUACCAAGUGGGUGGAGGCAGUU